rnacentral:lncRNA from 1 species
AACAAUAACAACAACAAAUUUUGCAACAACAACAACAACAAAUUUUGCAACAACAACAACAACAACAAAUUUUGCAACAACAACUGAUUCCAUGCAGGGAUGUUGUAUUGCAACAACACAACAUAGCGCAUGGAAGCUCACAAGUUUUGCAACAAAGUACUUACCAGCUGGUGUAACAAUUGUGUUGUCAGCAGCUGUGGCAGAUUCCCGAGCAGUCGCGGUGCCAAGCCAUCCACAAUGUUGUUCAUGCUAUUAUUCUGCAUCAACAACAACAACAACCGUCGAGCCAGGUCUCCUUCCAACAGCCUCAACAACAAUAUCCAUCAGGCCAAGGCUCCUUCCAGCCAUCUCUGCAAAACCCACAGGCCCAUGGCUCUGUCCAGCCUCAACAACUGCCCCAGUUUGAGGAAAUAAGGAACCUAGCGCUACAGACGCUACCUGCAAUGUGCAAUGUCUACAUCCCUCCAUAUUGCACCAUUGCUCCAUUUGGCAUCUUCGGUACUAACUGAGAAGAGAAGAACUCUAGUACUAGAUAUAUGAAGCAUUGUUUUCUUAGUCCAUGGUUUGGUCGUUGUUGCUGUGAAAAAAUAAAGUGGCAUGCACUAUCAUGUAAGAACCCGAACUAUACUAGUUCAAACUUGGGAAUAAAAGACAAACACAAGUCUUGUCUACAUAUGAUUCUUUGUUUGAUUUCCAUUCAUGUGCGCAUUCACAAGUUCACCCCUAAUUAUAUAUAUAUGCAUUAAGUAGAUAUUUAUGUUGCAUUAAUCUAAAGAUAACAAAAUGACUCUAAAAUUUGAAUUAAAUUGAAGUAUUUCCUUGGAAUUUCAAAUGGAAUAUUAUUAAAGUAGUAAGGACUAUCCACAUCCUUGGCUUGCCCUUGAUCAAUUAUUUGCAGAGAAGCAUUCAAUUUGUCAAUCAACAUGAGUAUAUUCAUCGCGGCUACUCCAAAUCGGCAUGAAUGAGGUACCGGUGCUCUGGAGCACUACUAGCUAACUGCUUCUCAUGUGAAGGGGUGCGGGCGCGGGAGAGGUGUUUCUGGUGGGGCAGGGGAGUAUGAAGCGGCCGUGGCAGCGGUCCAGAUGCCCACAAAGACCCGUAGUUUGUUUUUGGUUUACAGGAAAGUGCACAUCCAGACCGGCCUGCGGGCCGAUAUAGGACCGUAUUGGAUGGCAAAACAUGUCCGGAUGGUUGCGAGUGGUUUGGGGGUUAGCUUUUGUAAUGCCCGGUUAGUUAUGCUAUAGUAAUUCCCUGCUAGUGAUGCCACGUCACCCUGAUUACUGUUGUUAACCUCACAAUUAUUCAAUCCCAUUCAAAUUCAAAUUUAAAAUAAAGGCAAACAUCAAAAGUUUUCAAACAUUAAAACUAAAAUCUUCGAGAGGUGAAAAAUAAUGCGUAAGUAAUUAUGCUGGAGAAACCACACUUUUACAAAAUGUUUAAAUACUAUAAAAUGAAUAAAACAGUGGCUUAAACUAUUAUUAAAAUGCUUUUAAAAUAGUAAAAAUGUUAUAACUAAAUUAAUUGGGUGCCAAACUUUUGGUGGCAGUGGUAUAUUUAGUAGAACUAAUUUAGAUGCUAAUUAUAUAAUUUACAAAAUUAAAGUAAAUUGAAAACAGGAUAAAACAGAAAAGGAGAGACAAAACAAAUAAAAGCAAAAGGGGGCAACUCCUCGCUGGGCCUCGGCCAAGCUGGCCACUGGGCUAGCUAGGCCGACCCAGCCGCCUACAUUAACCCACCACUCCCCAUCGAACCCUAGCCCGAUCUCCCCACUUCCCCCACACCCCCUUGAUGUCUACUACGCAACUUUAUUCUUAUAGACACGUGUUGGGCCUCCAAGCGCAGAGUUUUGUAGGAUAGUAGCAAUUUUCCCUCAAGUGGAUGACCUAAGGUUUAUAAAUCCGUGGGAGGCGUAGGAUGAAGAUGGUCUCUCUCAAACAACCCUGCAAUCAAAUACAAGAAAUCUCUUGUGUCCCUAACACACGCAAUACAAUGGCAAAUUGUAUAGGUGCACUAGUUCAGUGAAGAGAUGGUGAUAAAAGUGUAAUUUUGAUGGUAGAAAUAUAUUUUUAUAAUCUGAAUAAAUAAAAACAGCAAGUUGGGAAAUAGUAAAUGGGCACAAAAACGGUAUUGCAAUGCUUGAAACCAAGGCCUAGGGUCCGUAAUUUUGCUAGUGCAAUUUCUCAACAGUGCUAAUAUAGUUGGAUCAUAUGAUUAUCCCUCAAAGUGCAAUAAAGAAUCACUCCCGAGUUCCUAAUAGCGGAGAACAAAAGAUAGAAAUUGUUUGUAGGGUAUGAAACCACCUCAAAGCUUCGGUUCGAUCUGUUCAAGAUUUCGUACUAAAAUAACACAAAGCUAUUUUUUCCGUUCGAUCUGUCCUAGAGUUCGUACUAAAAUAACACCAAAGCAAAUUCAUAUUCAUAAUACACAAUCCACACAAAGAACUACAAAGAGACCCCAAAGUUUCUAUCGGAGAAAAGAUAAUAAAAACGUGCAUCAUCCCCUAUGCAUAGAUUACCCCAACAUCACCUUGGGAAACCGCAAGUUGAGUGCCAUAACAUAUAUCAAGUGAAUCAAUACGAUACCCCAAUGUCACCUCAAGUAUUCAUACCGCAAGACAUACAUCAUGUGUUCUCAUAUCUGAAUAUUCAAUCCGACAAGACAAAACUUCAAAGGCUAAAGAUUCAGAGUAUAGAGGGGAGAAACAUCAUAUGAUCCAUCUAUAUUAACAAAGCCCAUGAUAUAGAUCACGAGAGAGAGAUUAAACACAUAGCUACUGGUACAAACCCUCAGCCCCGAGGGUGGACUACUCCCUCCUCAUCGUGGUGGCCGCCAGGAUGACGAAGAUGGCCACCAAAGAUGAUUCCCCCCUCCGGCAGGGUGCCAUAAAGGGUCUAGAUUGGUUUUCGGUGGAUACAGAGCCUAGCGGCGGCGGAACUUCUGAUCUAGGUUAACCCCAAAGGGUUUCGGAAUAUUUGGGAAUUUAUAGUGCAAAGAGGGGGUGCGGGAGGCCACCGAGGUGGGCACAACCCACCUGGGCGCGCCAGGGGGCCCUGGCGCGCCCUGGUGGGUUGUGCCCCCCUCAUGCUUCUUCGGCCCACUGUUGGUCUUCUAGUCCAUAAAAAAUCUCCAUGAAGUUUCAUUGCAUUUGGACUCCGUUUAGUAUUGAUUUCCUGCGAUGUAAAAAACAAGCAAAAACGGCAACUGACACUGGGUCAAUAGGUUAGUCCCAAAAAAUGAUAUAAAGAUGCUAUAAAAUGAUUGUAAAACAUCCAAGAAUGAUAAAAUAACAGCAUGAAUACUUCAUAAAUUAUAGAUACGUUCGAGACGUAUCAGCAUCCCCAAGCUUAAUUCCUACUCGUCCUCGAGUAGGUAAAUGAUAAAAGAAAUAAUUUAUGAAGUGUGAAUGCUAGGAAAGUGCACAAGUUUGAUCAAUCACAAUUUCAAUCACUUUUCCUAGCAUCAUAACCGCGAUUCUUUCUUAUAAAACUUCUCAUGAUACAAUGGCAACCAAUUCACAUAUUAAGGUUCAAACAGUGAAUUCUCUUAAAACUCAACAACCUAUGUUCUUAGUCACCAAGCAAUUGCAAUUCAACUUAUUCAACGGAGUUUAAGUAAGAGCUCCACAUACUCAACCAUCUUAUAGUCUUCUAUGAUUGCUAACACUCACCGCAUACACAUGGGCAAAACGUUUCAACCGGACACAUAGAAAGAUAGGGGCUUAUUGUUUUUCCUCCCAACGUAUUCACCUCAAGGGUGAUGUCAACAAUAAUAACUCAUGCUACCCAUAUUCAACUGGACAUAUGUGCCUAGAUCUUUCCUCACCACAUGAUGCUUGCCAAAGGAGAAAAAUAGAAAGGAAUAGAGAGAAAAACUUUGACUCUUUGCAUAAAAGUAAAUACUGGAAAGUAAAAGAUAGGCCCUUCGCAGAGGGAAGCAGAGGUUGCCAUGCGCUUAUUUGUUUGUAUGCUCAACCCAUUAGUGAAAAAGAACGUCACGUUAUAUUGCCCCUUAUGAUAGCAACCUUUAUUAUGCAUUCUGUCGCUUUUAUUCUUUGCCAUCACAUGUUCGUACAAUGCUCAAUUUUCUCUUACACUAAAUGAUCUCACACUUUUAGAAGCAAUUUUUAUUGCCUUAUUGCACUGAUGACAACUUACUUGAAGAAUCUUAUUGAAUCCUUAGGUAGGUAUGGUGGACUCUUGAAAAUAAGAUUUGGGUUUAAGGGUUUUUGGAUGCACAAGUAGUAUCUCUACUUGGUGCGGAAUUUUUGGCUAGCAAAGAUGGGGGGCAAGCACCACAUGUUGAAGGAUCUAUGACAAUAUUACUUCUAUGUGAAUAUGAGCAAACAUAAAUCAUUAUGUUGUCUUCCUUGUCCAACGUCAACAAUUUUGGCAUAUAAUAUUUUGAUGGGGGCUCACAAUCACAAAAUAUUUCCAAGAUAGUGUGUUUGCAUGUGAAAGUUCUCUUCCUUAUACUAAUUAUUCGUGAAUUGAUUGUAUGACCAAAAUUUUGAUUGUCAAGCCUCAGAAGAUUUCACUUUCUAAACCCAAUGUGAAGCUACCACUAGGAAUGAUAUGAUUUCAUCUUCAUGACAUUCAAUUUAUUAAAAAAUUUACUCAUAGGAUAUAAGUGAAGCACAAGAGGAAUUCCAAAGAAAGAGCUUCGUUGACGGGAUGUGAAUGUCGCUUACUUAGCUUCCUUGGCAACUAUUUGAGGACUCUAUUUUUUUUAAAACUUUCAGAUCUAAGUAUUUUAUUAAAACAAUAAGGAAAACAAAAUAAAAUGACAUUCCAAGGAUAGCACAUAUCAUGUGAAGAAGCAAAAACUUAGGCUCAACCGAUACUAACCGAUAAUUGUUGAAGGAAAAAGGUGGGAUGCCUACUGGGGCAUCCCCAAGCUUAGAUGCUUGAGACUUCUUGAAAUAUUAUCUUGGGAUGACUUGGGCAUCCCCCAAGCUUGAGAUUUUGUGUCUCCUUAAUUUUUCUCAUAUCACGGUUUUCCUAAAUCUCAAAAGCUUCAUCCACACAAAACUCAACAAGAACUCAUGAGAUAAGUUAGUAUAGACCAAUGCAAAAGCCUUAUCAAUCUCUACUGUAGCAAAUCACUAAAAUUAUUAUUCAACAUUGCAUACUAAAUGCCUCUUCACAUUUAAUACUCCUAUCCUUAAAUAGAGUCAUUAAACAAGCAAACAUAUGCAAACAAUGCAAACAUAACAGCAAUCUGCCAAAACAGUAUAGUCUGUAAAGAAUGCAAGAGUAUCAAUACUUCCCUAACUCCAAAAAUUAUGAAAUUCUACCAUACUGUAGAGAAUUUAUCAGAUCUUAUUACGCAAAAAGUUUCAACAUUUUAUCACACUCUGACUUUUCUAGGGAAUUUUUGCAACAGCGGUAAACUUUCUGUUUUCAAACAGCAACAUGUAGACUUGUAAAAUAAGCAUAGUAAAGGUUAUCCUUGACAUUUUUAUUGAAAUAAAAGAUGCAAAACAUUAUUAUAAAUAAAAUAAAGCAAUUCCUAACAAAAAAACUUUACACUCCAAGCAAAACUCAUAUCAUGUGAAGAAUAAAAACAUAGCUCCAAGUGAGGUUACCGAUAAUGUUGGAGACGAAAGAGGGGAUGCCUUCCAGGGCAUCCCCAAUCUUAGUUGCUUGGAUAUUCCUUGAGUAUUAUUUUGGGGUGCCUUGGGCAUCCCCAUGCUUAGGGUCUUGACACUCCUUAUUCUCCUCAUAUCGAUAUCUCACCCAAAACUUGAAAACUUCAAUCACACAAAACUUAACAGAACUUCGUGAGAUAGGUUGGUAUAAUAAAGAGCAAACCAUUUCACUUUUGGUACUGUGAAAGACAAGAUUCAUAAUUUUUCUCACACAAUUCCUACUGUAGAAUAUCAUUUCCACAAUUUAUAUUGAGCAAUAUAAGCCAUAGAAACUAGAAAGCAAGCAAACUAUGCAUUGAAAACAGAAUCUGUCAAAAACAGAACAGUCUGUAAUAAUCUGGAUAACUGCCAUACUUCUUGUACUCCAAAAAUUAUGAAAAAAUUAGGACCACGUGAGAAAUUUGUAUAUUAAACUUCUGCAAAAAUAAUCAACUCAAAAUCACUCUUCUGUUAAAAAUGAGACUUAUUUUCAUGAGCGCAAAAGUUUCUGUUUUUCAGCAGGGUCAAAUCAACUAUCACCCAACAUGAUCCCAAAGGCUUUACUUGGCACUUUAUUGAAACAAAAGCUAUAAAAAUGAUCAAUGCAGUAGCAUAAUCAUGUUAACACACAAAAACCGUAAGUAAAAGUGUUGGGUUGUCUCCCAACAAGCGCUUUUCUUUAAUGCCUUUUAGCUAGGCAUGAUGAGUUCAAUGAUGCUCGCAUAAAAUUAAGAUAAGAAUUGAAACACAAAGAGAGCAUCAUGAAGAAUAUGACUAGCACAUUUAAGUCUAACCCACUUCCUAUUUAUUGGGAUUUUGUUAGCAAACAAUUUAUGGGAGCAAGAAUCAACUAGCAUAGGAAGGCAAAACAAGCAUAGCUUCAAAACUUUCAACAUAAAGAGAGGAAACUUGAUAUUAUUGAACCUAAUAGCAUAUGUUCCUCUCUCGUAAUAAUUUUCAGUAGCAUCAUGAAUGAAUUCAACAAUAUAAACAUCACAUAAAGCAUUCUUUUCAUGAUCCACAAGCAUAGAAAUUUUGUUACUCUCCACAUAAGAAAAUUUCUUCUCAUCAAUAGUAGUGCGAGCAAACUCAACAAAAUAACUCUCAUGUGAUUGGAAAUUAAAAUCAUGAUGACAAGUUUCAUGUUUAUAAUUAUUCAAUAUAGCAUAUAUGUCAUCACCAUAAUCAUCAUAUAUAGGAACUUUGUUGUCAUAAUCAAUUGCAACCUCCUCCAAAAUAGUGGAUUCAUCAUUAAAUAAAGUCACGACCUCUCCAAAUCCACUUUCAUCAAUAUAAUCAUCAUAAAUAGGAGGCAUGCAAUCAUCAUAAUAAAUUUUCUCAUUAAAACUUGGGGGACUAAAAAUAUCAUCUUCAGCAAACAUAGCAUCCCCAAGCUUAUGGCUUUGCAUAUCAUUAGCAUCAUGGAUAUUCAAAGAAUUCAUACUAACAACAUUGCAAUCAUGCUCAUCAUUCAAAUAUUUUGUGCCAAACAUUUUAUUGACUUCUUCUUAUAACAAUUGAGAACAAUUUUCCGAUCCAUCAUUUUCAAGAAAGAUAUUAUAAAGAUGAUCAAUAAUAUGAUGCAACCUCAAUUCCAUUUUUUAUGUAGUUUUCUUUUAUAAACCAAACUAGUGAUAAAACAAGAAAGUAAAAUAUUUAAUUGCAAGAUCUAAAGAUAUACCUUCAAGCACCCACCUCCCCGGCAAUGGUGUCAGAAAAGAGCUUGAUGUCUACUACGCAACUUUAUUCUUGUAGACACGUGUUGGGCCUCCAAGCGCAGAGUUUUGUAGGACAGUAGCAAUUUUCCCUCAAGUGUAUGACCUAAGGUUUAUCAAUCUGUGGGUGGCGUAGGAUGAAGAUGGUGUCUCUCAAACAACCCUGCAAUCAAAUACAAGAAAUCUCUUGUGUCCCCAACACACCCAAUAAAAUGGCAAAUUGUAUAGGUGCACUAGUUCGGCGAAGAUAUGGUGAUAAAAGUGUAAUUUUGAUGGUAGAAAUAUAUUUUUAUAAUCUGAAUAAAUAAAAACAGCAAGGUAGCAAAUUUUAAACGGGCACAAAAACGGUAUUGCAAUGCUUGAAAACAAGGCCUAGGGUCCGUAAUUUCGCUAGUGCAAUUUCUCAACAAUGCUAACAUAGUUGGAUCAUAUGAUUAUCCCUCAAAGUGCAAUAAAGAAUCACUCCCGAGUUCCUAAUAGCGGAGAACAAAAGAUAGAAAUUGUUUGUAGGGUACGAGACCACCUCAAAGCUUCCGUUCGAUCUAUUCAAGAGUUCAUACUAAAGUAACACAAAGCUAUUUUUCCGUUCGAUCUAUCCUAGAGUUCGUACUAAAAUAAGACCAAAGCAAAUUCAUAUUCAUAAUACUCAAUCCACACAAAGAACUACAAAGAGACCCCAAAGUUUCUAUCGGAGGAAAGAUGAUAAAAACGUGCAUCAUCCCCUAUGCAUAGAUUACCCCAACGUCACCUCGGGAAUCCGCAAGUUGAGUGCCAUAACAUAUAUCAAGUGAAUCAAUACGAUACCCCAUUGUCACCUCAAGUAUUCAUACCGCAAGACAUACAUCAUGUGUUCUCAUAUCUGAAUAUUCAAUUCGACAAGAAAAAACUUCAAAGGCUAAAGAUUCAAUUCAUCACAACAAGAGUAUAGAGGGGAGAAACAUCAUAUGAUCCAUCUAUAUUAACAAAGCCCAUGAUAUAGAUCACGAGAGAGAGAUUAAACACAUAGCUACUGGUACAAACCCUCAGCCCCGAGGGUGGACUACUCCCUCCUCAUCGUGGUGGCCGCCGAGAUGAUGAAGAUGGCCAUCAGAGAUGAUUCCCCCCCUCCGGCAGGGUGCCAGAAAGGGUCUAGAUUGGUUUUCGGUGGAUAAAGAGCCUUGCGGCGGCGAAACUUCUGAUCUAGGUUAACCCCGAAGGGUUUCGGAAUAUUUGGGAAUUUAUAGUGCAAAGAGGGGGUGCGGGAGGCCACCGAGGUGGGCACAACCCACCUGGGCGCCAGGGGGCCCUGGUGUGCCCUGGUGGGUUGUGCCCCCUCGGGGCACCCCUAGGUGCUUCUUCGGCCCACUGUUGGUCUUUCGGUCCAUAAAAAAUCUCCGUGAAGUUUCAUUGCAUUUGAACUCCGUUUGGUAUUGAUUUCCUGCGAUGUAAAAAACAAGCAAAAAACAGCAACUGGCACUGGGCACUGGGUCAAUAGGUUAGUCCCAAAAAAUGAUAUGAAGUUGCUAUAAAAUGAUUGUUAAACAUCCAAGAAUGAUAAAAUAACAGCAUGAAUACUUCCUAAAUUAUAGAUACGUUGGAGACGUAUCACCACUCGUUAGCCUCCCCACCUCUCGAUCCCAUCUGGAUCGGGGAGGUGAUCGCCCCCAUCAACCCCAUUACCGUCACCGGAUCGCUCGCUCGCCCAUUGCCCACCGGCGUCGCCGGGCCUCCUCCCCGCCCCCCCGUCUCUGGCUCGCCUCCCCCUCGCUCCUCUUCCCCGACCCGAUCUGGAUCCGGAAGGGGCAAUGAGCCUGACGCGCCCCCUUCACCGACGCCGUGUGCCACUACCGCCGCCCAAAGACCUCGCCGUCGCCGGACCUCGCGUCGCCUCCUCGUAUCCUUCCCCGACUCGCCUCCUCAAGCCACGCCGGACCCCUUCUCGGCAAUGUUGUGAGCCGCCCCCCGUUGCCUUCCUCCUCUUUCCACCGCGUUUACCGCGCCGCCAACCGUGCCCCUCGCCGCGCGCACGCCCACCACCACGCCAGCCCCCGCUUCGCACCCUCUCCUGCACGCUUGCGCGCGCAUUACCCUAGCCGUGCCCGUGGCACGAUCCCCUUGUUCGCCCCGCCUUCGUCCCGCGCUCGCCGCGGUCCCCUGCUACCUCUUGAGCACUGCGUUGGUUUUCCCUUGAAGAGGAAAGGGUGAUGCAGUAAAGUAGCGUAAGUAUUUCCCUCAGUUUUUGAGAACCAAGGUAUCAAUCCAGUAGGAGACCACGCACGAGUCCCCCGCACCUACACAAACAAACAAGAACCUCGCAACCAAUGCGAUAAAGGGGUUGUCAAUCCCUCAACGGUCACUUACGAGAGUGAGAUCUAAUAGAUAUGAUAAAAGAUAAUAUUUUUGGUAUUUUUAUGAUAAAGAUGCAAAGUAAAAUAGAAGGCAAUAAAAAUAGCUAAGUGUUGGAAGAUUUAUAUGAUGGAAAAUAGACCCGGGGCCAUAGGUUUCACUAGUGGCUUCUCUCGAGAGCAUAAGUAUUACGGUGGGUGAACAAAUUACUGUUGAGCAAUUGACAGAAUUGAGCAUAGUUAUGAGAAUAUCUAGGUAUGAUCAUGUAUAUAGGCAUGACGUCCGAGACAAGUAGACCGACUCCUGCCUGUAUCUACUACUAUUACUCCACACAUCGACCGCUAUCCAGCAUGCAUCUAGAGUAUUAAGUUCAAAAGAACAGAGUAACGCUUUAAGUAAGAUGACAUGAUGUAAAGGGAUAAACUCAUGCAAUAUGAUAUAAACCCCAUCUUGUUAUCCUCGAUGGCAACAAUACAAUACGUGCCUUGCCGCCCCUACUGUCACUGGGAAAGGACACCGCAAGAUUGAACCCAAAGCUAAGCACUCUCCCAUUGCAAGAAAGAUCAAUCUAGUAGGCCAAACCAAACUGAUAAUUCAAAGAGACUUGCAAAGAUAACCAAUCAUACAUAAAAUAAUUCAGAGAAAAUUCAAAUAUUGUUCAUAGAUAAACUUGAUCAUAAACCCACAAUUCAUCGGUCUCAACAAACAAACCGCAAAAGAAGAUUACAUCGAAUAGAUCUCCACGAGAAUCAUGGAGAACUUUGUAUUGAGAUCCAAAGAGAGAGAAGAAGCCAUCUAGCUAAUAACUAUGGACCCGAAGGUCUGAGGUAAACUACUCACACAUCAUCGGAGAGGCUAUGGUGUUGAUGUAGAAGCCCUCCGUGAUCAAUGCCCCCUCCGGCAGGACGCCGGAAAAGGCCCCAAGAUGGGAUCUCACNNNNNNNNNNNNNNNNNNNNNNNNNNNNNNNNNNNNNNNNNNNNNNNNNNNNNNNNNNNNNNNNNNNNNNNNNNNNNNNNNNNNNNNNNNNNNNNNNNNNNNNNNNNNNNNNNNNNNNNNNNNNNNNNNNNNNNNNNNNNNNNNNNNNNNNNNNNNNNNNNNNNNNNNNNNNNNNNNNNNNNNNNNNNNNNNNNNNNNNNNNNNNNNNNNNNNNNNNNNNNNNNNNNNNNNNNNNNNNNNNNNNNNNNNNNNNNNNNNNNNNNNNNNNNNNNNAAGUCCUUUGGAUCACGUUCGUUCCGAAAAUCACGUUCCCGAAGGUUUCAUUCCGUUUGGACUCCGUUUGAUAUUCUUUUUCUGCGAAACUCUGAAAUAGGCAAAAAACAACAAUUUGGGCCGGGCCUCCGGUUAAUAGGUUAGUCCCAAAAAUGAUAUAAAAGUGUAUAAUAAAGCCUGUUAAACAUCCAAAACAGAAUAUAAUAUAGCAUGAAGCAAUCAAAAAUUAUAGAUACGUUGGAGACGUAUCAAGCAUCCCCAAGCUUAAUUCCUGCUCGUCCUCGAGUAGGUAAAUGAUAAAAACAGAAUUUUUGAUGCGGAAUGCUACUUGGCAUAAUUUUCAAUGUAAUUCUCUUAUUUGUGGUAUGAAUGUUCAGAUCCGAAAGAUUCAAGACAAAAGUUUAAUAUUGACAUAAAAAUAAUAAUUCUUCAAGCAUACUAACUAAGCAAUUAUGUCUUCUCAAAAUAACAUGGCCAAAGAAAGUUAUCCCUACAAAAUAAUAUAGUCUGGCUAUGCUCUAUCUUCACCACACAACGUAUUUAAAUCAUGCACAACCCCGAUGACAAGCCAAGCAAUUGUUUCAUACUUUUGGUGUUCUCAAACUUUUUCAAUCUUCACGCAAUACAUGAGCGUGAGCCAUGGACAUAGCACUAUAUGUGGAAUAGAAUGGUGGUUGUGGAGAAGACAAAAAGAGGGAGAAGAUAGUCUCACAUCAACUAGGCGUAUCAACGGGCUAUGGAGAUGCCCAUUAAUAGAUAUCAAUGUGAGUGAGUAGGGAUUGCCAUGCAAUGGAUGCACUAGAGCUAUAAGUAUAUGAAAGCUCAACAAAAGAAACUAUGUGGGUGUGCAUCCAACUCGCUUGCUCACGCAGACCUAGGGCAUUUUGAGGAAGCUCAUCAUUGGAAUAUACAAGCCAAGUUCUAUAAUGAAAAAUUCCCACUAGUAUAUGAAAGUGAUAUCAUAGGAGACUCUCUAUCAUGAAGAUCAUGGUGCUACUUUGAAGCACAAGUGUGGUAAAAGGAUAGUAACAUUGUCCCUUCUCUCUUUUUCUCUCAUUUUUUAGCUGGGCCUUUUCUCCUUUUUUAUGGCCUCUUUUUUUUAGUCCGAAGUCUCAUCCCGACUUAUGGGGGAAUCAUAGUCUCCAUCAUCCUUUCCUCACUUGGGACAAUGCUCUAAAAAUGAUGAUCAUUACACUUUUAUUUACUUACAACUCAACAAUUACAACUUAAUACUUAGAACAAAAUAUGACUCUAUGUGAAUGCCUCCGGCGGUGUACCGGGAUAUGCAAUGAAUCAAGAGUGACAUGUAUGAAAGAAUUAUGAAUGGUGGCUUUGCCACAAAUACGAUGUCAACUACAUGAUCAUGCGAGGCAAUAUGACAAUGAUGGAGCGUGUCAUAGUAAACGGAACGGUGGUAAGUUGCAUGGCAAUAUAUCUCGGAAUGGCUAUGGAAAUGCCAUGAUAGGUAGCUAUGGUGGCUGUUUUGAGGAAGGUAUAUGGUGGGUGUAUGAUACCGGUGAAAAGUGCGCGGUAUUAGAGAGGCUAGCAAUGGUGGAAGGAAGAAAAAUGUGUAUAAUCCAUGGACUCAACAUUAGUCAUAAAGAACUCAUAUACUUAUUGCAAAAAUCUACAAGUUAUCAAAGAAAAGUAUUACGCGCAUGCUCCUAGGGGGAUAGAUUGGUAGGAAAAUACCAUCGCUCGUCCCCGACCGCCACUCAUAAGGAAGAAAAUCAAUAAAUAAAUCAUUCUCCGACUUCAUCACAUAACGGUUCACCAUACGUGCAUGCAACGGGAAUCACAAACUUUAACACAAUUAUUUCUCAAAUCCACACCUACUCAACUAGCAUGACUCUAAUAUCACUAUCUUCAUAUCUCAAAACAAUUAUCAAGCAUCAAACUUCUCAUAGUAUUCAACACACUCAUAAGAAACUUUUUGUUAAUCUCGAAUGCCUAUCAUAAUUAAAGCAAAUUACCACGCUGUUUUGUAGGACUCUCAAAAUAAUAUAAGUGAAGCAUGAGAGAACAAUAGUUUCUAUAAAACAAAUCCACCACCGUGCUCUAAAAGAUAUAAGUGAAGCACUAGAGCAAAAACUAUAUAGCUCAAAAGAUAUAAGUGAAGCACAUAGAGUAUUCUAACAAAUUCCGAAUCAUGUGUGUCUCUCUCAAAAGGUGUGUGCAGAAAGGAUGAUUGUGGCAAACUAACAAAUAAAGACUCAAAUAAUACGAGACGCUCCAAGCAAAACACAUAUCACGUGGUGAAUAAAAAUAUAGCUCCAAGUAAAGUUACCGAUGGAAGUAGACGAAAGAGGGGAUGCCUUCCGGGGCAUCCCCAUGCUUUGGCUUUUUGGUAUCCUUAGAUUAUCUUGGGGUGCCAUGGGCAUCCCCAAGCUUAGGCUCUUUCCACUCCUUGUUCCAUAAUCCAUCAAAUCUUCCACCCAAAACUUGAAAACUUCACAACACAACACUUAACAAAAAAUCUCGUGAGCUCCGUUAGCGAAAGAAAACAAAACACCACUUCAAGGUACUGUAAUGAACUCAUUAUUUAUUUAUAUUGGUGUUAAACCUACUGUAUUCCAACUUCUCUAUGGUUUAUAAACUAUUUUAUUAGCCAUAGAUUCAUCAAAAUAAGCAAAGAACACACGAAAAACAGAAUCUGUCAAAAACAGAACAGUCUGUAGUAAUCUGUAACUAACGCAAACUUCUGGAACUCAAAAAGUUCAGCCAAAAUAGGACAACCUAUACCAUUUGUUUAUUGAUCAGAAGCACUUGGAAUCAAUAUUUUAUCUCGUUCCGGUGAUUUUUAACAAUUGUUUUCGUGAACAGAAAGUUUCUGGAAUUUUCAGCAAGAUCAAAUAACUAUCAUCCAAGAAGAUCCUAUAGGUUUAACUUGGCACAAACACUAAUUAAAACAUAAAAACAAAUCUAACCAUAGGUUAGAUCAAAGAUUUAUUCCUAAACAGAAGAAAAAAGUAAAAAACUAAAAAUAAAAUUGGGUUGCCUCCCAACAAGCGCUAUCGUUUAACGCCCCUAGCUAGGCAUAAAAGCAAGGAUAGAUCUAGGUAUUGCCAUCUAUGGUAGGAAAUUCUUCAAUAAGACACCUAUCACCCUUAGGAGUUUCUUUCUUUCUAUUAAUUAUCAAACUUCUAGGCACAAAAUCGAAAAAAGCAUUUGCAGCAAAUGGUUCCUUAAUGAUAGCAAGGAGAUUGGGAUGAACACUUAUUGAUUUGAGAUCCGCAGUUUCCUUAUUAGAGGAUUCACCCUUAUUUUUAGGAACAUACAUAAGCUUAGCAAUUUUAGUAGGAGGACUUGGGGUAUUCUUUACGGAAGAAAAGGCGGUUCCCAAGUUGGUAAUGAUACCCUCAAGUUUUUCUUCAUAAGAUUGCAUCAAAGCAUCAACGAUAUGUUUAGUAAAAGCUUUAUUUUGACUAUAAGCAUGUGGAGAAUUUAUCACGGAUUGCAACAAGGAAAUACAAUCUAUCAAAGAGCAAUUAUCAUAAUUAAAUUCCUCGAAAUCCAAAAUAGUGGGUUCAUUAAUAUCUAGAGUUUUGAUCUCUUCAAUCCCACUUUUACCAAUUUUUGCAUCAAGAUCUAUCAACUCCGAAUUUUUGGAACGCCUUCUAGGUAAAGGUGGAUCAUAUUCAGUCCCAUCAUUAUCAAGAUUAAUAUUGAAAAACAAAGAUUUAAUAGGGGACACAUCAAUAACUUUUAGAUCUUCAUCUUUAUUUUCAUAGAAACUAGAAGAACACGCUUUCACAAAGCAAUCUUUCUUAGCACGCAUCCUAGCGGUUCUUUCUUUGCACUCAUCAAUGGAAAUUCUCAUGGAUUUGAGAGACUCAUUGAUAUCAUGCUUAGGAGGAAUAGAUCUAAGUUUCAAGGAAUCAACAUCAAGAGAAAUUCUAUCAACGUUUCUAGCCAAUUCAUCAACUUUAAGCAAUUUUUCUUCAAGCAAAGCAUUGAAAUUCUUUUGCGAAUUCAUAAAUUCUUUAACACUAGUCUCAAAUUAAGAGGGCAUCUUAUUUAAAUUUCCAUAAGAAUUGUUGUAGGAAUUACCAUAAUUAUUAGAGGAAUUACUAUGGUACGGCCUAGGAUUAAAGUUUCCUCUAUACGCGUUGAUACCAAAAUUAUUCCUACCAACAAAAUUCACAUCCAUAGAUUCAUUAUUAUUCUCAAUCAAAGUAGACAAAGGCAUAUCAUUAGGAUCAGAAAGAAACACUUUUAUUAGCAAAUAAUUUCAUAAGUUCAUCCAUCUUUCCACUCAAAACAUUAAUUUCUUCUAUCGCAUGCACUUUCUUAUUAGUAGAUCUUUCAGUGUGCCAUUGAGAAUAAUUAACCAUAAUAUUAUCUAGGAGUUUAGUAGCUUCUCCUAAAGUGAUUUCCAUAAAAGUGCCUCCCGCGGCCGAAUCUAAAAGAUUUCUAGAAGCAAAAUUCAAUCCGGCAUAAUUUUUUUGUAUAAUCAUCCACAGAUUCAAACCAUCGGUAGGGCAAUUACGCAUCAUUAAUGAUUUUAGCCGGAGGAAAAUACUUAGAAUUCAUACAAAACUUAGAGAUAAAAUUCAUAAUAUCGUUUCUAAGAGAGAUGAUUUUAGCCGGAGGAAAAUACUUACAGAUAAAAGCAUCUUUGCACUUAUUCCAAGAAUCAAUACUAUUUUUAGGCAAAGACGAAAACCAAGAUUUAGCACGAUCUCUAAGCGAAAAAGGAAAUAGCUUCAAUUUAACAAUAUCAUUGUCCACAUCUUUCUUCUUUUGCACAUCACACAAAUCAACGAAGCUAUUUAGAUGGGUAGCGGCAUCUUCACUAGGAAGGCCAGCGAAUUGAUCUUUCAUGACAAGAUUCAACAAAGCAGCAUUGAUUCCACAAGACUCAGUAUCGGUAAGAGGAGCAAUCGGAGUGCUAAGAAAAUCAUUGUUGUUGGUAUUGGUAAAGUCACACAAUUUAGUAUUAUCUUGAGCCAUCGUGACAAGCAAGCAAUCCAACAAACGAGCAAACAAGAAGCAAGCGAAAAAGAGGCGAAUGGAAAAGAGAGGGCGAAUAAAACAGCAAGGGUAAAGUGGGGGAGAGGAAAACGAGAGGCAAAUGGCAAAUAAUGUAAUGCGAGGGAGAUGAGUUUGUGAUGGGUACUUGGUAUGUCUUGACUUGACUUGACUUGGCGUAGAUCUCCCCGGCAACGGCGCCAGAAAUCCUUCUUGCUACCUCUUGAGCACUGCGUUGGUUUUGCCUUGAAGAGGAAAGGGUGAUGCAGUAAAGUAGCAUAAGUAUUUCCCUCAGUUUUUGAGAAUCAAGGUAUCAAUCCAGUAAGCGACCACUGUCACGCCCAAGAUGCGACCCUAUCCUAAAGUAACUUGAAGGUCCCACCAAGGAUAGAAGUGCAUCUUGAAGACGCUUUUGCAAGGUGGAUAUCAUUACAUCGACAUUACAUAAUAGAUGGGGAUACAUACAAGGCAAACAAAUGUCGCAAGAAUACAUCAAUAGAUCAUGAUCAACAUCCGACUACGGAUGAAACACAAACAGAAACUCAAACGACAUCCACCCUGCUAGCCCAGGCUGCCGACCAGGAACCUAACCCAAGAUCGGCGAAGAAGAAGAAGAACUCCAACACAAGCAAUCGAGCAUCGCUCUCACGUCAUGAGCAUCACACAACCUGUACCUGCAACUGUUGGUGUAGUAAUCUGUGAGCCACGAGGACUCAGCAAUCCCAUUACCAUGGGUACCAAGACUAGCAAAGCUUAAUGGGUAAGGAAGGGGUAAAGUGGUGAGGUUGCAGCACCGGCUAAGCAAAGUAUGGUGGCUAACUUACAAAACAAGAGCGAGAAGAGGAGCUAAGCAAACGGUCGCCAACUAGUAAUGAUCAAGAAGUGAUCCUGAACUCCUACUUACGUCAAACAUAACACAAACCGUGUGCUCCUCCCGAACUUCCUCGAAAAGAGACAAUCACGGGUACCCACGCGGUUAGUGUAUUUUAGAAGAGUUUACUUCAAGUUUACUACAACCGGAUAUUAACAAAUUCCCAUCUGCCACAUAACCGCGGGCACGGCUCUCGAAAGUUUAUACCCUGCAGGGGUGUCCCAACUUAGCCCAUCACAAGCUCUCACGAUCAACGAAGGAUAUUCCUUCUCCCGGGAAGACCCGAUCAGACUCGGAAUCCCGGUUACAAGACAUUUCGACAAUGGUAAAACAAGACCAGCAAGACCGCCCGAACGUGCCGACAAAUCCCGAUAGGAGCUGCACAUAUCUCGUUCUCAGGGCACAUCCGGAUGAGACAUCCUACGAGUGAAACCAGCCCUCAAGUUUCCCCAAGGUGGCCCCGCAGUCUACUCAGCUCGGACCAGCACUUAGAGGAGCACUGGCCCGAGGGGGGGGGGCUAAAAUAAAGAUGACCCUCAGGCUCCGGAAACCCAAGGGAAAAAUUCUUAGGUGAGGCAAAUGGUAAAACCAAUGUUGGGCCUUGCUGGAGGAGUUUAUUCAAGGCGAACUGUCAAGGGGUUCCCAUAACACCCAACCGCGUUAGGGACGAAAAAUCCGGGAACAUAAUACCGAUAUGACGGAAACUAGGGCGGCAAGAGUGGAACAAAACACCAGGCAUAAGGCCGAGCCUUCCACCUUUUACCAAGUAUAUUGAUGCAUUAAUAAUAUAAGAGAUAUUGUGACAUCCCAACAUAAACAUAUUACCACAUGGAGCAAUCUUCAUCUUCACCUGCAACUAGCAACGCUAUAAGAGAGGCUGAGCAAAUGCGGUAACAUAGCCAAACAACGGUUUGCUAGGAAGGGUGACAAAGGUUAGAGAUUCAAGGCAAUUUGGGAGGCUUGAUAAGCAAGUGGUAGGUAACGCGGCAUAACGCUAGCAUCGAGGCACCUAGCAUAGCAAUGAUAGUAAUGAGAUCCAAGGUGACGGUAAUCUUGCCUGAAAUCCCGCUAGGAAGAAGAACGGCUCCAUGAAGAAGAUGAAGCCACGAAGACGAACCAAGCGUAGACGAACAAAUCCUCACGAUCGCAACAAAACGGGAACUAUCGAGAAGAAGCACACAACAUGGUAAACACACCACACAUGAACAAGGCAUGAUGCUCAAUCAAGUAUGAUGCAUGGCAAGGCUACAUGAGGCUACGCAUGGCAAGAGAUGAUGCAUACAAGAGCAACACAUCAAAGCAAGUUUAAAUGAGGCCGGAAACAACAUAUAACAAUUCCGGUAAGUCCUAUGCAAAUUUUGAAAUUGGUCCAGAUCUGAAUAAACCUUAUGUUCAAGUUGUUAAACAGCAGUCUACUCGGUUCGGACCAGCACUGGCCCCGGUGGGGGGGGGGCUAAAAUAAAGAUGACCCUCGGGCUCCGGAAACCCAAGGGAAAAAGGCUUAGGUGAGGCAAAUGGUAAAACCAAUGUUGGGCCUUGCUGGAGGAGUUUUAUUCAAGGCGAACUGUCAAGGGGUUCCCAUAAAACCCAACCGCGUUAGGGACGCAAAAUCCGGGAACAUAAUACCGAUAUGACGGAAACUAGGGCGGCAAGAGUGGAACAAAACACCAGGCAUAAGGCCGAGCCUUCCAACUUUUGCCAAGUAUAUAGAUGCAUUAAUAAUAUAAGAGAUAUUGUGAUAUCCCAACAUAAACAUAUUACCACAUGGAGCAAUCUUCAUCUUCACCUGCAACUAGCAACGCUAUAAGAGAGGCUGAGCAAAUGCGGUAACAUAACAACGGUUUGCUAGGAAGGGUGACAAAGGUUAGAGGUUCAUGGCAAUUUGGGAGGCUUGAUAAGCAAGUGGUAGGUAAAGCGGCAUAGCGAUAGCAUCGAGGCAACUAGCAUAGCAAUGAUAGUAAUGAGAUCCAAGGUGACGGUAAUAUUGCCUUAAAUCCCGCUAGGAAGAAGAACGGGUCCAUGAAGAAGAUGAAGCCACGACGACGAAUAAACGGAAGACACCUGGCGCAUCCCAUUCCGAGAACAUUCAAAUGCCACUCACGAAACGAGGUCUGAGAGGGGCAACGGGUGCGUGUGGGAGUGUCGGAACGCGAAACGGACAACGGGGAAAAAGACUGGAUGCAAGCUUUGAAAACAUGAGGAUGCAAUGCAGAUGAUGACAUGACAAAAUGCAACACGCAAGCAAAUGACAUGGAAACGACGAUGAAUAAACGGAAGACACCUGGCGCAUCGGAUUCGGGGCGUUACAACCACGCAUGAGUCCCUCGCACCUACACAAACAAACAAGAACCUCGCAACCAACGUGAUAAAGGGGUUGUCAAUCCCUCAACGGUCACUUACGAGAGUGAGAUCUGAUAGAUAUGAUAAGAUAAUAUUUUUGGUAUUUUUAUGAUAAUGAUGCAAAGUAAAAUAAAAGGCAAUAAAAAUAGCGAAGUGUUGGAAGAUUUAUAUGAUGGAAAAUAGACCCGGGGGCCAUAGGUUUCACUAGUGGCUUCUCUCGAGAGCAUAAGUAUUAUGGUGGGUGAACAAAUUACUGUUGAGCAAUUGACAGAAUUGAGCAUAGUUAUGAGAAUAUCUAGGUAUGAUCAUGUAUAUAGGCAUCACGUCCGAGACAAGUAGACCGACUCCUGCCUGCAUCUACUACUAUUACUCCACACAUCGACCGCUAUCCAGCAUGCAUCUACAGUAUUAAGUUCAAAAGAACAGAGUAACGCUUUAAGUAAGAUGACAUGAUGUAGAGGGAUAAACUCAUGCAAUGUGAUAUAAACCCCAUCUUGUUAUCCUUGAUGGCAACAAUACAAUACGUGCCUUGCUGCCCCUACUGUCACUUGGAAAGGACACCGCAAGAUUGAACCCAAAGCUAAGCACUUCUCCCAUUGCAAGAAAGAUCAAUCUAGUAGGCCAAACCAAACUGAUAAUUCGAAGAGACUUGCAAAGAUAACCAAUCAUACAUAAAAGAAUUCAGAGAAGAUUCAAAUAUUGUUCAUAGAUAAACUUGAUCAUAAACCCACAAUUCAUCGGUCUCAACAAACAGACCGCAAAAGAGGAUUACAUCGAAUAGAUCUCCACGAGAAUCGCGGAGAACAUUGUAUUGAGAUCCAAAGAGAGAGAAGAAGCCAUCUAGCUAAUAACUAUGGACUCGAAGGUCUGAGGUAAACUACUCACACAUCAUCGGAGAGGCUAUGGUGUUGAUGUAGAAUCCCUCCGUGAUCAAUGCCCCCUCCGGCAGGACGCCGGAAAAGGCCCCAAGAUGGGAUCUCACGGGUACAGAAGGUUCCGGCGGUGGAAUUAGGUUUUCGUGGAUGCUUCUGUUGGUUUGGGGGUACGUGGGAUAUAUAGGAGUAAGAAGUACGUCGGUGGAGCAACAUGGCCCCCACGAGGGUNNNNNNNNNNNNNNNNNNNNNNNNNNNNNNNNNNNNNNNNNNNNNNNNNNNNNNNNNNNNNNNNNNNNNNNNNNNNNNNNNNNNNNNNNNNNNNNNNNNNNNNNNNNNNNNNNNNNNNNNNNNNNNNNNNNNNNNNNNNNNNNNNNNNNNNNNNNNNNNNNNNNNNNNNNNNNNNNNNNNNNNNNNNNNNNNNNNNNNNNCCCCUACCUCGUGCCCUCCUCGUAGCUUUCUUGACAUAGGGUCCAAGUCCUCUGGAUCACGUUCGUUCCGAAAAUCACGUUCCCGAAGGUUUCAUUCCGUUUGGACUCCGUUUGAUAUUCUUUUUCUGCGAAACUCUGAAAUAGGCAAAAAACAUCAAUUUGGGCUGGGCCUCCGGUUAAUAGGUUAGUUCCAAAAAUGAUAUAAAAGUGUAUAAUAAAGCCAGUUAAACAUCCAAAAUAGAAUAUAAUAUAGCAUGAAGCAAUAAAAAAUUAUAGAUACGUUGGAGACGUAUCAUCCCCAUGCCCCCCGCGCACUCUUUCGGGGGCGCCGGCUGCCCCUGUCCCGCUGCUCACCGUCGCGCUGAAGGAAAUAUGCCCUAGAGGCAAUAAUAAAUUUAUUUUUUAUUUCCUUAUUUCAUGAUAAAUGUUUAUUAUUCAUGCUAGAAUUGUAUUAACCGGAAACUUAGUACAUGUGUGAAUACAUAGACAAACAGAGUGUCACUAGUAUGCCUCUACUUAACUAGCUCGUUGAAUCAAAGAUGGUUAAGUUUCCUAGCCAUAGACAUGAGUUGUCAUUUGAUUAACGGGAUCACAUCAUUAGAGAAUGAUGUGAUUGAAUUGACCCAUUCCGUAAGCUUAGCACUUGAUCAUUUAGUAUGUUGCUAUUGCUUUCUUCAUGACUUAUACAUGUUCCUAUGACUAUGAGAUUAUGCAACUCCCAAGUAACGGAGGAACACUUAGUGUGCUACCAAACAUCACAACGUAACUGGGUGAUUAUAAAGAUGCUCUACACGUGUCUCCGAUGGUACUUGUUGAGUUGGCAUAGAUCGAGAUUAGGAUUUGUCACUCCAAUUAUCGGAGAGGUAUCUCUGGGCCCUCUCGGUAAUGCACAUCACUAUAAGCCUUGCAAGCAAUGUGACUGAUGAGUUAGUUGCGGAAUGAUGCAUUACAGAACGAGUAAAGAGACUUGCCGGUAAUGAGAUUGAACUAGGUAUUGAGAUACCGACGAUCGAAUCUCGGGCAAGUAACAUACCGAUGACAAAGGGAACAACGUAUGUUGUUAUGCGGUUUGACCGAUAAAGAUCUUAGUUGAAUAUGUAGGAACAAAUAUGAGCAUCCAGGUUCCGCUAUUGGUUAUUGACCGGAGAUGAGUCUCGGUCAUGUCUACAUAGUUCUCGAACCCGUAGGGUCUGCACGCUUAACGUUCUGUGAUUAUCGGUAUUAUGAGUUUAUGUGUUUUGAUGUACCGAAGGUUGUUCGGAGUCCCGGAUGUGAUCAAGGACAUGACGAGGAGUCUCGAAAUGGUCGAGACAUAAAGAUCGAUAUAUUGGAUGGCUAUGUUUGGACAUCGGAAUGGUUCCGGUGAGUUCGGGCAUUUACCGGAGUACCGGGCGGUAACCAGAACCCCCCGGGGAGUGUAUGGGCCUUAUUGGGCCUUAGUGGGAGAGAGGAGGAGGCGGCCUAGGAGGGGGCGCACCCCCCAAGCCCAAUCUGAAUUGGGAGGGGGGCCGGCCCCCCUUUCCUUCCUCCCUCUCUCCUCCUUCCUUCCUCUCCUACUCCUACUUGGAAGGGGGGAAUCCUACUCCCGGUGGGAGUAGGACUCCCCUAGGGCGCGCCAUAGAGAGGGCCGGCCCUCCCCCUCCACUCCUUUAUAUACGGGGGAGGGGGGCACCCCAUAGGCACACAAGUUGAUCAUUGUCUUAGCCGUCUGCGGUGCCCCCCUCCACCAUAAUCCACCUCGGUCAUAUCAUCGUAGUGCUUAGGCGAAGCCCUGCACCUGUAGCUUCAUCAUCACCGUCAUCACGUUGUCGUGCUGAUGAAGCUCUCCCUCGACACUCAGCUGGAUCGAGAGUUCGUGGGACGUCACUGAGAUGAACGUGUGCAGAUCGUGGAGGUGUCGUACUUUCGGUACUAGGAUCGGUCGGAUCGUGAAGACGUACGAUUACAUCAACUGCUUUGUCACAACGCUUCCGCUUACGGUCUACGAGGGUACGUGGACUACACUCUCCCCUCUCGUUGCUAUGCAUCACCAUGAUAGAUCUUGUGUGUGCGUAGGAUUUUUUUGAAAUUACUGCGUUCCCCAACACGCGCCUCCCCUGCCCGUGCCUCGCCACCGCUCUGCUGCUACGCUACUACUGCGUUGUGGCUGCCGCCGCUUCCCGCUGCUCCGCCAGCGCCGUAGUUCCCGGUUGGCUCCGCCNNNNNNNNNNNNNNNNNNNNNNNNNNNNNNNNNNNNNNNNNNNNNNNNNNNNNNNNNNNNNNNNNNNNNNNNNNNNNNNNNNNNNNNNNNNNNNNNNNNNNNNNNNNNNNNNNNNNNNNNNNNNNNNNNNNNNNNNNNNNNNNNNNNNNNNNNNNNNNNNNNNNNNNNNNNNNNNNNNNNNNNNNNNNNNNNNNNNNNNNNNNNNNNNNNNNNNNNNNNNNNNNNNNNNNNNNNNNNNNNNNNNNNNNNNNNNNNNNNNNNNNNNNNNNNNNNNNNNNNNNNNNNNUAACCAUUUAAUAAAUUAAAACUCUUAAAUUAACAUUAGUGUAUGACAUGUGGGUCCCCUAUUAAUUAAACUGAUUUAAUUAAUUUCUAUUAACUUUGAGUCUAUGACAUAUUGGCCCCACUGAACAUUUGACUAGUCAACGGUCCAGUCAAAUGCUGACCGGACAGUUGACCAGAGGGCCCCACCAGUCAGCCUCUGUGCUGUUCUGCUGGGUACCUUUCUGAGUACACCUAGCAUUUCGCAUUUACAAUAUAUGUUUUAAAAUAAAUUAGAAUAAUUUAAAAAAAUGAUUAAAACUUUUAAAAUUAAAAUAAAAUAAUCCGUAACUCGGAUGAAAUUACUUUAUACAUGGAAGUUGCUCAAAAAACGAGACGAAUACGAAUACACAGUCCGUUCGUCUGGCACACGUCCCUAGCAUAGCGAAAAUGCAACCACCCCCCUCCGGUUCGACUGUCCGAAAAUGUCAAACACCGGGAAUAAGUUUCCGGAUGUUUCUCCCUUCACCAGUAGCACCUAGUACCAUGUGAGGGCAUACCUAGCACCACUUAUUGUCAUGUCAUGCAUCGUCAAGCAUCUGUUUGCAUUGUAUUCAUUGUUUCUUCCUCCUCUUCUCUCCGGUAGACUACGAGACCGACGCCGCUGCUGCCCCGGUCGACUAUGGUGUUGACGACCCCUCCUUGUCAGCAGAGCUUCCAGGCAAGCAAACCCCCUUGAUCAUCCCAAUAUUGCCUACUCUUUCCCUCUACUGCUUGCAUUAGAGUAUUGUUACUGUUUGUCAGUUUGAUCCUAUACUGCUGCAUGGCCUGUCUUUGAUACUACUUUUGAUACCUUUACCUGCAAUCCUAAAUGCUUAGUGUAGGAUGCUAGUACUUCAUCAAUGGACCUACAUUCUUGUCCGUCUGCCAUGCUAUACUGUCGGGCCGUGAUCACUUCGGGAGGUGAUCAAGAGUAUAUACUAUAUACAUAUUAUACUUGACACAUGAUGUGACUAAAAUCGGGUCGGCACGUAGAGUACCCACGAGUGAUUCAUGACCUAGGGGCUGAAGGGGCAUGUGGUUCCAUCCAGGUUGUGAUGGGCCUGGGUUCCCGACGCCCCCCCCACCCCGAGUGAUUCUUUGUGGCGGAGCGACAGGGCAGGUUGUGACCACCUAGGAGAUAGGUGGGCCUGGUCCUGGUCGGCGUCCGUGGUUACUUCAAAAUAAUACGCUUAACGAGGUUGGGUAUUUGAUCUGAGUUGGUCGUUGGCCUUAUUCGCACUAACCGCCACGUGGGACAAGAUAUGGGCAACCAGUGUCGUAGUAUCAGCCAAAGCUCUUCAGACGUCAGUGACUGAGUGGUGCGCGCCGGGUUGGACCGCGUAAUGCAUCCUCCUUUGUAAUGGAGGUUCCUAGCUCUGCUCACCGACGAUGUUCGCAACAUGCAGGAGUGCAACGGGCGAUGGGCCCAAGACCCCUGCGCGCUUAGGAUUUAGAUCGGCGUACUGACCUCUCUGUUGGGCCUAGGUAGGGUUGCGACGUGUUGAUCUUCCGAGGCCGUACGUGACCCAGGAAAGUGUGCCCAGCCAGAGCGAUCGAGCAUUUUCGGGUAAUGUGGUGCACCCCUGGAGGGAAGAUUGAUCUAUUCGGAUAGCCGUGUCCACGGUAACAGGAAGACUUGGAGUUGCAUUUCGACCUCAUGACAACUAGAGCCGGAUACUUAAUAAAACUCACCCAGAUAUGUUCCAGAUACAACCCGGUGAUCGCUCUCUCACAGGGUGACGAGGAGAGGAUCGUCGGGUAGGUUUAUGCUAUACGAUGUUACUUGGUUAACUUACUAGCUACUCUCUUCUAUAUGCUUCAAGAUGGAGGCUGCAGAAGCGUAGUGUUUGAUAGGACUAGCUUCUCCCCCUCUUAUUCUGAAAUUCUGCAGCUCAGUCCACAUAUACUACCCAUUUCAUUGAUACCGAUGCAUAUGUAGUGUAGAUCCUUGCUUGCGAGUAUUUUGGAUGCGUACUCACGGUUGCUUUGCUCCCACUUUUCCCCAUUUUCCAUUCUUCUCGGACGUCACAACCAGAUGCUAGUGCCUCAGAGCCAUACGCCACCUUCGACGACUCCUACUACACCGAGGGUGCCUACUACUACGUGCAGGCCACUGACGACCAGGAGUAGUUUAGGAGGAUCCCAGGCAGGAGGCGUGCGCCUCUUCGAUCUUUAUCCAUGUUUGUGCUAGCCAUCUUAUGGCAACUUGGUUAACUUAUGUCUGUACUUAGAUAUUUUUGCUUUGGCUGACUUGUCUGUGACAAGCUUAUGUAUUCGAGCACUCGAGGCCCCUGGCUUGUAAUAUAAAGCUUGUAUUAUUUUAUUCAUGUCUAGAGUUGUGUUGUGAUAUCUUCCCGUGACUCCUUGAUCUUGAUCGUACACAUUUGCGUGUAUGAUUAGUGCAUGAUUGAAUCGAGGGUGCCACAGCUUUGGAGAUACCCCUUACUUGGCCCCUCGCUCCGAAAACACGUUUGACGAUAGUUUUCUCUCGGAUCAAAUAUAUGUCAAGUUUAACAAAGUUUAUAUGAAUUAUUUUAUCAUAUCUAUAGUACCAUACAAAUAUACCAUAGAAAAAAAACAUAUUUCAUGCUGCACCAUGAAUUGGUCCGGUAAAUGUCGGGUAUGGAGACUCUAUUCUCUUUUGGCAUAAGUUGCCUCGGUCUCAAAAGUUUCAUGAACCGUUCUCUUUUGCCAUUAAGAAAAAGCUCUAUUUGGCUGAUUUUAUUCAUAGUGACCAUCUGGCUCUCCAUUUUCAUAGGCAUACCACCCUGCAAGCUCUUGCUCAAUUCAUUGACAUCAUUGACUUAGUUCAUAAAAAAAUCAACAAAUGGAAUAAAAUAAUAUCACGAAGAUACCAAUUACACCCGUCCUCUCUAUCAACAAGAUAUCCAAAGACAUCAAGGGUACACACAGCCAGAAAAAGGAUUAGAAGAAAAAAGACCCCCCCCCCUCCCUGAGGUGAUAAAUCACUAGCAUUAGUAGCACUCUCACCACACCGAAGACAACGCCCGGAUUACAAAAAAAGUUCUCCAAAAUCAACCCCCCAAGAAGGAAGCAAUGCACAAGUGUUGUCAUUGUCCGAUCGAAGAUCGUGGGUUUUCACCCUAGAAAAAUUCCAAGCUCAGCCAAAAGCAUUGCCUUGAAGGCCAUUUCCAGGUACAACCAAUAAAGGCUAGACCUUGGAUUUUCACCCUAGGAAUUCAGACUCAGUACUCGAGAGGUACCACCAAAAAUGUAGUCCUCCAGUGAUGGUGCCCCGCACUUCCCCAGCCCGCUGUUUCAAGUCACCAAACACCCCGCGCACAUUCUUCAUCGCAUUAAUUACAUCAUUCCACCAAAGCUUCAAGACCUCCAAUCACAGCCGCCAUGACUUCAUCCACCUCUAUCAAUGCCUUGAGAAUCCUGACUUAGACAUGUCCCAUGACACCAAUAAGAAAUCAAAGCUUCUUGCCAUGCCCUCUUGAGGUCGUGUUGGCUGAUAAUAUGAGCGUGCGCGACCGAAGCCUUUCCAAUCUAGAUAUCCAGGGGCGACAUACACCAAUUCAUAUAGAUAUCCGAUGGGAAAGACCGAAACUCGUCAGCGGCUAGAUCUAAGAGGUCGACGUAUGGCAGAAAGACGACUUGGCGGAAGAAUAGUACUAGGGCCAAACCACCAUUAUUAGGCCGAAGCUAACAUCCCCACACGCCGUCCUCCCCUCAAUCUAGACCUACAGACAAAGAUCAGCGACGCCGCAUCGUGCCACCCACAUGCGUGGAGGCCCGAACAUGGCAAGACGCCAACCAUGGCAGGAGACUAGGACCAGCCACUCCUGGGCUGAUCCGGCGACUCCCAGGCCCACCCCUGCCACUAUGGUGGCACCACCCCUGCCUACAAGCCCAUCCACGAUGAUGCCUGAUUAGAAGGAUACAUGGAUAUACAGAUGGAAAGGCCCUUUUUUUGCGAAUGAAUUCUUUCAUUACUCAGGUAUCAAAGAAUACAAUUCGUCCCACAAGUGCCAAAACAUCUUCCGGACCAGAUCCUAGCCAAACCAAAGUUCAGCGUUGCAACCUACCAAAAUUUGCCAAGGCAUGACUAACCCUAUUACAGCUCCGGCGAAUAUGAGUAAUGCAAGAAUUCCUUUCUCCCAAACUACUAAUGAUCUCUCUGAUGAUGAAAGCAUAUUUAGAUUUGUUGCUAUUCCCUCUCUUAAUCAUAUUGACAGCCUCUAAACAAUCAGACUCCACGUCUAUUGGUAAGAUGCUCCACUGAAGGGCCAAAGAAAUUCCCUCCCUUAUUGCAAGUAACUCUGCCUCCAGUACAUCAUCACAUGCAUAGAGAAAUCUGCAAGCAGUGAAAACAAUUUCUCCUUCCUGAUUCCUUAGGAUCAUUCCGGCUCCCGCAGUAGAGCCCAGGACCGAAGCAUCCGUGUUGAGUUUGACUCUGCCCACCGCUGGAGCGGACCAAGAGCCCUGCACUUCAUCAACUUUGUAUAUGUCCUGAUCGGGAAUCUGAAAACAUGCAGCUGGCAUUUUUCCUUUCACUAAAGCAUCACUUCAGCAUAUGUGAAUGGAGUUUAAGGAUGACAGAUAGCUGGACAGGAAGCACACCGAAACAUCCACGGGCGGUGGUUGUUUUGCAUGCACAAUUUCGUUACGCACAUACCAGAUUUGCCAGAAUAGCAUCAUGAUCCUAGCUCUCUCCUCUUCAUGCAUUUUCGAUAGGAGAUGAAGGAACCCAUCACGACCAACAUGUACAAUGCUUAGUCGGUCCGGCAAUGUCCAUUCCUUCACCAUGGCCUUCCAUAGGAUCGCAGCAUGAUUACAAGUGCAAAAAACAUGGAACGAGUCCUCCUCCUCCGUACCACACACAGGGCAUGUACCUGAGACUUCCAAGUUCCUUUUCACUUUAUUUGUCCAAUUUGCUAGCGAAUCUGUAGCUAAUCUCCAAGCAAAAGACUGAACCUUUGGUGGUACAGUACUUUGCCAUAUAAAGUUCCAUGCUUCUCUUGUUCCAUCCGGCCGGGAACUUGUAGAAACCUCACUAGGAUUUGAGCAUUCAUCACUAGCCAGUUUGUACGCACUACGUACCAUAAAACCUCCACCUUUUUCAGGCGCCCAAGGAACAAAGUCUUCAUCAAGCCGAGCAGAUGGUUUUAUUUUCUAGAUUUCAACAAUGCCGCCCGGGAGAAAAAACUGAUUUAUCUUGUCAAAGUCCCAAUUACCAUGGAUAUUCAGUAGCUCCGAGACCCACCUCAGGCGGCACCUACCACGCUGUGUAAUCAAGCCUCCAGUUGGCUCGCGUGCUAUCCAUCGGUCUCUCCAUAUACGUACAUUUUGACCAUUUCCGAUUCUCCAGACCACGUCUUUUUUUCAGAACUUCGAGACCAUAGGCAAUGGCCUGCCAUGUAGGUGAUGGGUUACUAGUGAACACCGUAUCCAGUAAGCGCCAAUUUGGUAAAUACUUCACUUUUAAAAGCCUUGAGCAUAAACUGUUAGGGAACUCUAGUAUUCGCCACGCCUGACGAGCAAGGAGCGCUUGGUUAAAUAGACAAAAGUCUUUAAAACCAAGGCCGCCUUGCUUCCUUGGCCUAGUCAUUUUCUCCCAUGCAUACCAAUGUGUUUUCCUCUUCCCUUUCUCUGCACCCCAAAAAUAGUUCCUAACCAUGCGGUUUAGAUCAUCACAUACCUCCAGCGGGAGCUUGAACACACUCAUAAUAUAUGUAGGGAUACAUUGACCAACAACACGGAUUAACACUUCCUUUUCCGCUUGAGUAGGGUUCUAAGACUGACAGUAGAAUGGGGGUUAGGUAUGAAGAGGCAAGAUCCCAGCUGUGGUGAAGUUGUACACACGAGAUUUACGAGUUCAGGCCCUUCACGGUGGAAGUAAUAGCCCUACGUCUCGGUGUCCGGAGGCGGUCGACUGGAUUAUAUGUGUGUGGAGUUACAGGGGGUGCGAACCCUUAUCCCUGAGGAGGGGGGUGGCUUAUAUAGAGUUCGCCAGACCCCUCCCGCCCUCAGUUACACAGGGUUUAAGGUACAUAAAGAUGGGGCGUUUCUGGUAACGCCAGUAAUAAAGUGACAUAAAUGUCCAUUAAGUCUACAGACUAAACGUCCGACCUUUGCUAUUCAGAGUGACUUUAGGUCUCCUGCCUGUCGAGGCAUUCCUGUUACGAUCGAGUGAGCUUGAAUCUUCCGAGUGGAAUGCCUCUAGUCGAGUGGAUGAUGAUAUCCCUUGAAUGCUUCUGACUUUAGGGUAAUGACCUAGGGGAGGGUGUCCAGGUCAGGUCUAUGACCCUACCCUAGGUACAUGUCUUCAUCAUUAGCCCCCGAAUGGUUCAGGGUUUGAGUGGAGAAGGAGUUGAUAAUAUUUUCGACUCAAUUUUUGCGCUUCGGAGGCGUCUUGUUGGGAUCAAUGAACAACAUGAUGACUUCAUCUUCUUUUCCAGCCGCCUUGACCCAUUCUUAAUUAGUCAAGUGAACUUUUACUGCUAAGCUUCGAGUGUUGGUAUGGAAAAAAAUCUUCAGUCUGACAGGUUGUUCUGCUGCUCGCGGAUCUUCCGGGAUUCGAAUUUCGGGAAGCGCGCGGGGUGGAGGAGGCCGCGGUAAUCAGAGAAGAUUAGGCAGGGAUGCCUCGAUAUCCGCGCCACCUUUUUCGCCACGUGCUGCGCGCGCAACUGUUGCGGGUUUGACAGGAUCGCCUGGGCCCACAGGUCAGCCACUCGGAAAUGGUUCCAUAUAAGGCGUCGCGGCUGGGGUUUUCUGCACAGUACACCUCAUCUCCUCUCUUCCUCCUCUGUUUUCCAUCGCAUCCACCUCCUCCCUCGGCGCCGCCGCUCUGCCCGAAAUCGACCCUCCGCAAUGGGAAAGGAGAAGACGGUGGCUCUGGAGCGCACGAAGAAGGCGACAGCGAAGGCGAAAGGGAGAAAGACGAGCCGGGGAGGGUCCUCGUCGAGAUCCGGUUUACUGCCCGGCUCAUCCAGGGUGAUUGGAUUCCGUGGACGAUCCGGCAAGUCGACGUCGAUGAUUUGGUCGAGGGGGGACUGAUUCCCCACGGAUCUGGGUGGCUCCCGGAGGACGAGACUGAGCCGCGGCCGCAGGAGGGUGAGUGUGUUCUCCUCGCCACCCAUGUUGACCGUGGUUUUUCUUUGCCUCCCCAUCCUUUCUUCCGAGGCUUCUUGAACUUCUUUGGAGCACAACUUCAUCACUUUUCCCCCAACACAAUCACGUACCUCGCUGCAUUCAUUUCUAUGUGUGAGAAUUUUCUGGGUUGUCGACCACACUGGGGUCUCUUCAAACACAUUUUCACCUGUCGUUCUCAGUCGGUCAAAAAGGCCAAUCCGAGUGACGAGAGGAUGCAUGUGAUCCAGACGUGUGGGGGUCUUGGGAUCCAAAUGAGAGGCAAGAGUACUUUCCCAGCCAUGAUUCUUCCCGAGUCAGUCAGAGGGUGGUAGUCGACCUGGUUCUACUGCAAAGACCAGCCGACUCCAGGCCAGUCGACUGGACUUCCCCCCUUUUCCAUGGCUCGAGUUGAGAAGCCCUCUGCCUUGAAAGUGACUCCAGCAGAAAAAGCGGAGGUGAAGGUGUUGGUCGAGCGAGUGGUCCAGCUCGUUCGUGACGGCGUGACUGGCAGGGAUCUGUUGGAGGUCUUCCUUAGACGACGCAUUCAGCCACUUCAAGCUCGUGACCAUCCGAUGUGGAUGUACUCCGGCAUUGAUGAUACCACUCGGAUCCACCCGGAGGAGGUCGACAAGGAUACAGUGGCACAAUGGCUGAGGGGCAUCACUGGUAACAAGGAUAACCCAGGGGGUCCAGGAGGAUCCCUCCACUCGACAACUCGUAUGAACCAGAUAAGGUCCAACUCUAAAUUUCCGAGUGUUUUCUUGAUCUACCGUGUAAUUACUUUUUGCCAACCGACUGACAUUUGUUCCACCUAUUGUCUUUUAGGCCCUCACUGAGAUGUACUCGAUGCCCAACAGAGAGCAGGAGCAGGAUCCGGAAGGGGAGGCGAGAGCGGCGAGUGGCACUCUGAUGGGGGAGAAGAUGACGAAAGUGACGACUCUGGUGACGGCGAAGAAGUCGACUCACCCCCUCGCACCGAAAGGCGAUCCAAAGAAAUCCACGACCCGGCAAGUAUCUGAGGCAAAGCGACCGCGCAGACUGGGCGGCAGACCUCAAAGUGCCCUCGGACGUCUUCUCCAGCGCCGACUGAGAGGGCCCCGAAACAAUCAAAAGCUACGCCGUCAAAACCGCGGAAGCCUUUGCCCAAGAUCAAAGUGGUCGUGCCCCUUGAUUCCAGGUAAUAAUUGGACUUGAUUUCUUGGUUUAGCAUGAAUUGAAUUUUGGUCGACUCAUUUCGGCAGACAUAACCGACUGAAUCUUGAGAUUUGCAGUGCUGCUACCUUUGAGACUUCUGUUUAUAGGAAUGAAGACGAGUAAAUGGAAGAUGCAGUCACCUCUAAUCCGGGUACGACUCUCGUAAUCCUAUUUUUACUUUCUCGGCCGUUUUAUUGGUCGACUGAAUUCCGGCGAUUGAUUCUUUUUGCAGCUCCUCCCAAUGUCAUUGAUCUUCCAGACGACGACGAGGAUGUGCCGCUGAGGCCUCUGGGAAGAAGAAACAGGAAGACGUCAACUGGCAGAGCGCCUUAGUCGACGCCGGUGACGGAACCGGUAAUCCAGGAGGGCGGUGAUGCCAAUCGGACUUCCCUGAUUUUCGCCGUACCAUUGACGAGUGCCCAGCCCUCAGCGUCGACUGCGCAGACUCCAGCCGAUCCAUCUUCACUCUUUACUGCACAUCACGUCCCAGAGGACCAAGUGGGCGCUGCCAAGGAGGCUAUACACCAGGCGGGCAUCAUGAUGGAGCAGAUGAAGGUGGUACGGGAGACCAGCCAAGCUGCUUAUGACGCCAGCUCAGCUCUCCAGAACAAUGUCCAGGUUAGUUGAUCACCGACUGACUCUUUAGCUUGUUGCUUGUUCUGUUAGGAUAUGCUACCUGAAAACUUUCCUUGAAGGAUCUUUCCAUCAGUCUGCGUUUUGCAUUUGUACACCCACUGGGUGUUUUGAUAUGUCACUGAGUAGUCUUGUAUCUUGAAUCGACUAAGUUGUCUCGAUUGAGUCUUUGAACUAGUGGGGGCACGCUGAGUGCACCCACUGGGUGUAGUCCCCAAGACCAUAGUUGACUACGAGCAGUCAACUAUGGUGUGAGAAUUGGAAUUUUCUCACUCGGCCUGCACAGACCAUGUCGAGUGGAACUUGAGCCAGUGGCGGCACGCUAAGUGCACCCACUGGGUGUAGUCCUCGAGACCAUAGUUGACUACGGGCAGUCGACUAUGGUCUGAGAACAACUUUUUUUUACACUCAGCCUGGACAGACCAUGUCGGGUGGAAACUGGACCAGUGGUGGCACGCUAAGUGCACCCACUGGGUGUAGUCCCCGAGACUACUGUUGGAUGUUCGAUUCGGCAGUAGUCUUAGAACUUGUUGAAUUUAUCACUCUAUUGCUCUGAAGUAACCAAUAUUUCCAUCCGUCGACUGACCGUCUUUUGAUUACAGAAAUCCUGUGAACUUGGAGCCCGUUUUGCUGACCUGGAGCAGAAGCAGAUUCAGCUCAACCUCGACCUAGAGCUGGCCAAGACAAACUUGCAGAAGGCCAAGGAUGAAGUCACUGGUACAAAAAACUUGCCGACUGAUUUGUUUCCGACCCGGGUGUUAUUUGUUUUUUCUGAACCAAGCAUCAUUUCUUUCAGAAGCAAUGAACCAAGCUCUGGCGAAGAAGGAUCUGGACCUUGCAGCCGCGCAGAAAGCAGCCGAAGAGAAAACUGCACUCGCCGACCAGAAGCUGGCUUCAGUCGGCAAACUGGAGGAAGAGAACACCAAGCUGAAGACUGCCUUGGAUGAAGCCAACAAGGAGGCGACUCGUCUGAAGAAGGACAGGAACAACCUGACCGAAAAGGUGGAAGCUAUUGCCCGCAAGAGAGAUGACUUGGAAAAUUAUCUGGGAGGUCUUGCCAAGAAGCUGUUCGUCAUGCUUGAAGGUGCUUUCCUUUGUCCGACUGACUUGUUGCUGUCGACUCGAUAUAUAACCAUUGACUCAUCCUUGUAUUGUGUGCGCAGAAUUUUGCCAGAACUUCGAGGAAGAGACUGGGCGAGUUGAGACAAGCUUGGACCCCAUCUCUCUCCUGUGAAGGAUGAAGCUGCCAUGAACGUGCUCUGACUGGAAUCCCGUGUCGCUGGCAUUAUCGAUUAUCUUGCCCGAUUGAAAGUCGCGGUGUCGCGAAUCGACACAGCACUCUGGCCAAGGGCGACGCUCCAAAAUGACCUCGAGUCUCUGAUGGCUCGACUUAAUGAAGUUCACGGUCGAGUGCAGGAAUGGAAGAAGUCUUCUGCUCCAUGCGGUGCUGAUGUGGCUCUGUCCCUGGUUCGUGUCCACUACAAGGAAGCGCGAGAAGAGAAGCUAGCAGCAAUCAAGGUUGCCAAUACCAAAAGGCACGACUUCCAAUCCUUCAUGGAAUCCUUUAUUGCUGCCGCCACUCGGAUUGCUGACGGAAUCGACCUGGACGAGUUCGUCGAGCCCGCUAGCCCACCUCCUGCGGAGUGAACAAACUUUAUGCCUCACCUUAAAUUUGCCUCGGAAUGCCGAGUGAUUUUGUAACCGUUAAACUCCUUCGGGCCUGACGCCCGAGUACUUUAAUCCGUGGUCUGGUACUUUAGGAUUCAUCUGAACUUGGUUUAUCUAAGAAUAUGCUUGUGUUUGUCUUCGGGUGGAACUUGUUGUUCACUCGGAAUAGUCUUUGUACUUGUGAUGCACCUCCGAGGAGAAGGUCGCAAUCGACCUGCACCUCGUUGUCCUUGCGGAUCGGGAUGGAGCGCGCAUUGUACUUAUGGCGCAGCUCUGAGGAGAAGGUCGCAGUCGACCUGCACCCCAUCGUCCUUGCGGAUCGGAAUGGAGCGCACAUUGUACUUAUGGCACAACUCUGAGGAGAAGGUCGUAGUCGACCUGCACCUCGUCGUCUUUGCGGAUCGGGAUGUGUUUUUAAAGUUAGGCGAGUACUGGACUGCAGCUAAGCCCCCGAGUGAGAGGUUUUCUCUCCACUCGGUAAGAUUUUUCAGACUUAGGCGAGUACUGGACUGCAGCUAAGCCCCCGAGUGAGAGGAUUGCUCUUCACUCGGUGGGAUUUUUCAAACUUAGGCGAGUACUGGACUGCAGCUAAGCCUCCGAGUGAGAGGAUUGCUCUUCACUNNNNNNNNNNNNNNNNNNNNNNNNNNNNNNNNNNNNNNNNNNNNNNNNNNNNNNNNNNNNNNNNNNNNNNNNNNNNNNNNNNNNNNNNNNNNNNNNNNNNNNNNNNNNNNNNNNNNNNNNNNNNNNNNNNNNNNNNNNNNNNNNNNNNNNNNNNNNNNNNNNNNGAGUGAGAGGCUUGAUCACCACUCGGUAGGAUUUUUCAAACUUAGGCGAGUACUGGACUACAGCUAAGCCCUCGAGUGAGAGGCUUGCUCACCACUCGGUAGGAUUUUUCAAACUUAGGCGAGUACUGGACUGCAGCUAAGCCCCCGAGUGAGAGGCUUGCUCACCACUCAGUAGGAUUUUUCAAAGUUAGGCGAAACGGAUUCGCAGCUAAGCCUCCGAGUGAGAGGCUUGCUCACCACUCAGUAGGAUGUUUUAGACUUAGGCGAAACGGAUUCGCAGCUGAGCCACCCACCGGGGGAUUUUAAACAUAUGAAUAAGCAACGACAAUCAUUUUAGAAGACUGUAAAACUCUGUCUUUGAUAAACAAACUAAAAGUUAUUUCUUAUUACAUCUCAACAGACUGAGUACUUAAGUAUAAAAACGACGGAGCAACUCUCCAUUCCAAGCAUGUGGUUCGCCCUUCUUAUGCUCGUUGUUGUAGAGGUGAUACGCUCCGUUGUGGAGCACUUUGGUGAUGAUGAAGGGGCCUUCCCAAGCAGGAGUGAGCUUGUGUGGUUUCUGCUGAUCCACUCAAAGAACCAGGUCUCCCUCUUGAAAUGCCCGACCUUUCAUGUUUCUAGCGUGGAAUCGACGGAGAUCUUGCUGAUAGAUGGUCGACCUGAUCAAGGCCAUCUCUCUUUCUUCUUCCAGAAGAUCAACGGCAUCUUGCCGUGCCAGCUCUGCUUUGGCUUCUGAGAAAAGUUCUACUCGGGGUGCAUUGUGAAGCAAAUCACUCGGAAGCACAGCCUCAGCUCCGUAAACAAGAAAGAACGGGGUUCGACCAUUCGACCGAUUUGGAGUUGUUCUCAAUCCCCAGAGUAGUGACGACAGUUCAUCAACCCAAGCUCCUGCAACAUGCUUGAGAUCACGCAUCAGUCGGGGUUUUAGCCCCUUGAGGAUCAAACCGUUUGCUCUUUCUGCUUGUCCAUUCGACUGUGGGUGGGCGACUGAAGCACAGUCGACCUGAGUGCCUUGGGAAGCACACAAAGCUCUGAAUUCAUCUGAUUCAAAGUUUGAUCCAUUAUCCGUGAUAAUGUUGUGUGGGACUCCAUAUCUGAAAGUUAACUCUUUGAUGAAGCUGACAGCGGUACUCGCUUCGAGGUUCUUGAUGGGCUUGGCCUCAAUCCAUUUGGUGAACUUGUCGACUGCUACGAGCACGUGAGUGAAACCACUUCUGCCAGUCCUCAAGGGUCCAACCAUAUCUAAACCCCAGACAGCAAAUGGCCAGACGAGUAGAAUGGUCUUCAAGGCUGAUGCGGGUUUGUGUGACAUGUUGGAGUAGAACUGACAGCCUUCACAUUUGUCUACUAUUUCUUUCACCAUCUCAUUGGCAUGUGGCCAGUAAAAUCCGGCUCGGUAUGCUUUGGCCAUGAAGGUCCGAGAGGACGCAUGGUGACCACAGGUCCUCGAGUGAAUAUCAUUGAGGAUCAUUCGGCCUUCUUCUGUCGUGAUGCAUUUCUGGCUGACUCCAGUUAAACUUUCUCUGAACUGCUGUCCUCUUAUCACAGUAAAGGCCUUGGAUCGACAGACGAUCUGUCGAGCCUCUUCUUCAUCCUUUGGGAGUUCCUUCCUAAGAAUGUUUGCAAUGUAUGGCACUGUCCAGUCGGGAGUGACGACCAAAACCUCCAUGAUCAAGUCGACCACGGCUGGGACUUCGACUUCAGUCGGAUCAGUGGCACUCUUAGGCUGUGGGGGCUCUUCAGUGAAAGGAUGUUCCUGAACUGAAGGUGCGUGAAUAUGCUCCAAAAACACAUUGCUGGGAACGGUCUCUCUCUUGGAACCUAUCUUUGCCAAGUCAUCAGCAACUUGAUUUUUUAGUCGGGGUAUAUGGUGGAGCUCUAACCCCUCAAACUUCUUUUCCAGUUUUCUCACUUCAUUAUAAUAACCAGUCAUAGCCGGGCUUCUGACGUAUUACUUGAUUAACCACCAAAUCUGAGUCGCUGUAGACCAUUAGGCGACGGACGCCGAGUGAAAUGGCCAUACGCAACCCGUAUAGAGGUGCUUCAUAUUCAGCUUCGUUGUUGGAGGAAUCAAAAUGAAUCUGAAGAACAUAGCUGAGUCUGUCUCCUCGGGGGGAUACCAAUACCACCCCAGCACCAGAACCAUUCAGCAUCUUGGAUCCAUCAAAGAACAUGGUCCAAUGCUCCGAGUGAAUCUGAGUCGGUUGUUGCUGCUCAACCCACUAGAAGAGGAAAUCUGCUAUUGCUUGGGACUUGAUAGCUUUCUUUGCCUCAAACUUGAUAUCCAAGGAACGGAGUUCAGUCGCCCACUUUGCCCCUCAACCAGUUGCAUCUCUGUUGUUCAGAAUUUAUGACAAUGGUGCGUCGCUAACGACUGUAAUGGAGUGAUCAGAGAAAUAAUGCGCAACCUUCUUCGUGGUGAUGUAAAUUCCAUAGACAAGCUUCUGAUAAUGUGGAUAUCUUUGCUUGGAUGGAGUCAAGACUUCAGAAAUAUAGUACACUCGGAGUUGAACUUUAUAGGCUUUUCCUUCUUCUUCCCGCUUGACCGUGAGCACUGUAUUGACAACUUGUCCAGUGGCUGCAAUAUAAACCAGUAAAGGCUGUUUGCUGAUUGGGGCAGCAAGCAUCGGCUGUGUGGAAAGCAGAGUUUUGAGUUCUGCAAACGCUCCGUCAGCUUCAGGAGUCCACUCGAACUUAUCAGAUUUCUUCAUCAGUCGGUAAAGAGGCAAUGCAUUUUCACCGAGGCGAGAGAUGAAUCGACUCAAGGCGGCCAAGAAACCAGUAAGCUUCUAAAUGUCAUGCACAUGCACAUGGCGUUUCAUCCGGAGUAUGGCCCCAACUUUCUCUGGGUUCACGUCGAUCCCACGUUCGGAAAUGAGAAAACCGAGUAACUUUCCUCCUGGAAUUCCGAAUGUGCAUUUCGUCGGAUUAAGCUUGAUAUCAUAUCUUCUCAGGUUGGCAAAGGUUUUAGUGAGGUCAGUCAGCAGGUCGGAACCUUUACGCGACUUGACCACAAUGUCAUCCAUAUAUGCUUCCACAUUUCGACUGAUUUGAGUGAGUAGACACUUCUGAAUCAUCCUCAUAAAUGUGGCGCCAGCGUUCUUGAGACCGAAUGGCAUGGUGACAUAACAAAAGCACCCGAAUGGAGUGAUGAAAGUUGUUUUUAUCUCAUCGGGUCCAUACAGUCGGAUCUGAUGAUACUCGGAAUAGGCGUCCAGAAAAGACAAACACUCACACCCCGCAGUCGAGUCGACGAUUUGGUCGAUACGGGGGAGAGGGAAAUGAUCUUUCGGACAGGCCCAAUUGAUAUGCUUGAAGUCAAUGCACAUACGAAGUGAGUCGUCCUUCUUGGGAACCAUGAAAACAUUGGCGAGCCACUCGGAAUGGUAAAUCUCUCGAAUGAACUCAGCCGCUAGGAGCCGAGCCACUUCUUCACCAAUUGCAUUUCUCUUCUGUACGGCGGACCGUCGAAGAUGUUCCUUGACUGGUUUCACUUUCGGGUCGACUCGCAAACGGUGCUCAGCCAGUCCCCUGGGUACACCCGGCAUGUCAGAAGGUUUCCAUGCCAAGAUGUCCCAGUUCUCACGGAGGAACUGGAUGAGCGCUUCUUCCUAUUUGCUAUCGAGUGAUGUUGAAAUAUGAGUAGGAGCAGCAUUAGGAUCGGUUGGGUGAAUAUGAAUUGGCUUUGUUUCAUCGGACGACUAAAACGCAGAAUCUGUGGCAGGCUUCUUGGCUCGCAAUAAAUCACUCGGAUCCGCAUUUUUCUGAUACUCUUGCAUUUCAACUGCUGCAAUUUGUGCAUCGGCAAUUUUAGAACCCUUCUUGAAGCAUUCUUCUGCCUUCUGCCGAUUGCCAGUGACUGUGAUCACUCCUCUGGGACCAGGCAUUUUCAACUUGAGAUAUACAUAACAUGGCCGAGCCAUGAAUCGUGCAUACGCCGACCUCCCCAUAAUAGCAUGAUAAGCACUCUGGAAAUCCACUACUUCAAAUGUCAACUUUUCCUUACGGUAAUUCUUUGAAUCACCGAAAACCACGUCAAGGUUUAUUUGGCCGAGUGAUUCAGCCUUCUUGCCAGGGAUGACGCCGUGAAAGGUCAUGUUGCUCUCACUAAGUUUGGACAUCGGGAUGCCCAUCCCCUUCAAGGUUUCAGCAUAAGGGAUAUUCAGGCCGCUACCACCAUCCAUUAGCACUUUCGUCAGUCGAGUGCCUCCAACCACUGGGUCGACCACCAACGCUUGCCUCCCAGGGCUGGCUAUGCGAUCAGGGUGAUCAGACUGGUGGAAUGUGAUAGCUGUUUGUGACCACUUCAGGUAUGUUGUCGUUGCCGGAGCAACCAUAUUCACUUGUCUAUUGAUCACUUUCAGUCGACUUUUGCUGUCAACAUCAGCAAAAAUCACUAGGAUGGAAUUGACAUUGGGAAAACCAUCAUCUUCCUCUUUGUCCUCAUCCUUGUCUGAUUCCUUUUCCUUCUCAUUAGGCUGUUUCUCUCGGAAUUGCUGGAUCAGAACCUGACAUUGUCGAGUGGUAUGCUUAGGAUAAAUCAGAUUGCCUUCUUCAUCCUUCUUGGUGUGAAUGUGACAUGGCAAAUCCAACACAUCAUUUCCGGCUUGAUCUUUCACUUUCUUGGGGGUCCAGGGCCCCUUAGGUUUCCCUUUAAAUUUUCCUUGAAUCACUCCGCAGUUUCACCAGGUCCCGCAGGUUCAGCUUUACGCUUCUGUUUCCGAUUGGAAUUGCCUCCACCUGUGUCCUGAUCGACUGGUUUGCUCUUUCCACUGCGGAGUCGAUCCUCUUCUUCUCCAUUAGCGUACCGAGUGGCUAUUUCCAUCAUCCAAGUCAGAGACAUAUCUCCCAUCCGAUAGAACUUCAGAACCAGUUCUCGAUACUUAACGCCUUCCUUGAAGGCACAAACUGCUUGAUGCUCGGGUACAUUUUCCACUGUGUGAUGCAAAGUGGUCCACCGCUGAAUGUAAUCUCUCAGAGUUUCAUUCGGUUUUUGCACGCAAUGCUACAAUUCUGUUAACCCCGCUGGCCGCUUGCAUGUACCCUCAAAUGUUCUAACAAACACUCGGGCGAGUUCCUCCCAACUGAAUAUACUGCUCGGUGCUAACUGAGUCAACCAUGCCCUGGCCGAGCCUUCCAACAUCAUAGGUAGAUGCUUCAUGGCCACUUCAUCAUUGCCGCUACCAAUCUGCACAGCCACUCGGUAAUCCUCAAGCCAAGUAUCAGGCUUGGACUCACCAGUGAACUUGCUGACUCUAGUCGCCAACCUGAAGUUGGGAGGAAUCACCGCAGCUCUGAUGGCUCUGCUAAAACACUCUGGACCUGAAACAUGAACUCUGCUGCGAGUCGGGUCAUCUCUAUCAAGGCCCUAUCUGUGUGCCCUGUUCCUGUUGACUAGACCUUGAACGAGAAUAGAUCUCGCAUCAAAUCCUGGCUCUCUUGGGUCGACUGGUAUUCUUCGCUCACCACUGUGAGGGCGUCUGUCUUCAUAUUGCCGAGGCACAUAUGACCCACUCCUCGGAGGAGGUGUGGUCACUCGACGACGGUCAUCAUGGCCGAGUCAGUGAUCAUAUUGCUCGUGGUUUCUGUACUGAUCUUGCUGGUGCCCACGUCCCUCACGCCGAGGGGGCGGUCUUGGGCUGUGGGCGGACUGGACUAUAUCUGCCAUCACAGAUCUGCUAUGAAUCUUAUUCGGCGACUGAGACACUGCUAUGUUCUGCUCUCCUGCUGCCCGUAGUAAGGCCCGGAUCUGCAUCAAACCUCUGCCAGCUUCCGACUGGGAAGGCUGAAUUCACACUGCGACAUGGGCUGUAGCUGUGAGAUUUUGAAUCGGAGUGCUGUAUACCUGAGGUUGUGGUGGAAAAAGCUGUCGUCGACUAGACUCAGGGAUCCGCUGCCGAGCACGCUCGUCGAUGCAUGGUGAAGGUUCUCCAGUCGAGUGCGCUCAGCCAAGUUGGCCAGGCGCGCCUCCUCCAAGGCCCGAGCCUCGAGGGUUUCCCCAACGAUGGGCGUGUGGAGUGCAUCCACGUUGCGGCGGCGAAGCUCUUCCCUCUGCUGCGAAGAAAGGGGUUCCGGGCGAUACUCCUCGUGAACGCGUGACGGAUCGACGCCACCAUCACCGCCGUCAUCGCGGCAGAAGCCAGGCGGACUACAUGGUCCGUCGACCAUCAAGACUUCAGCUGCGGGGUCGCUGCUAUCGCACUCGGAUGCGGUCUUGAUGUCUACUACGCAACCUUCUUCUUGUAGACGUUGUUGGGCCUCCAAGUGCAGAGGUUUGUAGGACAGUAGCAAAUUUCCCUCAAGUGGAUGACCUAAGGUUUAUCAAUCUGUGGGAGGCGUAGGAUGAAGAUGGUCUCUCUCAAACAAGCCUACAACCAAAUAACAAAGAGUCUCUUGUGUCCCCAACACACCCAAUACAAUGGUAAAUUGUAUAGGUGCACUAGUUUGGUGAAGAGAUGGUGAUACAAGUGCAAUAUGGAUGGUAGAUAUAGGUUUUGUAAUCUGAAAAUAUAAAAACAGCAAGGUAACUAAUGAUAAAAGUGAGCGUAAACGGUAUUACAAUGCUAGGAAACAAGGCCUAGAGUUCAUACUUUCACUAGUGCAAGUUCUCUCAACAAUAAUAACAUAAUUGGAUCAUAUAACUAUCCCUCAACAUGCAACAAAGAGUCACUCCAAAUUCACUAAUAGCGGAGAACAAACGAAGAGAUUAUGGCAGGGUACGAAACCACCUCAAAGUUAUUCUUUCGGAUCGAUCUAUUCAAGAGUUCGUACUAGAAUAACACCUUAAGACACAAAUCAACCAAAACCCUAAUGUCACCUAGAUACUCCAAUGUCACCUCAAGUAUCCGUGGGUAUGAUUAUAUGAUAUGCAUCACACAAUCUCAGAUUCAUUUAUUCAACCAACACAUAGAACCUCAAAGAGUGCCCCAAAGUUUCUACGGGAGAGUCAAGACGAAAACGUGUGCCAACCCCUAUGCAUGGGUUCAUGGGCGGAACCCGCAAGUUGAUCACCAAAACAUACAUCAAGUGAAUCAAUAGAAUAACCCAUUGUCACCACGGUUAUCCCACGCAAGACAUACAUCAAGUGUUCUCAAAUCAUUAAAGACUCAAUCCGAUAAGAUAACUUCAAAGGGAAAACUCAAUCCAUUACAAGAGAGUAGAGGGGGAAGAAACAUCUUAAGAUCCAACUACAAUAGCAAAGCUCGCGAUACAUCAAGAUCGUAUCACCUCAAGAACACGAGAGAGAGAGAUCAAACACAUAGCUACUGGUACAUACCCUCAGCCCCGAGGGUGAACUACUCCCUCCUCGUCAUGGAGAGCGCCGGGAUGAUGAAGAUGGCCACGGUGACGGAUCCCCCGUCCGGCAGGGUGCCGGAACAGGGCCCCGAUUGGUUUUUGGUGGCUACAGAAGCUUGCGGCGGCGGAACUCCCGAUCUAUUCUGUUCCCUGAAGGUUUUAGGGUAUAUUGGUAUAUAUAGGUGAAAGAAGUACAUCAGGGGAGCCACGAGGGUGGAGGGCGCGCCCAGGGGGGUGGGCGCGCCCCCCUGCCUCGUGCCUUCCUCGUUGCAUUCUUGAUGUGGACUCCAAGUCUCCCGGGUUGCUUUCCUUCCAAAAAUAACUUCUCCAGAAGGUUUCAUUCCGUUUCGAAUCCGUUUGAUAUUCCUUUUCUUCAAAACACUGAAACAAGGGAAAAAACAGGAACUAGCGCUGGGCUCUGGGUCAGUAGGUUAGUCCCAAAAGUAAUAUAAAAGUGCAUAGUAAAGCCCAUAAAACAUCCAAGAUGGAUAAUAUAAUAGCAUGAAUACUUCAUAAAUUAUAGAUACGUUGGAGACGUAUUUGCAUCCCCAAGCUUAAUUCCUGCUCGUCCUCGAGUAGGUAAAUGAUAAAAGAAAGAAUUUAUGAAGUGUGAAUGCUAGCAGGUGCAUAGGUUUGAUCAAUGAUAAUUUCAAUCACCUUUCCUAGCAUCAUUAUAUGUCAUAACAGUAGCUCAUACCAUAAAACUUUGCAUGAUCAAGUAACAAACUAUUCACAUGUUAAAGCAUAGACCAUAAACUUUCUUGAAAACUAACAAACCGUGUUAUUAGUCAUCAAACAAUUACAAUUCAUCUUAUUUUCAGGAAGAGUCUAUGUCAGAGCUUUGAUUUAGCAAAUCCCACAUACUCAACUAUCAUAUAGUCUUCCAUGAUUGCUACCACUCAAAGCAUAUUUUUAGAACAAAUAGCAUCCAUCGAACACAUAGAAAGAUAGGGGCUUAAUGUUUCGCCUCCCAACUUAUUCAUCAUAUAGAUAAUUGUCAACAAUAUAAUUCAUGAUCAAAUAUAUUUGAAUGGCCAUAUAUGCUCAGAUCUUUCCAUCACAUGAUGCUUGCCAACUAAAGAGUAGGUUGGAAUGAGAAGGAAUACUACUGACUCUUGCAUAAAAGUAAAAGAUAGGCCCUUCGCAGAGGGAAGCAGGGAUUUGUAGAGGUGCCAGAGCUCGAAGCAAAAACAGAGAUGAAAAUAAUUUUGAGAGGUAUGCUUUCAUUGUCAACAUAACGACCAAGAGUUCCCAAUAUCUUCCAUACUACAUACAUUAUAGGCGGUUCCCAAACAAAAAGGUAAAGAUUUUUACUCCCCCUCCACCAACAAUCAUCAAUCCAUGGCUUGCCCGAAACAACGGGUGCCUCCAACUAACAUCAAUACUGGGGGAGUUUUGUUUGCAAUUAUUUUUGAUUUGAUUUCGAUCUUUUGAUCAUGGGACUGGGCAUCCCAGUUACCAGCCAUUUUCUCGUGAAUGAUGAGCGGAGUCCACUCAUCGUGAGAAUAACCCACCUAGCAUGGAAGAUACUCCUAGCCCCUAGUCACUACAUGAGAGAUUCGGGCAUACAAAACAGAUUAUUAUUUGAAGGUUUAGAGUUUGGCACAUGCAAAUUUACUUGGAACGGCAGGUAAAUACCGCAUAUAGGUAGAUAUGGUGGACACUCAUGGAAUAAACUUGGUUCAAGGAAUUUGGAUGCACAAGCAGUAUUCCCGCUUAGUACAGAUAUUUUGGCUAGCAAAGGAUUCUAAAUAGCAAGCGCCACAUGUUAGAGGAUCCAUAACAAUAUAACUUCUAUACAAAUAUACCCAAGCAUAACUCAUUAUGUUGUCUUCCUUGUCCAACUUCAACUAAUUUGCUCAGGUUUGAAAAUAAUUAAUGGGGAUCACAAUCAUAGAAGAUGUCCAAGAUAGUAUAUUUAUAUGUGAAAUCUCUCUUCCUUCAAUAUUCUUUCAUGAAUUGUUCAAGUGACCAAUACAAUGUUUGCUAACCUUCAAUAAAUUUACCACCUCUACUUCUUAUAUCUGAAGUCAUUACUCCAUGGGAAAGGCAUACGAAACAUAUAUAAUUUCAGAUUUAUGACAUUCAAAUCAUUCAACCAUUUACUCAUAGGAUAUAAGUGAAGCACACGAGUAAAUGACAAACUACUCCAAAAAGAUAUAAGUGAAGAUCAGUGAGUAGUUAAAUAAUUAUGUAUCUAUGUGAAGACUCUCUCUCUCAUUUAAUAAUUUCAGAUCUUGGUAUUUUAUUUAAACAGCAAGCAAAGCUAAAGAAAAUAAAAUGACGCUCAAAGCAAAACACAUAUCAUGUGGCGAAUAAAAAUAUAGCUCCAAGUAAAGUUACCGAUGAAUGAGGGGAUGCCUUCCGGGGCAUCCCCAAGCUUAGGCUCUUGGUUGUCCUUGAAUAUUACUCCCUCCGUUCCAAAAUAGAUGACCCAACUUUGUACUAAAGUUAGUACAAAGUUGGGUCAUCUAUUUUGGAACGGAGGGAGUACCUUGGGGUGCCUUGGGCAUCCCCAAGCUUAGGCUCUUGCCACUCCUUAUUCCAUAGUCCAUCGAAUCUUUACCCAAAACUUGAAAACUUCACAACACAACACUCAACGGAAAACUCGUAAGCUCCGUUAGCGAAACAAAACAAAACACCACUUCAAGGUACUGUAAUGAACUCACUCUUUAUUUAUAUUGGUGUUAAAUUUACUGUGUUGAAACUUCUCUAUGGUUUGUAAACUAUUUUACUAGCCAUAGAGUCAUCAAAAUAAGCAAACAACACACGAAAAACAGAAUCUGUCAAAAACAGGACAGUCUGUAGUAAUCUGUAACUAACGCAAACUUCUGGAACUCAGAAAAAUCUACCAAAAUAGUAAAACCUAGAUAAUUUGAUUAUUGAUCUGCUGCAAUUGGAAUCAGUAUUUUAUCACGUUCUGGUAAUUUUUAACAAUUGUUUUCGUGAGCAGAAAGUUUCUGUCGUUUUCAGAAAGAUCAAAUAAUUAUCAUACAAGGAGAUCCUAUAGGUCUUACUUGGCACAAACACUAAUUAAAACAUAAAACCACAUCUAAGCAGAAGCUAGAUGGAUUAUUUAUUUGUAAACAGAACCAAAAAGCAAUAAACUAAAAUAAAAUUGGGUUGCCUCCCAACGAGCGCUAACGUUUAACUCCCCUAGCUAGGCAUGAUGAUUUCAAUGAUGCUCACGUAAAAGAUAAGAAUUAAAACAUAAAGAGAGCAUCAUGAAGAAUAUGACUAGCACAUUUAAGUCUAUCCCACUUUCUAUGCAUAGGGAUUUUGUGAGCAAACAACUUAUGGGAACAAUAAUCAACUAGCAUAGGAAGGCAAAACAAGCAUAACUUCAAAACUUUAAGCACAUAGAGAGGAAACUUGAUAUUAUUGCAAUUCCUACAAGCAUAUAUUCCUCCCUCAUAAUAAUUUUCAGUAGCAUCAUGAAUGAAUUCAACAAUAUAACCAUCACAUAAAGUAUUUUUUUCAUGAUCUACUAGCAUAGAAAUUUUAUUACUCUCCACAUAAGCAAAAUUCUUCUCUUUCGAAAUAGUGGGAGCAAACUCAACAAAAUAACUAUCAUGUGAAGGAUAAUCCAAUUGAAAAUUAAAAUCAUGAUGACAAGUUUCAUGGUUAUAUUUAUUCUUUAUAGCAUACAUGUCAUCACAAUAAUCAUCAUAGAUAGGAGGCAUGCUUUCAUCAUAAUAAAUUUGCUCAUCAAAACUUGGGGGACAAAAAAUAUCAUCUUCAUCAAACAUAGCUUCCCCAAGCUUGUGGCUUUGCAUAUUAUUAGCAUCACGGGUAUUCAAGGAAUUCAUACUAACAACAUUGCAAUCAUGCUCAUUCACAUAUUUAAUGCCAAGCAUUCUAUGUAAUUCUUCUUCUAGUACUUGAGCACAAUUUUCCUUCCCAUCAUACUCACGAAAGAUAUUAAAAAGAUGAAGCGUAUGAGGUAAACUCAAUUCCAUUUUUUUGUAGUUUUCUUUUAUAAACUAAACUAGUGCUAAAACAAGAAAAAAAAGAUUCGAUUGCAAGAUCUAAAGAUAUACCUUCAAGCACUCUCCUCCCCGGCAACAGCGCCAGAAACUGCUUGAUGUCUACUACGCAACCUUCUUCUUGUAGACGUUGUUGGGCCUCCAAGUGCAGAGGUUUGUAGGACAGUAGCAAAUUUCCCUCAAGUGGGUGACCUAAGGUUUAUCAAUCCAUGGGAGGCGUAGGAUGAAGAUGGUCUCUCUCAAACAACCCUGCAACCAAAUAACAAAGAGUCUCUUGUGGCCCCAACACACUCAAUACAAUGGUAAAUUGUAUAGGUGCACUAGUUCGGCGAAGCGAUGGUGAUACAAGUGCAAUAUGGAUAGUAGAUAUAGGUUUUUGUAAUCUGAAAAUAUAAAAACAGCAAGGUAACUAAUGAUAAAAGUGAGCGUAAACAGUAUUGCCAUGCUAGGAAACAAGGCCUAGGGUUCAUACUUUCACUAAUGCAAGUUCUCUCAACAAUAAUAACAUAAUUGGAUCAUAUAACUAUCCCUCAACAUGCAACAAAGAGUCACUCCAAAGUCACUAAUAGCGGAAAACAAACGAAGAGAUUAUGGUAGGGUACGAAACCACCUCAAAGUUAUUCUUUUGGAUCGAUCUAUUCAAGAGUUUGUACUAGAAUAACACCUUAAGACACAAAUCAACCAAAACCCUAAUGUCACCUAGAUACUCCAAUGUCACCUCAAGUAUCCGUGGGUAUGAUUAUACGAUAUGCAUCACACAAUCUCAGAUUCAUCUAUUCAACCAACACAUAGAACCUCAAAGAGUGCCCCAAAGUUUCUACGGGAGAGUCAAGACGAAAACGUGUGCCAACCCCUAUGCAUAGGUUCAUGGGCGGAACCCGCAAGUUGAUCACCAAAACAUACAUCAAGUGAAUCAAUAGAAUAACCCAUUGUCACCACGGUUAUCCCACGCAAGACAUACAUCAAGUGUUCUCAAAUCAUUAAAGACUCAAUCCGAUAACAUAACUUCAAAGGGAAAACUCAAUCCAUUACAAGAGAGUAGAGGGGGGAGAAACAUCAUAAGAUCCAACUACAAUAGCAAAGCUCGCGAUACAUCAAGAUCGUAUCACCUCAAGAACACGAGAGAGAGAGAUCAAACACAUAGCUACUGCUACAUACCCUCAGCCCCGAGGGUGAACUACUCCCUCCUCGUCAUGGAGAGCGCCGGGAUGGUGAAGAUGGCCACCGGUGAGGGAUCCCCCCUCCGGCAGGGUGCCGGAACAGGGCCCCGAUUGGUUUUUGGUGGCUACAGAAGCUUGUGGCGGCGGAACUCCCGAUCUAUUCUGUUCCCCGAAGGUUUUAGGGUAUAUUGGUAUAUAUAGGUGAAAGAAGUACGUCAGGGGAGCCACGAGGGGCCCACGAGAGUGGAGGGCGCGCCCAGGGGGGUGGGCGCGCCCCCUUGCCUCGUGCCUUCCUCGUUGCUUUCUUGACGUGGACUCCAAGUCUCCCGGGUUGCUUUCCUUCCAAAAAUAACUUCUCCAGAAGGUUUCAUUCCGUUUCGACUCCGUUUGAUAUUCCUUUUCUUCGAAACACUGAAACUAGGGAAAAACAGGAACUGGCGCUGGGCUCUAGGUCAAUAGGUUAGUCCCAAAAGUAAUAGAAAAGUGCAUAGUAAAGCCCAUAGAACAUCCAAGAUUGAUAAUAUAAUAGCAUGAAUACUUCAUAAAUUAUAGAUACGUUGGAGACGUAUCAGGUCUCAACGGAGCCAGUCGAACAGGCCGUAGAGAGUUUCGUCGGGCUUGAUUCCCGCGACUUGUGGGGUGGCCGACUGACGAGCCACCACAUAUUUCACCCACCGCUAAAGCCGCGACCGACCGGAUCGCUUGCGUCGGCGAACAGCGGGGAGCGAGGACAUCACGGGAGCCGACCGAUACUGGGUCGACGGCUGCCAGAGAAGGACGCCGCAAACGCACGCGCGAAAGUGCGUCGCCCCGGGGACGGGGAGCGCCUCGACGUCGAGGGGAGCUUCCUGAAACCAGGCGGAGUCGUCGGCAAAGAAGACGAGCGCGCCGAGACGGAUCUCGCGGCCCUCAGCCAAUCCUCCACCAGAAACCAUGAUGAUGGGAAUCGGAAAAAUCGCAACUUCACCAAAAAGUCGCUAAGACACCUUCCCCACGGUGGGCGCCAACUGUCGUGGUUCUAAGACUGACAGUAGACUGGGGGGUAGGUAUGAAGAGGCAAGAUCCCAGCUGUGGUGAAGUUGUACACACGAGAUUUACGAGUUUAGGCCCUUCACGGUGGAAGUAAUAGCCCUACGUCUCGGUGCCCGGAGGCGGUCGCCUGGAUUAUAUGUGUGUGGAGUUAUAAGGGGUGCGAACCCUUGUCCCUGAGGAGGGGGGUGGCUUAUAUAGAGUUCGCCAGACCACUCCCGCCCUCAGUUACACAGGCUUUAAGGUACAUAAAGAUGGGGCGUUUCUAGUAACGCCAGUAAUAAAGUGACAUAAAUGUCCAUUAAGUCUACAGAGUAAACGUCCGACCGUUGCUAUUCAGAGUGACUUUAGGUCUCCUGCCUGUCGAGGCAUUCCUGUUACGGUCGAGUGAGCUUGAAUCUUCCGAGUGGGAUGCCUCUAGUCAAGUGGAUGAUGAUAUCCCUUGAAUGCUUCUGACUUUAGGGUAAUGUCCUAGCGGAGGGUGUCCAGGUGAGGUCUAUGAUCCUACCCUAGCUACAUAUCUUCAUCAGGCAGUCCCAAAUAUUUCUCUUCAAACCCUGUCGUGAUUACUUGCAAAAUAUGUUUUACUCCAUCUCUGGUUACAUCCGGACAUGAACUACCCACCAUCAUGGAGCACUUGGCAGGGUUUAACAACUGCCUCGUGGCAUUUGCAUAAACUUCCAGAGUGCUUUUAAUAUAUUGUGCUUCUUGGUCACACGACUUGAAAAAUAAGAGUGUCAUCCGCGAAUAAUAAGUGUGAGACUCCCGGUACACUUCUAGUAAUUUUCAGUGGAGAUAUAUUACGGGUAGCAAUCCCUAUAUUGAUAAAAGCAGAGAGACCAUCAGCAACAAACAAGAAUAAAUAUGGGCACAGCGGAUCACCUUGCCGAAGACCACGCGACGGUGCAAACGAAUCCAGGAUGGCUCCAUUGAAUUUUACUGAGUAUCUCACCGAGGUCACACAUGACAUAAUCCAGUCAACCCACCGGUGAGCAAAGCCAAGCUUUUGCAUCAUUUGCCUAAGGUAAUUCCAGUCCACUCUAUCAUAGGCUUUUGAGAGAUCAAGCUUAUAAGCACAAUAACUCCUGGUAGGGUCCUUCUCUUGCUUUAUAUGAUGAAUACAUUCAAAGGCAACAUAGGCAUUGUCGGUAAUCAUACGUUCAGGAAUGAAAGCACUUUGCCAAGGCGAAAUAAUCUCAUCUAAAACAGGCCUUAACCGGUUUACUAAGCAUUUUGAGACCACUUUGUAAACCACAUUACAUAAACUUAUGGGGCAGAAAUCCGUGAUUUUCACCGGGUUAUCAAUUUUUGGGAUCAUUACAAUGAUAGUAUCAUUAACAUAUUCAGGCAUUAUCCCACUUUGGAAGAAAAAUUUUACCGCGGCAAUUAUACCUUCCUUCAUUGUCCCCCAGUUACGCUGAAAAAACGCGCGGGGAAACCAUCCGGACCCGACGCUUUUAGAGGUCCAAUCUGGAAAAGAGCGUCUCCAAUCUCCUUAUCUGAAAAUUCCGCACAUAAAACAUCAUUUAUUUGCUGAGUUACAACAGCCUCAAACAAAUCAGUGACUUGGGCGUGAUCAAGACUUGGGUCAGCCGUAAACAGCUCCUCAAAAUAAUCUGUAACGGCCUUCCCCAUCUCCUUAAUCCCCGUAUGCACAACACCCUGAGCAUCUUCCAACUUCUUAACUCUAUUUUUCCUGGCCCGCCAUACUGAUUUUGCAUGGAAAAUUUUUGUGUUCCUGUCUCCUGCUUUUAACCAAUCUAUCCGUGAUCUUUGCAACCACAUCAAUUCUUCUCGGUACAGUAACUCAUUCAUCUUGUCUGUAACUUUACGUAUCUCGCAUCUGUCCGCAUUCAUCAACAUCAAUUCCUCCAGCUGGGAUCUAGAUUUCUCGAGCUCAUUUUUUAUACUUCCAAACUUAACUCUACUCCACUCAAACAGUUUAGACAUGGUUGACCUGAGCGCAGCAUGUACGUCGCCCAAACUUGUUUUCUGCCCAGCUGCCUCCCAUGCUCGUGCAAUGAUUUCCUGAAGGGCCGGGUCCCUCUCCCACAUUACUUCAUAUUGGCGGAUUUUUUUCUUUAUACGUACAUCCUCCAUACGAGCACAAUUAACAUGCAGAGCCACAUGAUCAGACACGGGCGAUACCAGGUGGCGAACAACAGGAGAUUCAAAAUUAUCGCGCCAAGCCGGGGUAGCCACAGCCCUGUCCAAUCGCACUUUCACAUUUGCCAAACCACCUCUCUUGUUGUCUUAUGUGUGAGGAACACCCGAGAAUCCCAAGUCUGACAACUCACAUAUCUCCAGUACAUCAUGAAAAGCUUGCAUCUGACUCAUUGGCCUCGGUGAUAAGGAGAAGUGCUCAAAGUCCCACAUGCAUUCAUUAAAAUCACCCACAACUAACCAGGGUAGAUUAGACUAGGAGCUGAGAUUAUUAAGCAGAGUCCUCAUGUUAUGUCUAUCUUCCGCCCUUGGCUCUCCAUAGGUCAGUCUCCACAUAAUUUCAUCCGGCCCCAAUCUAACGUGGGCAUCGAUGCAUCUCUGUUUUGAGAACACCACCUCCACUUUGAGGGAUUCAUACCAGUAAAGGGCCAAUCCACCACUGUUUCCCAUACAAUCCACUCCCUCAAAACCUUUCAAACCAAACCGAGAUCUGUAUUUUUCAUCUUACUUUUUUGUUGCCUUGGUUCACAUAAAAACACCAACAUGGGGGAAAGCGACUGAAUGAAAGUCGCCACUUCGCGAACUGUCCGGGAGUCCACCCCCCCUGGCGGUCCCUGACGUGGAGGCCGCCACUGCAACACUUGACGCCCUAUUGAUAGCCGUUUCGUUUUCUCCUCUCAGCUUUUUUCUGUUGGCACUUUUCUGUGGUGUACCAUCCACCCCUUCCCUGGUUAUUUCUUCAUCUGCACCUUCAAAUUGCUCAACAAUUUCAGCAGUAUUACCUACAGGAACAAUAUCAGUGCUACUCACCCCCAAGUUGUUUGUAUCCGGCAUGAGAGUCACUAAAUCAGCAGCUAAUCUUUUCCCAAGGGUGUUCAGAUCCUCCUUAUACCCAUUCUCCCUUUCAGCUGGGUCAUUGACACCCUUACUUGGGUCUAUUACCAAGGGAUUAACUGCGUUAUGUGGCCAGCUCCUCACCCGGUGUUGGCCAUCUGCUGCAUCAUCAGUCCUUUUAUCCCCAUCAUAAUUAUAUGUCCCACUGUCCCUCCAUAAUUCUCGCUGCACUCCAGUCCUACCAGCACCCCGCCCCCUUCCAAAGGCUUCAUGCUGGGUAGCAGAUUGAAAGGCAUCACCUCUGCCAUACCCAUGGCCAGCUCCCCGGCCCGUGCCACGUCCACCCCCACCACGGCCUCUCCUUGGUGCUAGAACGAAGGGGCCCCAUUCCAUCUCUUCCUCCUUGUGAUCACCAGUACCACAUUCCUCAUGCCAAUGGCCCAAAAGACCACACAUAUAGCAAAACACUGGCAGCUUUUCGAACUUAACCUGGUACCAUUCAGUUUCCCCAGCCUUUGUGAAGCUAACAAACCUUGUAAGCUUUUUAUUGACAUCUAACUUCACUCUUGCUCUUAUGAACUCUCCCACGAAACCAUUGGGAAGGAUAUCUGAAGCUCUAACACUUCGCCAAUGCGUGCUGCCAUAUUCUUCACAAACUGCUCCCUUUUCAGUACCAUGUCAGGAAGCUUAUGUAUUUGGCACCAGGUCUCGAUUUUAUCGAGCUUUACUGUCUCCGGCUUCUUGAAGCCAUCAUACUCCUCGAUUAUAAGCGCCAUGCCUUUGAAGUCCCAAGGACCUUGGUGGAUAGCUUUGUUCCAAUCCCCCAAACAAUUGAACUGUACUGAGAACAGAUUUGGAUUAAUCCUACGCCAGAUGGAAAGGCCCUUGUUAUCGCUGAAGCAAUAUAUAUAAAGCUUAAUAGGGCCUAAGAAAGCUCACACAAUUUUGCAGUGGCUAUGGAAAUGUGUUGCCAAACUGAGACAUAAGAUUUUCGUUUGGCAUCCAGACCGUUUGUGUCAUCCUUAAUCUAUGGUUACUCUAAUUUUUUCCGGCCAGGCCUUCCCUGUGGUACCGCAUCAAGGCAUGCGUGUGUAUACGUUUCCUUUAACUACCAUGUGCAGGAUGAGGAUUUACUGCACGCAUGUGCGGCGGCACUCAGGUCCUGGUGCCGGCUUUUUAUUUUGGCUUUAGAUUUUCAAACUUCUAUAUCUUCUAUACAAAAAAUUUAAUUUAAGUUAUGUUUUCAUAUUCGUGUUUCUCGCAGCCAGCACUUUCAAAUAAGAUCCAUUUUGAAUACAGUUUGGCGAUUUUUGAAAACAAUGUUAAGUUUCAUUGUUUGAAACUUAGUACGAGCGGCUGAUAGAAUUCAAUUAUUUUGUGUCUACGACCAACACAGAAAAUUUCUUAAAAUUACAUCUUUGAAACUAGUUUGUAAGUCAUGGACAGUUUUUGAAUUUUUAGGAUAUUUUUUCAUUCAUGAACAUUUUUUAAAUUGGUGAAAUUUUGUUUAAUUUCAUUAACAAAUUUUAGUCACAAACCUUUUUAAAAAAUCAUGAACAUUAACUAGUUCGUGAAAUCCCAAAUUACUUAAAGCAGAAAAAACAAAAACAGAAAAGAGAAAGGAAUAAUGGAAAACAAAGUUAAAAAAUAGGCCAACCGAACAUGGGCCAGCCCAAACGGGCGCACUGCGUCUUCUCCCAGCGUGUGGCCCAAGCGAAAGAUUUCUCUGUAUGAAACUUUUUUUAUCACUUAUUGAUGGCGUUGGUGCGUAAUGUUUUGCAUCUUUAGUGACAAUUUUCAUGACGUACUGCCAGAAGUUAUUGCCACUUUAUUAUUAGGUAGAGAUUAGGUAUAGAUAGGAACUACCAGUAAAUUAGGUAGAUGAUAGAGACGAUGACUCCGAAGAAGAUCACAUGUGUCGAGCUUGGAACAUGCUAACAGAUCUUAGGGCAUCUCCGAUGUAAACCCAUAAAACAGACAUCGCAAAUGUCCGCGAACACGCACCGGACUGGUUCGCGGACACGAUAGGGGAGGGAGCCAUCCAACCUUGAUGGAUGCUACCCGUAUUUCUCUCACAUUUCUCCAGCAUUUCAUCGAACAAUUGAUGUGCAGAAGUAGGACACGUCUGGUUCAUGCAGCUGGGGCGUCCUGGGAGUUCUGCCUCAUCGGGCACGAUUGAUGUGUCACAGGACGAUGGGUGCGGUCUCGGGCGCGUCGGUAGCGGCCACGACGACAAGAGGAGGUCGCGCCACGAGCAGAGCUAGCCACGGGAGCCGCCAUUGGUGCAGCACUUGGCGCAGCCAGCCCACGACACGCCGGGCAUGGCGGCAAGAGAGCUUCAUGAGGCCAGAGCCGAGCUCGGCCUUGAGCUACUUGCCGAGCAGCCAUGGAGGGCAUGGGGAGAUGAGAUGCGCAGGGAGAAGGGAGAGAGGACAGGGAGAAGGGAGAGAGGAGUAGAGAGAUAGGAGGAGGCGGCGAUGAGGAUGGAGCGCUCGCCUGCAGCUGCCCUCACCGUUGUCCGUAGCCGGCAUCGGUGCUCUCCGUUUAGUGUUAUUUGUAAGGAGAGGGUGGGAGUGGAGACGUGGUGUUUUUUUGGUUAGCUGGAUGUUCAGACUCUCACAUAGUCCCUCAAAGUUGUUCGUGUGAUAUCGAAAUUUGAACAUGUGGGCUGUUCCGCGGAUAUUUAGAGGACCCCACUUGAAGAAUAAAAGUGGUCCAAACACUACUGUCUGACAUUUUGCCCUUAGUAGUUGGUGGAUGUCGAUGUGCUAUCCCUCCAACCUAUAUCAAGAGAUCCAUUCACCGUCUGAUCCCUUCUACCAAACACGUCAUUGCUUUCCAUGGUUCUCUCUUGUCGAUGUGUGAAAUAUUAGAAUUUGAGUUGUUUGGUGAAAUGUACGAGCUGACCGCCAAAAGAACAAAAAAUUUCUUUCUUUUUCCUUUUUUUAUAGUUUUGGCAGGUGCAUUUUCAUAUGGUACAUGUCUAGACCAUUUGAACAGUUUAUUUUGAAUUUGUUUCUUCCAUUCUAGCUAAAUAUAAGAGUUUACAAUGUUCGUUUUAAUCCUUUGGAAUAAACAUUUAUUACUAGUAUUAAAAAGACUAAAUUAGCUGCCGCAUUUUUUUCCCUAAUCAACUUGAAGGCUAUCUACACUUUGAUUAAAUUGUCAUUUAUACAUUUCGUGAUAUAUUAUUUCCAUUAUGUAUAUUAACUGCAAUAAAAAUGACGAUAAUCUGUUUUUCCUUAAGUUUUAAUGAAUGUACUAAAUAAUUAAAUAAUAAAAAUUUACUUACAAAAUAUUAACAUGAAAACGUGCCCUAUGAAUAAAAGGUAGAUAUCUAACUCAGGCACUUAUCUGCAAAAUAAAUGUUUUUUUAACAAAAUUGAAAGUAUUUAAAUUAUUUAAAAUGAAUAAAAAGUACAUGGUCCAUUCUACUUUACCGCUCGAAACACACUGAUUUGUUGUGGCAAUAGAAACACUGAAUUUCAGUCCCACUUAUUAAUGUUUGCUAAGUGAUAUCUGACAAUAAAACGUAAAAUAAAUAUUUUUUAUAUUAAAAUUUUUAAUUAUUAAAUUAAUCAUUUUGUCUGUGAUCUUAAUGUGUAAUUUUCUAUUACUUACGUAAAAUAGUUAACCAUAUAACAAUGUUGCUAAAUAAGAGUUAUAAUGUUUCUUUGUUAUGUAGUUGCAACAUAUAUCAGUAAAAUAGUUAAUUCAUAUUUAAAAGGUAUGAUAGAACAAAAGUUAUUUUUUCAAUCAAGUCUUGAAAUUAAAUAAAUUUAUAAUGUAUAUACAUAUAUUUCCAUACAUUUGUAUGUGUUCAUCGAGAUUUUAAUGUCAUUAAAUAUCAUGUUAGAGAUUUCAAAAGUGUGCUUUCUAACAUGUAUCUUAGUAGUAGUUUCUAGUGUAAUACUAUGUAAUCAUAUUUACAGAAAUUUCUAGAGCACGAAAUAUAUGUCUUGCAAGUUGGAUUCGGUAAUAAGUUGGCAUCAUGACCAUGCUAUUUGUUACAAUUAUUUUUUAUUUUAAAUAAUAACAAAUAACAAAAAAAUAUAAAAUUUAUGGGUGAAUCAUGCAAGUGAGGAGAACACACCAAUGAUGAAAGACAGUGCAUUUCUACGUGGAAUUCAUAUUGACAAACCUUAAGAAUCACAUUCAUUUCUAUGUUUUUAUAGAUUAUGCCCCAUUUGCGGGACUCAGAUACAAGUCAGUUCAAGGUGUGGAGCACGAGAAAACAUAGGAUUCAAGACCAGAUCAGCGACCGACUUCAAAAACAAAUAAGUAAAAAUUGCACAUUAGGUAUCAAGAUUAGGAGUAGAUGGAAAAUUAAUUGAAAGAAAUGGAGCAAAUAGCUCUGCAAUAAGUGCUCUCGCUAGAAAAUAAAUGUUGCGUUAGACGAUCCACUUGAAAACACACAUAUGAAGUGGUGGAGCCGGAAUUUUCACAAUGGGUAUGCAAAGCUAUAAAAAAUUGAUGGGCAACACUAACAACCAUGAAACUGCAUAUUAUUCUCCCUUUUUUUCACAUAUCGACAAUUUAAAUAAAAAAUGACUAGUUAAGCUUGAUUGAAUACUACAAUAAAUUAAACAACAGAUUGAGGAUCAGCCUCUGCUCCGAGUAAAAAAAUAAAGGGAAACUCUAUACAUCAGUAGUCUGCUGUUUCAUCCAUCGGAAUCCUCCACGGCCUUAGAUUCAUUUUCCAUUUGACAUACAUGAUGCUCAUCUAUCCUUAGCUGCCAGCCUCUGGGCCAGAAUGACUACCCUACCCGUGCCCCCACCUUCACCCGAGAGACACCCACCUUCACAUUCUUCCUGUCCAGGAAAGCGACUAAAUUUAGCUUCUCCUCCCACACCAGCAAAACUCCAUCCACCUCGGCCAUCUCUUACUUCACCGAUUGAUCUCCACCUGGUCGCAUGAUAUAAGCUCAUUAUCCUUCGAUGGAAGCAUAAUUAACUUGUAGUGCUAAAAACAAACUUGAAGAUCGUUGGGAGCAAAAUGUGCUCCUUAAGAUAGCAAACUAGUACAAGUAUAUUGGGAAACUCAUUUUAGAGUCAUUAAUUUCCGUAACACUCAAAAUCAGUUUCCUAGAAUUUUGGGGGCAUGAAUUAAGCGAUCAUGUUAAUAAGGGAUCUCAUGUAAUGUUCGAUUCCUAAAAAGCUAUAACCCACUACCUAUUUUCCCUUUACAUGCAACCAUUCCACAUAAGCAAGUCAUGCAUGCAAGUCAUAAAUUACAUUGUUUUUGCAUUACUCUAUGCAUACAGCGUUGCCACAUCAUCAACUCAUGCAUGUUAGUCAUAAUCUAUUGUUUGCAUUAGAUUUUUAUUUUUGGGAAGCAAGAGCUUUGAUUCAUUAAUUAGUGGGCUUACAAUCGUUUUGUAGACAGACAACUAAAAUGGUAUGCACAUAAUUGAUCCAAAGACAUCUCCUUCUACUAGCUGGCGCUUGUUGUGAGCAAAGAUGUGCCCGUUCAUUGGCCUUAUGUCCAAUGAAGUUCAAUUUGAAAAAAAAUCCAAAUUGCCGCUAAGAUCCUCAAUUUCUUGUAGAAUCGAAGCAAUCACAGACCGACCCUUGGCGCAAUCCAUCCAAAGCUUGACAACUUCACUUGUAUCAAACUUUAGAUAGGCCGAAAAAUGACAGACUAGCUCGAAUCCAUCCCGAAUUGCUAGAGACUACAAGAUCAAAGCGUUAGCUGCUUGGUCGUACCAGAUAGCUUGUCCCCUAAUCAAGCUACCCAGUGGUGUUAUUACGGCCCUGGGGUGCCUCACUUUGUUAGUUGUCGGCCCACUAGGUUAGUUCCACGCUCAGUCAUCAUGCCGACCCACGUGCCCUAUACAAAGAAGACUCCAGAAGCCUUGCCAUUCAAGACAAGGAAGCCGGAGUGUUGGUGUACAAAAAUAGGGGUCUUUCUGUACCCCUUUACUUGUGCGCGGACAGUUGUAGCCACACCUGCGGCCACGCUUGGCGGGGCAAAGGAAACGAAGAUACAGGACUGCCAGGGCAGUGCUCAAGCCAGAGGCGCAAAGAGCAAAGGGACAAGAUGGAUUUCCCCCGGCGAGAGCCUUGCCGGGGUGACCUACAUAGCCCCGGCAAGAGCCAUGCCGAGGCAACUUGCCCAACACCUGCAAGGCCGCCACCUUUGAGCUUGAGAGUUCUGACACCAUCGACAACGUCGAGACCAAGACUCAGGGGCGCCUGUGUGAUGGCAAGCAGAUCUUUGUGAGGAACAAAGGCCUGCGAAUCUGGACAGAAACCAGAAGGCGAAGACCCACGGCAAGAGCCUUGCCAGGGACAGGCGGAGACCACCGGCAAGAGCCUUGCCGGGGACAGGCGGAGACCCCGGCAAGAGUCUUGUCGGGGACAGAUGAAGACCCCCGGCAAGAUUUUUGCCGGGGACGCCCGCGAGACCCCGGCAAGAUCUUUGCCGGGGGCUUCUGCGGGGCUAAGGCCAGGCUCUCACUUACCAACGUUUCGCUGCCCCGCACCCGUGCCGACGCGACAAUCAGCCCGCCAACCAGGCAGGCGCCUGCGUGGCAGCAAGCAACCUCUAGGCCAACUAGACAAGCACCUGCGUGGUGGCAUGCAGAUCUUCGUGAAGACCCUGCCACCGUACUAGCACAGCAGCCAGCCAGCCAGCGUGGCGCUGCAUGCCUCGUCAGCUUGGAUGCGCGUCGAAGCAAGGCGAGGCGGCGAUGGACGGGACAAGCUUCUUUUCCGUCCCUAAUAAAGCAAGAGGACACGUAGGCGCAUUAAAUGAGUUUGUGCCACGAUGUCAGGGAUAGACUUGUACACUAUAGACACUUUCCACCUCCCGUGUGCCACUGUGGAAACCCCUUUGACAUAUAAAAGGAGGCUCGAGGCGUACUGAGGAAGGAUUUCGGACUUUUUGAACUAGGCAUGCACCGCAGCUAGUUCAACAGCUCAAGAACACCAAAUAUAUACACCAAAGUAGGACUAGGGUAUUACACAUCGCUUGCGGCCCGAACCUGGGUAAAAAAUCCCCUAGCGCUGAUCUUUUAGUCCCGCUCUUUGCACAGCUCUGCGCCCCGCCAACCGUAGUAGGGAUUCCCCGUGAUCCCAUAGGUGUCGUUUCCCCCGACAUCUUUGGCACGCCAGGUAGGGGGCGCAAGCUGUGAAAAUCUGGUCUAGGUGUUAGCGCAUCGACUUCAUCGUCGCCAUGGCCCCCAAGAAGAAGGGGAUCACAACGAUCUGGUCGUCCGGAGACGGCCCGUCCGCACCGGUGCGGGCAGCCAACGGGGUGGCCAUGGAUGGUGCCGGAGGCGCGGCCCGCGAGCAUCCACGACACUAUGGCAAUCGGAGCCAGGCGAGCGGCGUCGUUCGGAUCCAAGACAACGAGCCACACGCGGUUGGGUCCGGGGGCGGGGCCGUGCUGCCCAUGGGCUACGCGGCAACCUCUAGGACGCCCCAGCUGGCGCCCGCGCCGCGGCCCAGGCCGCGCGCCACGAGCAACACCGCGACGUCGGUGCCCCCGGGCGCCGCCGCGGGAAAAGCCCAUUGCGUCACUCUCAGGACGCACAGGGCCGUCGUGCGCACCUGGACGCUGGCGGAAGCGGCGCGCGACCGCGAGACCGUGAUAGAGCUCCUUCUAACGUGGUUAGAAGUCGGACCGCGUCACAAUCCAUGCAGAUUUCGCCGCCACCCACGCCGGCAGAAGCAUUGGCGGUCGUGCAACUGCUCCUCGACUUUCCUCCUGCCGCGGAGAAGCUUGACGAGUGGAGAGUCACCAUUCGAAGCCUCAUCAGCUUUGCCAAUAAAUAUGAACCAUGACCGGCGGGACCCUCGUGUCGGCGCUCCGUCGAGCCGGCGCACGCCGGUGGUGGGAGGACCGCGGCUGCUGCGACCACGGUGCACUCUCCUCCCCUUGCCAGCAACAGCAGCCACCGGCUCGUCGGGCCGACGCCUGUGACAAUGUUUCCACAACGUCGUCCGACCCGCGAGCCCGCUGCGACCAACAUCAAGUUCUGAGCGAGCUCAGGAGGACACUCGGACCACCAUCGAGCGGCAGCGGGAAGCGUGCCAUCAGUCUGGGGCCCACUAUGGACCGCCCAACGCAGGGGGGGCUCCGGCGACCUACCUUACGAGGUGGGUUGUCCACCCUUUACCCGUGAGCUGCGGCAGUUCAAGUGGCCCACCCACCGCAUGUUCAAGCCUGAGGUUGAAGAGAAGUACAACGGCAAGACUCACCCGUCGGAGUUCCUCAGCAUCUACACUAUCGCGAUGCAAGCUACCGGGGCUCGCGACAAGGUGCUUGCCAACUACUUUCCGUUGGCGCUUAAGACCAACGUCAUGUCAUGGUUGAUGCACCUGCCAGUGGAUUCCAUCUCUUCCUGGUCGGAUCUGUGCCACGAGUUUGUUGGCGCCUUUACCAGAGGCCACCAAGCUCCUGGCCAGGCAAAUGAUUUGCAUGUCAUCCCCCAGAAGGACGACGAGACCCUGCACAAAUACAUACAAAGGUUCAGCCGUGUGCAGUACAACAUCCCAGAUGUUCACCCCACCGCUGUCAUUAGUGCAUUCCAUCAGAAUGUGCGCAACCGCAAGAUGCGUGAAGAGCUGGCGAUGAACAAGGUUAAGGAUGUAGCCGAGCUUUAUGUUCUAGCUGAUAUAGGUGCGCUCGGGCUGAAGAAGGAAGGAAGUACCCCGGCGAGGACGCGGGCGCGGAAACCGACUCCAUGGAUGAAGAUGCCGUUGCCCCGGCAAAGAAGGGUCGACGCCGCAAUAGGAAGUGUAAGGGCAAGACCGUGCUUGCCAUUGAGGGAUCCGGCAACCCCGGCGCCGCCAAGAAGGCCAAGGCUGACGACCACGGCAAGGAAGUUGCCGGGUGCGCCAUCUGCCGGGCUUUGGCGGCUGCCAACAAGCAGUACUGCAAGAUCCAUCGCACCAAGGGCCAUGACCUCCAGAACUGCCAACAGGUUGAGCUGCUUGCGGAGAAGUAGAAAGCUGAAUAUGAAAUGCGGGACAAGGAGAAGGGUCAGGAUGGUGCCGUGGGGUCCGGCAAGGAGCGUGUCAGCCAGGGAGGUCACUGCGGCAAAGAUAAUCAACAAGAGAGGCCCGCUCGGGGCCGUGAUAAGAAAGAGGGGGACGAUGACCAUGAUGGCGAUGACGAGUCCACCAAGCAUGAGUUCUAGAAGGCCACGGAUUCCAUGUGCGUCAACGGUGGUGCCUCGUUUCACACCUCUCACCACCAGCUGAAGCAGUGGGCGCGUGAAGUCACUGCGGCAGAGCCAUUGUUCGAUGCCCAGACGCCACUGAAGUGGUCCAGCACACCUAUCAUUUUUUACACCGAGGAUCGAUAUCACCCCGAUCGCACAACUGCGGUCGGGUGCUUGCCGUUGUUGGUUUCACCAACGAUAAGCAACCUCAAGGUGACAAAAGUGCUAGUUGAGGGUGGGGCCGGUUUGAACUUGAUCCCGCCCGCCGUGAUCAAGAGACUACAGAUCCCUGAUGGAGAUCUCGAGGAGACUGGCACGUUUCAAGGGGUCAACCCGGGGAGGAGUCAGCCGAAGGGUAAGGUCACGUUGCCCGUUACAUUUGGGGGCGAGCUGAAUUAUAGGAUGGAGAAGAUCGUUUUUGAUGUCGCCAAGAUCCCCUUGCCCUGUAAUGGGAUCCUUGGCCACCCGGCACUGGCCAAGUUCAUGGCGGCGUCACAUUACGCCUACAACACGUUGAAGAUGCCCGGGCCAAUGAGCAUCAUCACCGUCCCUCCGACAAGAAGGACGCUCAUCUGUGCCGACCAACUUUAGCGGGAGGCAGUUGCAGCAACUGCCGCCAAGGCACUUGCUCCUGCCGCUGAAGCCCAGGAAGGGAAGAGAACUGGCAAGACCUCCUGCACCCACUCCGGCAAGCGCGCCUCUUCGGAGUGCUGCACUCCCGUCGAGGGCGUGCCAGAGAGCUCCACCGGCAAGAGCAAGAAAUCCAAGGCAGCACCACCUGAGACCAAGAAGGUGCCCAUCAAGGAGGACGGCACGGGCGGGGAUUUUACUAUAAGAUCCACCCUUGACAGUAAAUAGGAAAGCGCGCUCGUCGCCUUCCUGCGGGCGAAUGUCAAUUUGUUUGUGUGGCAAGCACCGGACAUCCCCGGCGUUCCCAGGGAGUUGAUUGAGCACCAUCUUGAUGUCUGUCCUCAUGCGCGGCCUGUCAAGCAGAAGGUCAGGAAGCAAGCUUUGGAACGAAAAGAAUUCAUCGUCGAGGAGAUCAGGAAGUUGGAGGCAGCAGGCUUGGUCAGAGGAGUGCUCCACCCCACGUGGUUGGCGAAUCCAGUGGUGGUGCGCAAGGCAAAUGGGAAAUGGAGGCUGUGUAUUGACUAUACAUAUAUCAAUAAAGCCUGUCCAAAGGAUCCUUUCCCUCUGCCACGCAUUGACCAGAUAGUGGACUCCACUGCUGGGUGUGACUUGCUGUCAUUCCUCGACGCCUACUCAGGAUACCACCAGAUCUUCAUGAUGAAGGAAGACAAAUAAAUGACUGCGUUCAUCACCCAUGUGGUAUGUACUGUUUUGUACGGAUGCCUUUCGGGUUGAAAAGCAUUGGUUCGAUAUUUUCCCGAGCAGUCCAAAUUGGUUUUGAGCCAUAGCUGCAUAGAAAUAUGGAAGCUUAUAUGGACGAUAUAGUGGUCAAAACCAAGGACAAGGCUACGCUCGUGCAGGAUCUGGAGGAAACAUUUGCAAACCUACGCAAGAUCAACCUCAAGCUCAAUCCAGAGCAGUGCGUGUUCGGCGUUCCGUCCAGCAAGCUUCUUGGUUUCUUUGUGUCUCAACGUGGAAUCGAAGCAAAUCCCGACAACAUCAAGGCGAUUGAGCAAAUUGAGGCACCAAGACGGGUCAAGGAUGUCCGUAGACUUUCCGGCUGCGUUUUUGCUCUAAGUAGGUUCAUCCCCAAAUCUGCUGAGCGCGCCCUCACCUUUUUCAAAGUUUUGAAAAAGGCGGGUCCAAUGAAAUGGACUCCGGAGGCAGAGGCAGCGCUGCAAGAUCUGAAGAGGUAGCUCUCCUCCACGCCAACACUGGUCACGCCUAAGCCACAAGAGCCGUGCUACCGUAUCUAGCGGCAACGAAUCAAGUGGUUAGUGCUGCACUGCUGGCGCAGGGGAACUUGAGGAAGAAACAGCGGUAGCGGCCGAGCCGUCGGAUGAUGUGCCAAGGCAUUCCCCAGCACGGCCUGAUAUCGGCAAGGUGGGACCCCCGGCAAGGCCUGAUCCCGGCAAGAUAGAGUCUGCGCAAGUAGGCGAAGUUGAACAGAAGAAGAAGGUGGUGCAGCACCCGGUUUAUUUUGCCAGUUCCCUCUUGCAGGGGGCUAGAUCAAGAUAUUCUAGUAUGCAGAAGCUACUUUUCGACCUCCUCAUGUCCUCGAGAAAGCGGCGCCACUAUUUCCAAGCACAUGAGAUCACCGUCGUCACCCUCCCUUUAAAGUGAAUCUUGCACAACCCAGAUGCGACUGGGAGGAUUGUGGAGUGGGCGUUGGAGCUGUCAAGCUUUGGCCUCAAGUUUGAAAGUACUUCAACGAUCAAGAGCCGGGCCUUGGCAGAGUUCAUAGCAGAAUGGACCGCAACGCCCGACGAAGAGAUUCAAGAGACCACCCUUCCCGGUAAGGAGAUGUCCGUGAUUGGGUUAUGUACUUUGCUGGAGCUUUCCCACUGCAAGGUGCUGGUGCCGGCAUGCUACUCGUCACACCCACUGGAGAGAGCCUCAAGUACGUAGUCCAGAUGCACUUUCACUUGGAAAAAUCAACGAACAACAUGAUGGAGUAUGAGGGAUUGCUUGCCGGUCUCAGGAUCGCAGCAGACCUCGGAAUCAGGAAGCUCAUCAUCAGAGGUGAUUCGCAGCUAGUCGUCAAGCAAGUUAACAAGGAUUACCAGAGCCCGUUGAUGGAGGCCUAUGUGGAUGAAGUGAGGAAGUUGGAAGAGCGUUUUGACGGUCUACAAGCAGAGCAUGUUCCCCGAGCAGAGAACAGCAUUGCCGACGACCUGUCGAAAUGCGCUGCCCUCAAGUUGCCUGUGGAACCAGGUACCUUUGUGCUUCAAUUAACUCAGCCAUCCGUUGAGCCGUCAGUAGGACAGAACAAGCGAAGGAAGGCAGGCCCCGGCAAGUACUUUCCCACUGAGCUCCCAGGAGCCGCGGGCAAGGAAGUUGCCGGGUAUCCCAAGCUUGCCGAGGAGCAGCAACCUCCGGCAGGGCACCAGGCCCUGACCGUAGAGGCAGCUGCCCCUACGGCCGAGAAUGAGCCUUUAGUCCUUGCCGUCGAGCCCCAGGCUCUGGCAUGGGCGCAGCGCACCGUCCGUUUCCUCCAAACGGGGGAACUCCCUGAGGAAUAGGAAGAAGCAGAGAAAGUAGCCCGUCGGUCCAGCACGUACCAGUUUGUGGAUGAUACCCAAUACAGAAGGAGACCAAACGGUGUGAAAUUGAAGUGCAUUCCUCAGGAGGACGGACUGGAGUUGUUGGCGGAAAUACAUGGAGGCAUAUGUGGCUCUCACAUAGGAUCAAGGGCCCUUGCCGGCAAGGCAUUCUGGCAAGGUUUCUUUUGGCCCACUGCCCGCCAGGAUGCAACUGCACUAGUAACCAAGUGUGAAGCGUGUCAGUUCCAUUCAAAGAAGCUCCAUCAGCCAGCUCAAUCUCUUCAGACAAUCCCUCUCUCCUGGCCAUUUUUGGUCUGGGGGCUCGACAUACUGGGGCCCUUUCCCCGUGCUGUCGGGGGCUUUGAGUACUUGUACGUUGCAAUCGAGAAGUUCACAAAGUGGCCAGAAGUGGAACCGGUGAGAAAGGUGACAGCACAAUCAGCUGUCAAGUUCUUCAAGGGACUAGUAUGCCGUUUUGGUGUGCCAAAUAGAGUCAUCACCGACAACGACACACAGUUCACAAGCCGCACCUUUAUGUAGUAUAUUCGAAACCUCGUCGGCAAGGUUUGUUUUGAUUCUGUUGCUCAUCCCAGAAGUAAUGGCCAGGCUGAGAGGGCGAACGCAAAGGUGUUGUGAGGACUCAAGACCAGGAAUUUUGACAGGCUACACAAGUGCGGAAGGCGCCGGAUUGAUGAGUUGCCAACUAUUCUUUGGUCGAUCAGAACGACGCCAAAUCGAGCCACUGGCCAGACACCCUUUGCCCUGGUAUACGGGGUAGAAGCAGUUCUCCCCACGGAACUCAUAUACGGGUCACUGAGGGAGUCCUGGACAAAGGGGUCCUCGGGCGUCCGGCCUGUUAGCCAUGGGCCGGACUGAUGGUCUAUGAAGAUACGCAGACCGAAGACCCUACCCGUGUCCGGAUGGGACUCUCCUUGGCAUGGAGGGCAAGCUUGGCGAUUAAAUAUGUAGAUUCCUUUCUUUGUACCGACCUUGUGUAACCCUAGAUCCUCCCGGUGUCUAUAUAAACCGGGGGGACUUAGUCCGGAGGGGGGAGAGACUCAUUACCAUAGUCAUACAGGCUAGACUCUUAGGGUUUAGCCAUUAUGAUCUCGUGGUAGAUCAACUCUUGCAAUACUCAUAUUCAUCAAGAUCAAUCAAGCAGGAAGUAUGGUAUUACCUCCAUAGAGAGGGCCCGAACCUGGGUAAACAUUGUGUCCCCUGUCUCCUGUUACAAUCGACCUUAGACGCACAGUUCGGUACCCCCUACCCGAGAUCCGCCGGUUUUGACACCGACAUUGGUGCUUUCAUUGAGGUUCCACUAUGCCGUCCCCAAAAGGUUUGAUGGCCCCUUCAAUCGUCAACAAUGAUGCUGUCCAAGGAGAAACCUUCCUCCCCGGACAGAUCUUCGUGUUCGGCGGCUUUGCACUAUGGGCCAACUCGCUUGGCCAUCUGGAGCAGAUCGAUAGCUACGCCCCUGGCCAUCAGGUCAGAUAUGGAAGCUUGAACUACGUCGCGGACAUCCGUGGAGACUUGAUUUUUGACGGAUUUGAGACCGCGGCGACCGCUCCUUGUCGCCACGAUGAACAUGAGUUAAAUCUGUCAUCGGACCGCAUCCAGGAGAUAGCUUCCGUAACUGCUCUGGCUCUAGAUCCGGAGCAGACCGCGCCAUCCGAGGACGGGAAGCUCAACCCCGCCAUGGAGGUCACAGAUUCUGCAGCGUUGGAGCCGCACAUAGACUUAACCUCACGCAAUAUCUGUGUCACCGGAACUCCGGACUCGUCUCCGGCUAUAAGUUCCGAACCAUGUGCGUCCGCAGAGGCCGAGCUUGAUCAGUUAUCGAUCUUCGAAUUCAGUGCCGCAGACAUCUUCUGACACUCGCCCCUCGGCCUUGUGCUGAACUCGUUAAAGAAUCUUUCCUUGGCGAGGGACUCACAGCCGAAUUAUGUCCGGUUUGAACAGGAGGCUGACGAUGGGGGAGAAUUUCGCUUCCCACCCGCCACCCACUUCAUAGCCACUGUCGAGGACUUAACCGACAUGCUUGAUUAUGGCUCCGAAGACAUCGACGUUAUGGACAACAAUGCUGAGGAGGAGCAAAGGCAAAACCCGCCAUUUACUGGACGCUGGACGACCACCUCUUCGUAUGAUGUGUACAUGGUGGAUACACCCAAAGCAACCAACGACGAUGACAAAGAAAAUACAGUUGAGAGUAAACCUCCUGAGACACAGCACAAACGUCGGCGUCCUCGGCGCCGCUCUAAGUCACGUCGUUCAAAAGACAGCAAUACUAGCACCGGAGAAAAUAAUACUCCGGACGAUGCCGAAAACAAUGAAGACCCUGUUGAGGUAACAUCCGAACAGGAGGAACAAGAAAACAGGCAAGUUAGCCCCGAUGAACAGGCCAUGCCCAACGACUCGUAGGACGGUAGUUAUCGUCCGCUCUCCGAGGAUGAGGAAUGCCUCGGCAACGAGGAUUUCAUUGUGCCCGAGGAACCUCUUGAGCAGGAGCACUUCAAGCGGCAGCUAAUAGCCAUUGCAAGGAGCCUGAAAAAGAAGCAGCAGUAGCUUCAAGCUAACCAAGAUCUGCUCGUCGACAGGUGGACUGAUGUCCUGGCAGCCGAGGAAUACGGCCUCAGACACCCAGCCAAAAGUUACCCGAAGAGCAGAUUGCUACCUCAGUUCGAUGAAGAAGCGCCAGAGCCCAUACCUCCCUUGCAUAAUGCGGCCGAUCGACCACUACGCGGUCGGGAUAGUGCGGCGGACCGACCACCAUGCGGUCGGGAUAGAGCGGCAACUCAGGCCGAACAGCAGCCCGCCCCACCGCCAUGUAAAAAUAGAGACAAAACAGUUCGGGGUCAUACAUACGACCUUCGGCAGGACCUGGAUAGUAGAGCAGGAUAUACCAGAUCGAUUUACGGAUCGCGAGGAUGUUCCUCGACACGCGAUGAUGGCUACUUAUUCGGACGUGACAAACCUAGUCACGCCCGGGCCGACAACCGCAGACGGACUCCAUCAGAGCUACGUCGCGAUGCGGCCAGAUAUAGAGGCGCCGCACACCCUCUUUGCUACACUGAUGCAGUAAUGGAUCAUGAAUUCCCCGAAGGGUUCAAGCCCGUGAAUAUUGAAUCAUACGACGGGCAACUGAUCCCGCGGUAUGGAUCGAGGACUUUAUCCUCCACAUCCACAUGGCCUGCGGAGAUGACCUCCACGCUAUCAAAUACCUCCCACUAAAGCUUAAAGGACCAGCUCGGCACUGGUUAAACAGCCUGCCAGAAAAUUCUAUCGGCAGCUGGGAGGACUUGGAAGAAGCCUUCCUCGACAACUUCCAAGGUACAUAUGUCCGGCCACCAGACGCCGAUGACUUAAGCCACAUAGUUCAACAGCCUGGAGAGUCAGCAAGGAAAUUCUGGACUAGGUUCCUAACUAAAAAGAACCAGAUCGCCGACUGUCCGGAUACCGAGCGGCCUUUAAACAUAGCAUCCACGACGAAUGCCUCGCCCGCCACCUCGGCAAAGAAAAGCCAAAAUCUAUGGCAGCCCUUACGGCACUCAUGACCCGCUUUUGCGCGGGUGAGGAUAGUUGGCUGGCUUGUAGUAAAAACACAGCCAGCGAGGCAGGCCCCUCUGAGGUCAAAAACAACAACGGCAAGCUCCGACGUAACAGACACAAACGCCGAAGCAAUGGUGAUAAUACCGACGACACUACAGUCAACGCCAGAUUGAGCGGCUCCAAGUCCAACCAACAGAAGAAACCGUACGAAAGAAACAAUCAGGGACCAUCCAGCCUAGACCGCAUACUCGAUCGUCCGUGCCAGAUACAUGGCACCCCAGACAAACCAGCCAAUCAUACCAACAGAGAUUGUUGGGUUUUUUAACAGGCCGGCAAAUUAAAAGCCGAGAACGAGGAAAAGGGAUCGCAAAGCGAGGACGAUGACGAGGAGCCCCGGCAACUGAACACAGGGGGGCAAAAGAAGUUUCAUCUCAGGUCAAAACAGUAAACAUGAUAUAUGCUACACACAUCCCCAAAAGGGAACGCAAGCGCGCACUCAGGGACGUCUACGCGAUAGAGCCAGUCGCCCCAAAAUUCAAUCCAUGGUCGUCAUUCCCGAUCACCUUUGAUCGUCGGGAUCAUCCGACUAGUAUCCGUCAUGGCGGUUGAGCCGCGCUAGUCCUCGACCCAAUCAUUGAUGGAUUUCACCUAACGCGCGUCCUUAGGAACGGGGGUAGCAGCCUCAAUUAGCUCUAUCAGGAUACAGUGCGCAAAAUGGGCAUUAAUCCAUGAAACCCACCAAGACUACCUUCAAAGGAGUCAUACCAGGUGUAGAGGCCUGCUGUACGGGCUCAAUCACACUAGAGGUUGUCUUCGGAUCUCCGGACAAUUUCCGAAGCGAGGAGUUAAUCUUUGACACGUCCCCUUUCGCAGCGGCUAUCACGCACUGCUCGGACGGUCCGCAUUCGCUCGAUUCAAUGCAGUGCCACACUAUGCUUAUCUCAAGCUCAAGAUGCCCGGUCCACAUGGCGUCAUAAUGGUCAAUGGAAAUACGAAACGCUCCCUCCGUACAGAAGAGCACACAGCUGCCUUAGCAGUAGAAGUACAGAGCGGCCUUCUCAAGCAGAACCUUAAUUCGGCUGCCGAGCCCACGGACACCGUUAAGAGGGUCCGAACUACCCUGCAGCAGGACAGCUCGGCUCGUUAGGAGCUCGACUAGCAAUUCGGCCUCCGUCUCAGUCCCGGUCAAGUGGUGGCAUUCGUACCACGCGUACAUAACUACGCACUCAAAAUUCCAUGGGCAUCGACGAAGGCAUAGCUAGUUUGUGAUCCACAGUAUGGCUCAACCAGCACCGGAUACACACAAACUUUCACUUUUAUUCGUUUCCUUUUCAGGUUUCAAUCCCGCAGGCCCCAUCUGAUGGCCUGAUCACCGGUCCUCUUGAAGGAUAAACACACCUAGACGGCAAGAAACACAGACGUUUGGGGGACUUUCAAGGUGGUUUCAUUAACGAUCACUCUACCUGUUUUUCAGGACCCACAUGCAGCUCUCCCUUGGUUUUUGGGCAUGUUAAAUAGCCUGUUGCUUAUCGCACUACUUGUAUCAAUGCGCCUUGAUGUAUUAAUCAAAUUACAAUGGAAACAGUUCGCGGCCCGAGCUUUAGGGCCCCAGCUUAUCACCUUUGCACCCUUUCUGUUUUCUUUUCUUUUUUUCUCUCCUAUGGGUAACCUUAUCAGGUAGCACCCGUACACUUUGGUACGUUUCAUAUUUGCCAUGGGCUUCACAGCACCCCGCACUACGGCAACAAAAGUCCAAACACUUUUUAUAAUAUAGUUCGGCACCCCGAAUUUAACAAUAUAUGCAUUGGCUCCGAAUCAUGUCUUUGGUCAAUAGUUGGGUUGCCCGGCUCCUGUGCUUGCUACCUUAUGUUCCGCUAUAUCGGCUAAGGUAGUAAAGGGAGAACUACUGCGAUUCGGCCUUGGUUUAUCGAAAGGAGCACCUCAGUAGAGAAUGCCGAAAACUGACUGCCAUGAUGCGGCGAGAGCCGGUCAGCUCUUCGGAGGUCGCAAAUCGUUGGAGAUUUCUUUCGCAUUACGCGAACGAUCGGUACUUCCAAAUCAGGCACUUAUAGCACUCUAGUUCGGAUACUAGGGUCUAUGCCAACAUUUUUAUUAUCAAACUCCUAUGGCUAAGUGAGGGCGUUAAAGCCGCAUAGUCUGAUUACCUGGUUCGUUGCGCUAAACAACUCCUUGAAGGAACAUAUAAUUGGAUCAAGAGUGUUUAGAUUCCAUCCCGAACACCUCCGUACUACCUACGAGGGGGCAGAAGCCGAUGACUGGCCAACCCUCAGAUUUCAUACAACACUGCCGCACAGGAGGUAAUUUUUUUAACAUAACAAACAUUAUAUUACAAACCGAAUUUGUUUUAUCAUACAAGGUAGAGGCAACUCGAAUACAUUCAUUCCAAGAUAAUGUCCUGCGAACACUGCGUCGCUACAAUACGAGACCCCUCCAGGACGUCUCCAAAAUACCACUCGGGUGUGCGGUGCACCUUGCCCUCGGGUGGCCCCUCGGUCACAAUCUUGAUGGCGUUCAUCUUCGCCCACCAGACCUUGACGCGGGCGAAGGCCAUACGCGCACACUCGAUGCAGACGGACCGCUUGACGGUGUCCAGCCGAGGACAGGCAUCCACCAGCCGCUUCACAAGGCCGAAGUAACUACUGGGUAUAGCUUCGGUUGGCCACAGCCGGACUAUUAAAUCCUUCAUGGCCAGUUCGGCCACCCUGUGCAGCUCGACCAGCUGUUUUAGCUGAUCGCUGAAGGGCACCGGAUGUUCUGGCGCAAGAUAUUGCGACCAGAACAGCUUCUCCAUGGAGCUCCCUUCUUCGGCUCGGAAGAACUCCGGAGCAUCGGCCACACUACGUGGCAGAUCAGCAAAAGCCCCUAGAGAACUCCGAAUCCGGGUUAGUUAAAGAUACUUCCUCUUCACAUACUUGCUUUGCAUACUAAAUGCCUUACCCGCCGCGAUCUUCCUGGCGUCCUGGAUCUCCUGGAGGGCGCCCUAGGCCUCAUUCCGGGCCGUCUCCACGCUCUGACGAGCCUUGGCGAGUUCGGUCUCUUGAGCCGACGCAUCAUGCUCCAAGGUCUCGCACUUCCUCACCGCGUCCUGGAGCUCUUGCUCGACCUCGUUGACCCUGGCCUUGAGCUUCUUACGGGCGGCCUGCUCCUUGACAGCCUUCCCCUCAGCUUCGGUCAGGGCCUUUUUUAGGGCCUCGACCUCGGUCGUCGCUCGUAUACAUAUCAUGACACUUCAGUCAAUAAAUAUCAUUUUACUCUUUUCGAAUAUAUAACGGGUUAUUACAUACCUUGCUUCUCUUAGAGCUGCCUCCUCACCUGGUCGAGCUCCUCCUCGGCCUACUCCAGUCUUUGCUUCAGUCCGGAGACUUCGGCACUAUGCGAGGCCGCGGCCAGCAGCGACGCCUGCGUAUUCAUUUCAGACAUAUUUAGUAGUUUCCUGCAAUAAGGGGAUUAUCAUCUGUCCGUCUUUUCUUUCCGAACACCGGACAAUGUCUCAGGGGCUACUGUCUGUAUUGGGAUCUUCUCUUUUUUCGUCGCUUACCUCAAAACCUGUUAGCAGGCUGCUGCAGGCUUCGGUUAGUCCGCUCUUGGCGGACUGAACCCUUUCAAUUACCGUGCCCAUAAGAACACGGUGCUCAUCCAUAAUGGAAGCGCCUCACAGCGCUUCCAGCAGAUUAUCCGCUGCCCCUGGUUGGACAGGGGUCACCGGCGGAAUAGGCAUACCCCUUCUUUCGAAGGAGGUUGCAUGCCGGAUUCCGGAGCCGUAUCGGUCUCCGGAAUCAAGUUCGGCUGAGGGCCGAACUGAAUAUGGCCCUCAUCACCAGUAUCCAUGGGGAUUGGCUCCCCCUGGUGUCCGGCAACGGAGGCUUCACCUUCUGGCGCCUCCUGAACCUCUCCUCGGCCUGGGAAAGUCCUUCAAGACAGCACCUCGGCGUCGCCCUUGGCCUUGGGGGAGUGAGCGGUCGGCGAUGAAUCGCUGGCCAUCGCCUUUGAAUCCAACGAACCUCUUGACGAGGAUCGCUGGGAGCUGUCGUGGGCCGACUUCAAUAGCAUAAUUAACCAUGUCAAUACAAUGAAGAGGAGAGGCUCGAUUUAUGAGUAUGUAUGAGUCUUAGCACUUACGAUGUAGCCCGAGGCUUAGUGCGGGGGCGUCGCUCCGGACUGCUGUCGACAUCCCACGCGGAGUUAUCCGCAAGGGAGCCCUUCCCCUUCUUGGACGUCUCCGCCUCCAGAUUCGUGGAGGCCGCCCUCUUCUUCUUUUCCUCAUCAGGGGGAGGGUUGUUCUCCUCCUCCUUCUCGUCGUCGUCGUCCUCAGCAGCGGAGGCAAGGGUCACUUCGUCUUCGGACGUCACGUCCGAAGCACCCUUGCGACAGGGGCCACCUUUGGCCCCCUUGGCCUUCUUCUUGGCCUUCUUUUUCGGCGGCUGAUAGGGCGCCGGAACCAGCAUCUUCGCCAGGAGCGGGAUGACUGGCUCUUCGGGCAGCGGAGCCAAACUCUGGAUCCGCUCCGCUCUCUCCGUCCACACCUGAAAAAAUACAGCAAAGAUUAGGCAUCCUCCUUGAAUAGACAAGUAGAAGGUACGCCUUAAGAAAAGGAGAACUUACCGCAUUGGCGGAUGGGUGUGAUCGUGCCCACGGUCCGAAUCUAUGACCAGCGGCUUCUUGUUGCCCUUGAAGAGCAACUUCCAGGCAUCUUCAUGAGUAGUUCUGAAGAGCCCUCCUAGGGUCUGGUGCUUCUCCGGAUUGAAUUCCCAUAAAGGGAAGCUUUGGCUUUGGUAGGCGAGAAUCCGGCGAACCAGCAUCACCUGGAUCACGUCGACGAGCUUGAUGUUUUUAUCCACCAUACUCUGAAUGCGCAUUUGCAGCGCUAUCAGCUCGUCCGACGCAGACCAGUUGGGGCCCUUCUCCGUCGAGGAGGUGAGCCGCAUUGGAGAUCCGGCCUUAAAUUCGGGAGCCACUGCCCAAGUGGCGCCGCGUGGCUCUGUGAUGUAGAACCACUGCUUCUGCCACUCCUUGACAGUCUCCACAAAAGUGCCUCUGGGCCAAGUAACGUUGGGCAUCUUGCUCACCAUGGCGCCUCCGCACUCCGCCUGCUGACCAUCCACCACCUUCGGCUUCACGUUGAAGACCUUGAGCCAUAGGCUGAAGUGGGGCUGGAUGCGGAGGAAGGCCUCGCACAUGACAAUGAAUGCCGAGAUGUUGAGGAAGGAGUUCGGGGCUAGAUUAUGGAAAUCUAGCCCGUAAUACUACAUCAGUCCGCGGACGAAGGGGUGAACUGGAAACCCCAAUCCGCGGAUGAAGUGAGGGAGGAAAACUACCCUCGCUAUAGGCUUCGGGGUGGGGAUGACUUGCCCCUUGGUAGGCAGGCGAUGGACGAUUCCUUUCGCCAGAUACCCGGCCGCACGAAGCUGGGUGAUGUCCUUCUCCUUGACGGAGGAGACCAUCCACUUGCCUUGGCCUCCGGAUCCGGACAUGAUUGAGUGCUUCCUUGAGGAGGAGAAGAUGGGAACUUGAGCUGGAGCUCGAGAAUGGAAGGACAGAGAGGAAGAGAAGGCGUGGGUAAAGAAAGAGAAUCCUUAUCUCCUUAUAAAAGCAGUGAAUAUUGAACGCCUCCCCACUCACCUUAAAACUCACCUCUUUACAAGGGCUGUGUAAACAACACGUUGGGUUACCCACCCCCGUAUUGAUGAGAAUCCCGCAAUAAGGGGACACGAUCUCUGCUUCGACAAGACGUGCCAAUGGCAACCGCGUCUCGAAACAUGGAGGAACAGACGAAAAACGGUUCGAAAUUAUGACCGGGCGAACGUGAUGUCAUGUUGCAAAAAGUUGUCAACAGAUUGGACUCGUGGAGUGUUAUAUUCUUUGCGGUUCUGUGUGGUGUGCGUGUUACAGGUUCAUACACGAUCAGUGCGUCCGAAGACUAUCUUGGAGUUCGGAAGGAGGAACCCGCCUUGCAAUGCCGAAGACAAAUCUGCGUGCUGGAUACCUCAUCAUUGAAGCCAGGUUCAGGGGCUACUGGGGGAGUCCUGGACUAAGGGGUCCUCGGGUGUCCGGCCUGUUAGCCAUGGGCUGGACUGAUGGGCUAUGAAGAUACGAAGACCGAAGACCCUACCCGUGUCCGGAUGGGACUCUCCUUGGCGUGGAGGGCAAGCUUGGCGAUCAAAUAUGUAGAUUCCUUUCUUUGUAACUGACCUCGUGUAACCCUAGAUCCUCCCGAUGUCUAUAUAAACCGGGGGACUUAGUCCGGAGGGGGGAGAGACUCAUUACCAUAGUCAUAUAGGCUAGACUCUUAGGGUUUAGCCAUUACGAUCUCGUGGUAGAUCAACUCUUGUAAUACUCAUAUUCAUCAAGAUCAAUCAAGCAGGAAGUUGGGUAUUACCUCCAUAGUGAGGGCCCGAACCUGGGUAAACAUUGUGUCCCUUGUCUCCUGUUACCAUCGACCUUAGACGCACAGUUCAGGACCCCCUACCCGAGAUCCGCCGGUUUUGACACCGACAGUCACAUCGAGUGCUCGCUUAUGAUGAGCUUGAGAAAGAGCAGUUGCGCCAAGACGAUGCGACGCUCGUCGAGGAAGAUCGUCUUCGGGCUCCUGUGCGAGCCGCUCGCUAACAGCACCUUGCGCCGCUACCAUAGCCGGAAGGUUCAUGCCCGAAGCCUUGAGGAAGGCGACCUUGUUCUUCGGCGAAUCCAAUCCGCCAAGAAUUCCAACAAGUUGACGCCAAAGUGGGAAGGCCCUUAUCGGGUAAUACGAGUCACCAGGCCCGACAUAGUCCGCCUGGAGACUGAAGAUGGUAUCCUAGUGAGUAAUUCCUGGAACAUCGAGCAUCUUCGCAAGUUUUACCCAUAAGGCUCGGUUGCCGCCCCCCGGCAAACCACCUUUUUGUACAAGCCUUGUCGGCGAGGCAUGUAACCCUUUGUACAAAGCCAGGCGCAGACCCUGAGCAACAGAUGAAUAAAUGAAGCGCUGGCGCCCUAAGUUUUAGCAUGCAUGUUAGGUUGAGUCUCCCUCUGGUAGGGUUGAUAGUGCUUAGCGGCUACUAACCCCUAGCAUAGAGGUUGAGUUUGUGUCUUUGCGUCCCUUCCAGUCCUUCUUGAUUCACAGGCUACACGGGCGCUUCAGCGGAACUUUUUGGGGAAAGGAGACGAGUUGGCACCCCGGCCCCGACAAGCCAUUCUUGCCGGGGGCAACACAUUCAGAUAAGUCUUUUUCCCAGCCACGUACUUCCGUAUGAAGCUUGAACGUAUGAACCCUCGCUUGAUCCCAUGCCACCAUGCUCCCUCCUCCCUAAAUCCGAAUCCCUUUCGGGUUGGAACUUGAUUGUAGUUGCGGUGGAAGGGAGACAGACGAAGGGCCCAAUCCUACUUUUCCACUACCCUCGCCAAGGGCUUGAGUGUAGUCGUGGUAUAAGGUGGGAGGACGGCAAGGCCUGUUGCCGGGCGACGUUGUUUACUUAAAGAAAAACAAGGAUUCGUUCCUUGGUGUGGGCCUCGCUCGCGCACAAAAAACCUGGCAAACCCCCUUUUCAUUGAUACGUUGAUUAAACAAGUACAGUUCAUACGGAAUGUGAACAUGAGCAAGGGGUUGCAAAGUCUAAAUUCGACAAGUGCGCGUAGGCUUAAUAUCUAGAAAAAGAUAAGAUGCAGGUAAUCCGUUUCUUGUCCCUCUUCUCAGGAGGCGGAUUAAGAUAGCGGCAGGGCAAAAGGAGUGGCUAGGCGAGAUACGAGCAGCAGAUGGCACCAAGUGAACGUCCCGGCAGCCGGCCAGAAGAGGGCUGGUGAUGACGGUGCCGGGGAAGAAGCCGAAAGAUGAGGCAGCGGGCCGACAAUACGAGACGAGGGCGUCGAUGCCAUCGUACUCCCACUUGACGGCCCGCCACCCGCCUUCUUCGUCUUAUCCAGCCUUCUAGCGCCAGCCGCCAGAGGCAACGACCCCGAGAAGUUCAAGGAGCUGGCUCGAGGAGCCGCGCCAAGAACUACCCCCCGGCAAAUCACUCUGUCGGGGAGAAGGCCAGGUGCAGAUGGUGCUGCUGUCGGCGUCGCCUAUGGACGGGGCGUCCGACGUCUAGUCGGACCCGUCCCCGUCGUCCUCCCCACCACCCCCCUCCUCGUCACCGUCGCACGAGGAGGAGCUCUCGUCAUCGGUCAAGCUCUCCGCGGAACACCCUAACCUGAUUCCCGAGCGCCCGAAGACCUUGACGGAGAGCAGGUCGCUCUUCACUAAUUUGAAGUGGGGAACGUGCCCCUUCAUCAAGCAGUGGGUGCGUGCGAAGGUUUUCCAACGCCGACGAAGGAGCAUUACAUGAGGGACGGGGAACCUUGUGUUCACCCACAUGUCGCCGUUACAACAACCCUUCAUGUGGAGCCUCAACCUCGGCGGUUGGUCGAUCUCCAGCACCCUCGCAAACGCCUCGGGAAGACGAAGGCGGCUAUGCGGCGGCUCGCGCAACUACAAGAUGAACUCCAACGCUGUGUCUCCAACAUGGCCGCUCGACGAAGCAUGAGGAGAUGGUGGCGGAGACGGCGGCGUUGCGGGUGUCCCCCUUCUGCCCCCACCUCUGCCUCGACCACUUCGCCGAUCGCGACUCCGUCCGGCGCCUCCGCCUUGAGCGUCUGACUCUUCCUUAACCGCCGUGGCCCUCUGGCGGGAGGAAGACCUAGUCGGCUCCACAGAAGGACGGCCGCGGCCGUGCCCUCUCGGCAUGGCAGUCGAUGGAGAAUGGAGAAGAAGGGUAGAAACGAGAGGAUGCCUCUCCUCCUUCUCCUGGUCCCCUUCUUAUAGCCAAGCAAAGAAGGCUGAAGACUGGCUCUACAUCUCCGAAGAGCCCUUUCAAGUCCGGCUUAUUAAAGCCAUUUGAUAACAAGCAAGGGCAUCGACCGCCCUCCCAACGCCAAUCAAAGGCGCAUGGGUAUCGGCCAUGGAGCGCCUUCCCAUACCCUACACAUCCUCCACCUACCCCAUGCCAUGCAUGCAGCAUACGUGACGAAAAAGGCGGGCGUGGUGGGAAACAUGGAACAGCGGUUCCAAGAUUAGCAAAGGCACAGAGGGUAAAUGAGCAGCACCCCUGCUUUUCCCUCUUUUUUAUGGGGAAGAUGUGGGCCGCCUCUUUACUAUUCGCCGCAGGGUGACGCAAGCACGCUGCAAGAGUCCCAUGCAUGAUCCCCACGUUACGCACUCAAUGCGGGUCGUGGGGAAGCGCAAGGAGUUACCACAGUUAAAACCCUGCCACGCGUGCCCGCGCACCGUUCUGGGCCUAGCCCAACAACGCUUUACGCUUAUGUGUGGCCCAGGCCCGAAGGCUCCUGUCGGUGUACAAAAGUAGGGGCCUUUCUGUACCCCUUUACUUGUGCGCGGGCAGUUGUAGCCACACCUGCGGCCACGCUUGGCGGGGCAGAGGAAGCGAAGAUACAGGACUGCCAGGGCAGUGCUCAACCCAGAGGCGCAAAGAGCAAAGGGACAAGAUGGAUUUCCCUCGGCGAGAGCCUUGUCGGGGCGACCUACAUAGCCCCGACAAGAGCCUUGCCGAGGCAACUUGCCCAACACCAGCAAGGCCGCCACCCUUGAGCCUGAGAGUUCCGACACCAUCGACAACGUCGAGACCAAGACUCAGGGGCGCCUGUGUGGUGGCAUGCAGAUCUUUGUGAGGAACAAAGGCCUGCGAAUCUGGAGAGAAACUAGAAGGCGAAGACCCCCGGCAAGAGCCUUGCCAGGGACAGGCGGAGACCCCCGGCAAGAGUCUUGUCGAGGACAGAUGAAGAACCCCGGCAAGAUCCUUGCCGGGGACGCCCGCGAGACCCCGGCAAGAUCCUUGCCCGGGGCUUUUGCGGGGCCGAGGCCAGGCCCGCACUUACCAACGUUUUGCUGCCCCGCGCCCGUGCCGACGCGGCAAUCAGCCCGCCAACCAGGCAGGCGCCUGCAUGGCAGCAAGCAACCUCUAGGCCAACUAGACAAGCACCUGCGUGGUGGCAUGCAGAUCUUUGUGAAGACCCUGCCACCGCAGCAACGUAGCUGCCAGCCAGCCAGCGUGGCGCUGCAUGCCUCGUCAGCUUGGACGCGCGUCGAAGCAAGGGGAGGCGGCGAUGGACGGGACAAGCUUCUUUGUCGUCCCCAAUAAAGCAAUAGGACACGUAGGCGGCGCAUUAAAUGCGUUUGUCGCACGAUGUUAGGGAUAGACUUGUACACUGUAGACACUUCCCACCUCCUGUGUGCCACUGUGGCAACCCCUUUGACAUAUAAAAGGAGGCCCGAGGCGUACCGAGGAAGGAUUUCGGACUUUUUGAACUGGGCAUGCACCGCAGCUAGUUCAAUAGCUCAAGAACACCAAAUAUAUACACCAGAGCAGGACUAGGGUAUUACGCAUCGCAUGCGGCCCGAACCUGGGUAAAAAAUCCCCUCACGCUGAUCUUUCAGUCCCGCUCUUUGCACAGCUCUGCGCCCAGCCAACCGUAGUAGGGAUUCCCCGUGAUCCCAUAGGUGUUGUUUCCCCCGAUAGGGAGCCGUGGAGGACUCCCCUCCACCGACGUAGCGGAUUAGGUUGAGUAACCAUAGGGGCUCUGGUAUCUUAUAUAAGCCGAGGUUGAGCUAGUCGAUAGAGCACAUUAGAAUCUCUCGGUUCAGUGAGAUCUGCUCACUGAAACAUGGUAUUGGUAUAUUGGAAAUGCAACGCAUCAUUAUGGUAGAAAGAAAAGAUUUUUACACCAGGUUAUGUUUUAGUUGUUUCGCAAAACAAAAGAAGUUUUAGUAGAAUUGGAAGCAACUUUCAGUAACAUAGGAACCAAUUCUUGCUUGAAAAGGAAGCAAAUUGCAAGGCAGGAAAGAUAACAGCAUCUCUAGCAGAUUCCCUAAAACUCAUACUCCCUCUGUUCCUUUAUACAAGGUGUUUGGGUGUAGGGCUGCUAGCUACUGCCGCAUGUCGAGUGCGUACCUUCUGCUGCAGCUGCCUUCUGCUGUUGUUGGAACUUGUCCGGGUGAGGGAGACUGGCGCGCCAUCUGGCUGUCGGACAAUGACAGGUGGUCGGUUAGGCAUGUAGCUUGGCGGCCGGCGGCGAGUAAAAUUUCACCUGGGGAAAGGUGAAUCAUAGACUGAAGAGCUUUACAUUGGGUCACCUAAGAGUAAGAGUGCUUGCUGGGAUUUUAUUUUUUUGGGGCCAAUCUCUAUUCUCCUAUGGUAUAACGGUCAAACCAAAAUAUCAAGGGCGGGCCACGGCACAUCGGGCUUUUCUCGAAAUCACUAAUUAAGGAGCACUCUUUGCAACGGUCACUCCCACCUUCCCAGGUUGCGACAAGUGGUGUCACAACCUGGGAUUUUUUUUCUGUAGAUCCGUUUAUUCAAAAUGUUUUACCUCAUAAAUCGUGCGCCUAAAUCUUGAACCGUUUUCACCAUUGGAUUCCUUGCGUCGAGAUCUUCAAAACUACACCCUAUGUUGAUAGGUUGUAACGAACUUUUUUUCACGAAAAAAACAGGCGAAAAGACCAAAUCGGGAGCACUUUUUUUUACCUUUCUGAAGGCGGCACGACUGUGCCUCUCGCGGAAGCAAAUCCGUGCCUCCAUGAGAAAUAAACUCGUGCGUCUAGUGGAAGGAAAAAAAUUCCGAGAAGCUUGGCCAUGCGUCCCGCGGAAGGAAAAAAUGACAGAAAUCGCGUUUUUUCGUCUCCAGAGACACGGCCGUGCCUCUCGCGGAAGGAGAAAAAACCGCAUUUUUAUUCGUUUCCAAAAGGCACUCGCGAAAGCAAAACCGUGCCUCUCACGGAUGGAAAAAAAUCUGUUUCCGAGACUACCGUGAAAGCAAGACCGUGCCUCUCGUGAAAGGAAAAACACAUUUUUUCCGUUCCUCUAGCGGAAGCAAAACAAAUGAAAAUGAGUUUUUUCGUGUAAAUGUUUUGUCCAAAAGCUAAAAAACCAGGUGGAAAACCGAAAACCCAGAAAACAUCAUCUAAAAACCAAAAACAUGUGCGAAAAAAAAACAAAAAUCCGAAGGACACACACCCAUUGCGUGACACGUGACGGCGAGUGAACUCUCAGGCCACCCCAAGUGAUCCUUGGGAAGGCUCCCGAAGGAGUGCUCCGUCGUGAGUUGCUCACCUUUUUCCUCAAUUUCAGUAUAGGGGAUCUUGCAAAAAUGUAGGAUCAGCUUGACUUCCCAAAAUCUGGGAUUUGUUUUCACAAACCAUGCGAGCAGUUAUUAGGAAUUGUUUGGCUUCCUAAGAUCUCCCGUCAUGGCGUCCAUGCUCUCGGGGGGCCCCGCGACUUGGCCCGCGCCGCCCACCAAGUUGUGUUGGCUGCUCGCCGGGCAGCGCUGGUGAUCGUGGCUCGCCUAGCCCCCUCAGAUCUGCCGAGCGCGACAUGUGAUGGUGAUGUACGUUCAGUGGGAGGAGACGUUUCCCUCGACUAUGAAAUCGAUUUCGUCGAUCUCAAGAUGAAGUGCCGGCUCAGUACCAAGAAAGUGCUCAUAGGAGUUGGUUGUGCAUGUGUGCGUUUAUAGGGGUGAGUGUAUGUGCGUGUAUGCAUGAACGUCUGCAUAGUGUGUUAAGGAUCUAUUUUGCUUCCUAAAAUCUAUGGUGGAAACUAGUGUGUUAAGGAUCUAUUUUGCUUCCUAAAAUCUAGGGUUUGUUUCCACAAACCAUGCGAGCCGUUAUUAGGAAUUGUGUAACGCUUGCAUAUUAAUAUACUUCCUCUGUUCCUAAAUAUAUGUCUUUGUAGAGAUUACACUAUGAACCACAUACGGAUGUAUAUAGAUGCAUGUUAAGUGUAUAUUUAUUCAUUUUGCUUCGUACGUAGUCCAGCUAGUUGAAUCUUUACAAAGACUACUUAUGUUUAGAAACGGAUCUUGCUUUAUUAGUAGGUAGGUAUAGGUAUAGAUAUAGAUUGUGUAACCAUUUAUUGCAAAAUAACCUAAAAACUUAAGACCCGUCUCUUUCCUAAAAAAACAAAAAACUUUAAGACCCGUCUCUCGUCGCCGCCAUCCACAUCUAUCAGAUCCACACUGUCGAUCGUCUCCCGACAUGGCGUCUAUCCUCUCGCGGGCCUCCCGUGACUUGGCUCGCGCCGCCCGCCAAGUCUCGUCGGCUGCUCGCCGGGCAGCGCCGGUGACCAUAGCUCGCCCAGCCCCCUCAGAUCUGCCGAGCCGCCGCCUGUCCGUCCACAGCGGCGCCACCGACGCCAACAUCCCCGGCUACACCAACCCACCCCCCGACGAGCCAGUGGAAUUCGUGGCUUCAGACAACGACCUGGAAUCUGACGAGGCCCUGUGGGCGCUCUACGAGCGCUGGUGCGAGGCUUACAACGAGGAGCGCGACCACGACGAGAUGGUUCGCCGGUUCGACACAUUCAAGGAGGCUGCUUUCAUGGUGGACCGCGUGAACAAGGCCAAUCUGCCCUACACCCUGAAACUAAGCCAGUUCGCCGACGGGAAGCUGGCAGAGUCCGUGUGCAAUAAGUGGUGUGGUGAUAAACCUCGCCCUGAUCCCGCAGCUUAUCAUCGGGAGGGUGAGUUUUACAUCUAUGAUGAUGGCGGAGAUGAUGUGCCGAAAUAUCCCACGAUGAGGUUCCUCUUCUGUGAACGUGGAGGUCCCAUCAUCCCCUUGGAAUGAAUUGAUCAUCCCAUUAGCAGCAACCCUGAAUAAAGUUCUGCGUGUAUGGUGUUAUACAUGCUUAUUUUUACAAUGAUGGGCGUUUGCACACGCUGCUACCGUAGCGAUUGUAAGGCUUCGUAAACCUUGCUGUUGUAAUCUCGCUGGUUCUUCAUGAUUAGGUUUGAUAACCACCAACUAUCCCCUCUAUCCUAAUUUACCGUGUAUUAAAAUAUUUGGUUUAUUCAUUAAAAAUCAGGUGGAAAUACUUUUGCAGGGGAGGGAUUAUUCUCCGACUCAUGCUUGUGGAUUUUCAUCAAAAUGACUUUCAUGCCAUUCAGUUUAUUUUUGAAGUUAUUUAUUAGUUUAUUUUUUUAAAUCAUUAUUUGUGGAGAUGUCGAAGUAAUGGUUAAAGAAGGAAAUUAUACUGUUUUAGGGACUGCACCGAUGUCAAGUACGUUAAUCAGCAUAUUUAAAUCCCAAUGAGUCAUCGACUAUAUAAAAUUCAUAUGCAAUGAUUAACAAAGAAAUCUCGGCCUUGGAUAUUUUAAUAGUUAAAUAAUCAUUUGCAGAGAUAUUGAAGUAGCGGUUGAAGAAGAAAGUUAUAUUUUAUAGAUAAUGAUGAUAUCGGAUGGUCGGAUUCCUUUUGGUGAAAUCUGGCUAUCCGGGAUGAAGGUUUACACUUAACAUGGCAGUGACGGAGCUACAAAUACAUUGUUGGGCGGGAGAAGCCAAAGAACACGAAAGUUUGGAAUCAAAAGAUCAAGUUAGCAGUUGUAAACAAAAGAAGCCACACCAAAAUAUAGCUUCACAUUUAGAUAUUUUAGUUAUCGAUUACAGAAGUAUGGAGAAUUGAGUGAAAUUUUGAUGCAGGGAAAAUUGUGAAUGAACCAAACCAAAUUGGAUACAUGCCUACAAUCAAUCAAUUUGGAUAAAAAUCAAGCUCUAGGUGAAAUUUAAGGCAAGGACAUUGUCAAUGUGUCGAAGAAAAUGAGUUGUGCAGCUGGCAUUCACAGAAAUUGGAGUGUGCCGGAGAUGAGAGGAUCAAAUUCAAAGAAGAAAGUUAUGCGCCUAUGCCUCACUUGUAGCAAGACCGAAGAAGCUCUCACUAAAGGAAUGCCCUCCCAGACGCAAGUAAUGUGCCCGCCCAACUUUCAGUUUAGUUCCUUUUCUUUACGUUUCUACAUUGUUUCGUUUUGUUUUGUUUUCAAAUAUAUUUUUAAUACAUGCAUUAAAAAUAUAAAUUUACUAUAAAAAUAAAACCAAAAUUUGAUUUUUUUUUUAAAAACAGUGUAAAGUUUUUGCCAGCAUAACUUAAAAUAUGUUGGUAGUUUUCAAACAAAUGCUUGUGACAUUCUAAAAAUGUUCCCGUAUUACAAAAACAUGUACAUGAAAUUUUAUAAAAAUAAAUAUACAAAGUAAAAAUAAUCCAUACAAAAUGCUAAACAUGUAUAAAAAAAAUGUUUUCGAUGACUAAGAAAAAUGUAUGAUGUGUACCAAAAAAGGUAGACGUCAAGCCAUAUAUUUAGGAAAAUGUUAAUCAUGUUUAUUAAAAAUGUUAAACAUGUAUAAAAAAUGUUGUAGAUGUAUACAAAAAAAUAUACAAUGUGUAUGAAAACAUUAGGCAUCAAAACAUAUAUUAAAAAACAGUUAAUCAUGUAUUUGAAUAAUGCUAAACAUUAUUGAAAAUUGUUUUAGAUGUAUACAAUAUGUAUGUAUGAAAACAAUAAACAUCAGACAUAUAUUUGAAAAAUAAUAAUUAAUCAUGUAUAUGAAAAGUGUUAAACCUGUAUAAAAAAUUGUUUUAGAUGUAUACCAAAAGUAAAUUCCGUAAGAAAACAAUAGCCAUCUAAACAUAUAUUUAAAAAUGUAAUCACGUAUUUAAAAAUUGUUUAACAUGUGUUAUAAAAUAUUUGAAGUGUAUACGAAAGAUGUACAAUGUGUAUGAAAAUAAUAGGCAUCAAAACAUAUAUUUGAAAAAAGUUACUAAAGUAUAUGAAAAUGAUAAACCUAUAUAAAACUAUUUUUGAAUUAUACCAAAAAUAUACAAUGUGUAUGAAACUAAUAGAUAUCUAAACAUAUAUUUGAAAAAUUAUCUUGACACAUACGAGAAAUGUACAAUAUGAAAGAAAAUAUGUAGACAUGUGUUAAAAAAGGAACAAAGAAACCCGAAGAGAAAAAAGAAAACAAGAAAAGCAGAGAAAAACAAGUGUAGAAGAGAAAAAGGAAAUAACGAAAACAAGAAAAUCAAAGGAAAACUUGAAAGAAACAAAAAAGAAGAGAAAAGAAAUAAAAGUAAAAUGUCAGUGAAAACCAAGAAAGCAACGAAUAAAACCAGUGAGAAAACAAAGAAAAUGGGAAAAUUGGUGAAGAAACAAAGAAAACAAAAGAAAAAAAAAACUAGCAGACGUCGAGCGAACGAACAUGCAAAAAUAGCCCGGCCUAAAUACUGUGGCACAGAGGAAAAAUCUGUAGGCGAGAGUAUCAUACGACUCGCUGUAUGCGCGAGAUAGUCGCCACACAUAGAUGAGUCCUAGCGUAGCGGUGCUAGUCGGUACAUCUCUAUAGGAACACCUCUUCAUUGGACCGGCCUGCGAACUACACUCACCUACCAAUUGCGCCUGUCGCUUAUCUGUAGUCCUGUCGCACUGCACUGCGAUCUUGUUCCUUUUUCAAAAUCUUGUCCCCUUCGUUUACUACAGUCAUCUUACAAAUUCAAAAUGCUUAACUUACAUGGUUUUUUUUGCAAAUCUGAAAAAUGUUUCACUAAAUAUUAAAACAAAUGUUCACCUUUUAAAAUUGUUCACGCAAUUUAAAGAAAAUGUUCAUCUCAUUCUAAAAAUGGCGACAACAUUUAAAAAAAUGUUCACAUUUUUAAAAACUUAGCUAUAGGAGGUGAAGGCAAGGGGGGCUGGUGCGUGGGGAGGGAGACUCCUGGAGCUAGGGAGCACGCCGACGCCAUUGCUCACGGUGCAAGUUCGUUUCAAUCUUCGAUCCUGCUCGCUCUUGAUUCUGGGUACAGUAAAUUUUAGCUAGCUACGCUGCAAACUAAGUGGUGUGCCUCGUAUUAAUCUAUCUAUCUAUCCUAUCUUUUAUUCGGCGAGAUGGUUGCGCCUGUGGCGGAUGUGGCCGCCGCCAUCGCCGGCACCUAACCUGGUCUAGAUCCCUCCACUAUAGGAAUCAGCUACUUGACCGUCUGCCACGGCAGACGGCAAAGGCAAGGAUGGCGGACGGCAAAGGCCUUCGCCGUCUGCCGCGGACGGCAAAAGGCUCCGGCAAAGUAGGCUACGGUAAAGAGCUUCUUUGCCGUCUGCUUUCUGAAGGAGAUGGCAAAGGGGCCUUUGCCAUCGGCGGCGGACGGCAAAGAAAGCCGACGGCAAUAAAUUCGCUGUUAGUCCGUUAGGCGUCUAACGGCAGUCUUUGCCGUCCGCCGCUGACGUCAAAGAGCAUCAAGCCUUUGCCGUCUGCCACUGUAGGCAAACUGACCAAAUGGGCCAGCAGCCAGGAAGCAUAGGUGGUUGCCGUCGGUGGCAGACGGCAAAGAGCCCGUUGCCGUCGGUGGCAGACGGCAAAGAGCCUGCAUUGCCUCUUUUUUCUUUUUUUUCUUAUACCCAUCCAUUUUCACAGCAAAUAGAUGAUACAUAUAUAUUUUUCACAUGGCAAGUUCACAGCAAACAUAUGAGAUAUCCAACACAUAUAAUUUCAUCAUACAUGCAUCGUUCCAUCAACCAUACAUAGCAAGUUCCACAUACAUGCAUCCAACCAUACAUAUUACGAUAGUGUCAUCCUACCAUACAUGCAUAGUUCAUCGAUACAAAAGAAACAUAGUUCAUCCAAACAAGCACUCCAGUUAUAAAAGCAUAAAUGGAAAAGAAGCACUCCAUCCAUGCAAGCUUCCGUGAAUUAAAUCAAAUAUGCAAAAUGAUAAACAAGAUGUUAGAAAAAGAAGAAGAAAAUGAAGAAGAAGAAGAAGAAGACUAUAAGAAGUAAGCAUACUUAUGUAAAAUGGAGCUAACCUAGUGGAAAAUGAAGAAGAAGAAGAAGAAGAAGAAGACUAGAAGAAUACUAGAAGAAGACUAGAAGAAUACUAGAAGAAGAAGAAGAAGACUAUAAUUAAGCUUAUUAUGUAAACUUGGUCAUUUUGUGCUAACAUAAGUAAUUUUGGAGUUAACCUAUAGGAAACUAAGCAUAUUAGAGAUAACUUAGCAUAUUAGAGCCAACUUAGGUAAAAUGGAGCCAACCUAGCUAAUUAUGCCAUCUUUGAGUGAACUAAGCAUAUUAGAGCUAACUUAUAGCUAACUUAUGUCAUUUUGGAGAAGAAGAAGAAGAAGACUAUAAUUAAGCUUAUUAUGUAAACUUGGUCAUUUUGUGCUAACAUAAGUAAUUUUGGAGCUAACCUAUAGGAAACUAAGCAUAGUAGAGAUAACUUAGCAUAUUAGAGCCAACUUAGGUAAAAUGGAGCCAACCUAGCUAAUUAUGCCAUCUUUGAGUGAACUAAGCAUAUUAGAGCUAACUUAUAACUAACUUAUGUCAUUUUGGAGAAGAAGAAGAAGAAGAAUAUAUGACAUUUAUGAGCUAAUUUAGGUGAAAUUGAUAGUUUGUGAGCUAACCUAGGUGAAAUGGAUCGUUUAUGAGCUAAUCUAGGUAAAAUGGGUCAUUUUAGAGUUAACUUGAGUAAAAUGCAUCAUUUUGGAGCUAACCUAGGUAAGAUGGGUCAUUUUGGAGCUAACCUAGGUAAAAUGGGUCAUUUUUAGAGCUAACAUACGUAAAAUGGAUCAUUUUGGAGCUAGUCUAGGUAAAAUGGGUCAUUUUAGAGCUAACUCGGGUAAAAUUGAUCAUUUAUGAGCUAACUAAGGUAAAAUGGGUCAUUUUAGAGCUGACUUGGGUAAAAUGGAUUGUUUAUGAGCUAACUAAGCUAAUUAUGCCAAGUCUAGGUCAUUGUGGUAAGCAUAUUGGAGGAAAUAAGGCUAAGUCUAGGUCUUUAUGCAUUUGUUAAGCAAAACACUAGAUAAACUUACCAUGAUCAUGGAGGUGUAGGGGCGGGAUGGCUCGUGCCGGUAGCUGGAAAAGGAUCGUGCGAUGCUUGUCUGGAGUUACGCUGCACCAAAGAUCAUUUCCAAUGUCUCGUUAGCAUGAUGACACUCAAAUGUUAAGACUAGCAAGUAAUGUCCAUUCAAAUUAAACCCACCAUGGUCCCAGGAGCAAUCACUGGCAUCGGCGGAGCGGUCUGACCGGUCUUCUCGCACACAGACUGCACAUUUGGUUUUGACGACUCAGUCAUACUAGUUAGUAAUGAGACAAACACUACAUGAAUGUUUUGGCUAAUCUGCAGAAGAAACUUACCACAAGGAGCUCGUACAUGGCCCUUGCCUGCAUGUCAUUCCGUGCCCUCUCCUCCUCCAACAUCUUUGUCGUCCUCUCCUCCAACUCCCGCUGCCUCUCCGCCGCCUCCGCCAGAAGAUUCUUCGUUCUAUCUCUCUCACUCUGUAUAGCAGCCUGCAACGCGACUCCUCAUUACCAUUUGUAAUCAUUGAUGGAAGCACACACAAUGUAAUGGAGAAAGAUAGCUGAGUACGUGUAACUAACCUUGAUGGCGAGUUGGACUGGCCGUUCACGAGGCCUUAUCUUAGGAGCGGAGCUCGACUGGCGCGCCUUGAUCUCCUGGAGAGUGCUAGGACAACGGAUAAGUCCAUCUUCAAUGGCUAUGGAGCCAUGGGACCUCCCGCCACCAGAUAUCAUCACCAGCUCUGGAUCAAUGGGACCCUGGCUCGGGUUAAAGUCCUCCCCUUUCCUCGCCUUCCCCUCAUCUGUAUAUUUCACGAGCUUGUCGUGGGAGGAGAUGUUGGUGAAGUUUUUUGCAUCAUCGAGGUCACACGGAGAGAAUGCCUUGACUUUCUUGAAAGAGGCAGUGUGGGCCAUGGCAUACAGGUCGUACACCUCUGGCACCUUAUCCGCCUUAUUGUAGCGUGCCUGAAAGAGAGAAACAAAGUAAAUUAGUAAUUAAAGGGCUCAAGCUAGCAUGAUGAAUGAAUUGCAUGAAUCAUGAAGCAAACCACAUACCCAGUUCUGCCCGAACUGAUAUAAGUUGGCGCUGCCUUGAUGGUGUGGCACACCUUCCAUUUGGGCACGUUUGUCCUUGGCCGCGUUGUGGACGGCUAGCCAUUCUUUUGAGCACCACUCAUUGACCAACACCUCCCAACAAUCCAUCCGAUCCGCACACCAUCUCGGAGGCGCCUAAGUUAGCAAAUAGAAACUUGAGCGCUACGGCUAUGAAUUACUAAAUGAAGGAAGUAAGUACAAGGCCUUAAGAAUUACCUUCAUGUACUGCUCCUUACUUAGGAACUUAUCGCGGCACGCCGGCUUGGGCUUCUUGAUAUAUACCACGCAAGGCGUAGUAGUCUCGAACAGCCUGCACCCGAGCCUCGUGCCGUAAGUUCUGUAGUAGGCGCUUGCAGACGUUCUCGAUAACAUUUGCCGCCUCCUCCUCGUAUCCCUCCUCACACCUGUAGAAUGUCUGCAAUCAAAUGAGACAAUAUUAAUUAGUACAAUUAAUAACUAGCUAGUUGAAGAUUUUUAAAUGUGUAAAGGAGAAAUUACCCAGAACUUUCUGAUCACCACGUCUGCCCUCGUGUCGCACAAGACACCGUCGAUAAUCUCACCCGGCGGGGCCGGGGCAGCCAAGUAGUGCUCCCAGCUCAAUCCAAGCUCUGGAAGCCGACCCUCACCAGGCAACGUGACAAACCCCGGGACGUUUUGCCGGCAAAGCACUCCAAGGACAGAGUUGGGCCGGCGGACACUAUGAUGGUGGUCCCAACCCCUACAGCAUGACAAGACCAACGCAUUAGAUAUUUGAAGAAACGUCAAUGCAGAAGGUACAAAAAGAUUAAAUGCACUUACCUCUCCCCAUCAGGGUAAAUCAACCACCUCUGCUCGCGGGUCGUCGGCACGGACGGGAGCCGUGUACAACCACGCUGGUAGACGGUGCCCCCUCCUCCUCAAUAUCAGUCGGCUCCCCGCCAUCAUCAGCAUGGCCACUCGGCCCCUCAGGCUCAUCCGGCCAGGUACCCCAUCCAGACGUGUGCUCCUCCGGGGUCUCGUGGGCCGAAGGCCCGUCGACCCGAGGCUCGUGGGCCGAAGGCUCGUGGACUGGAGUCCAUGUAGCCUCCUCCUCGGACGAGUCCACCCUAGCAGUCACGUGCUCGGGUGAAACAGCUGGGGGUGGCGGCGAGGAAGGCGCCCUAGCAGUCACCCUACCUCCUCUCCCGCGACCACGUGCUCCUCUCUUCUUCCCUCCCUUACCUCUUCCCCUGCUGGGCACUGCUCUCGACGAAGAAGGGCCCGGCGGUGUCGCCAUACUGUCCAGCAACGCUCGGCGGAGAGGUGCAUGUGGAAUGGAAGACCUCCCACCACGCGCCGACGAAGAAAGGGCCUCGGAGCGCUCCCGACCAGCGCCCAACAUCUUUCAACACCUGCCAUGACAAAGAGUAAACGAAAUUAGUACAACAUAAAAAAAAUACCGACAUUAAUAAUAAUAUAUGAUGUUUUUCAUAAAAAAAUCAAAAAAAUAUAUAUGAUGUUUAAAUCUACCCGAUCAACACAAUUAUAUAUGAUGUUUCUCAUAACAAAAUCGAAAAAUAUAUGAUGUCAGGGUGUCGGGGGUCGGGGUCGGGGUGUCNNNNNNNNNNNNNNNNNNNNNNNNNNNNNNNNNNNNNNNNNNNNNNNNNNNNNNNNNNNNNNNNNNNNNNNNNNNNNNNNNNNNNNNNNNNNNNNNNNNNNNNNNNNNNNNNNNNNNNNNNNNNNNNNNNNNNNNNNNNNNNNNNNNNNNNNNNNNNNNNNNNNNNNNNNNNNNNNNNNNNNNNNNNNNNNNNNNNNNNNNNNNAGGGGGUCACGGGGUAGGGGUGUUUCCUUCUCUCCUUCUUCUUCUUUCCUUCUCUUCUUCUUCUUCUUCUUCUUCUUCUUCUUCUUCUUCUUCUUUCCUUUCUUCUUUUUCUUUUUUCCUUCUCUUCUUCUUCUUCUUCUUCUUUUAUUUCUUCCUUAUUUUCCUUUUUCCUCUUCUUCUCAUCUCUCCUCUUUUUCUUCUUCUUCUUCUCCUCCUCCUCCUCCUCCUCCUCCUCUUCUUCUUCUUCUUCUUCUUCCCCCUUCUACAUAUUCUUCUUUUCUUAUUCAUCUUUUUUCAUCUUUUUCUACUUCUUAUAAUUAUAUAACUAAUUAACUAAAACCCAUGCACUAGUCUAAUCUAAUAUAAUCUAGCACUAAAUCGAACACUAACACAUAUCUAGUAUAAUCUAACAAUUAAACAGCAAAAAAGAAAAAACAGAAAAAAACUCACCGGAGAUGGCGUUGGCUGGGGCUUCGCAGCGGCAGGGUGGCGGUGGUGACGGGGGCCCCAGGGCUUCGGGGCGGUGGCGCCGGGGCGCUGGGAGGUGGUGGGGGCGGCGGGGCACCGCGGCGGUGGGCUGUUCGGGCGGUGGGGCGGCACGGCGCCGCAACUGUGGGCCNNNNNNNNNNAAAAAACUCACUGGAGAUGGCGUUGGCCGGGGCUUCGCAGCGGCAGGGUGGCGGUGGCGACGGGGGCCGCAGGGCUUCGGGGCGGUGGCGCCGGGGCGCUGGGCAGGUGGUGGGGGCUGCGGGGCGCCGCGGCUGUGGGUUGUUCGGGCGGCGGGUGUUGGGGGCGGCGGCGGGUGGCGGUGGUUGUCGGGGAGGAGACAGAAACAGAGAGAUGGAGGGGCGGGGUGGGGCUCGGCCGUUAGUUAGGUUAGCUCUUUGUCGUCCGCCCCACCUUUGCCGUCCGCUUUUUUUCUCUUUGCCGUCUGCUGGUAGACGGCAAAGAAGGGGCUCGUUAAGUUUUUUAUGAUCAGCUCGUUAGCGGGGGCCACCACUCUCUUUGACGUCCGCUAGCGGACGGCAAAGAAUUGGCUGAUGGCAAAGACCUUCUUUGCCAUCAGCCCAUUCGUUGCCGUCCGUUUUCCUGAAGCGGACGGCAAAGACCUUCUUUGCCGUUAGCCAGCAGACGGCAAAGAACUGGCAGACAGCAAAUAAGCUAAUUCCAGCAGUGCUCUUUUGUAUUUGAGAAAAAAAGAUUUCCCUCUUCUCUUGUGAUGAGACUGGGUGGAGAUGGUGAGAGAUGAGGUCGAUGACUUUGGGGAGAGGAUAAGGGCGGACGCCGGCGGUGAGGCGGCGUGAGGAAGACGAGGUGGUUGGCGUCGGCGAGACGUGAGGGGAGGGGAAGGGAGGGGUAUCAGUGUGCGGUGGGAGAGGGUGUGCGGCGUUCCCAGUUCGCGAGAGAGGAGAGAGGUCGGCAAGGGAGCGAUCCAUGGGAGAUUUUUUCCUUCCGAGCGAGCCUAGUUGGGCUAUCUGCGCCGUCCAAGGCCCAAUGCACCACAUGUCUUCAAAUUGGCGACCAGUAGCAGCCCUUAGAACAGACAGGGCCAGUUUGCAAAUUUAAAAAUAUAAGUUCUUAGCACGCAUGGAAAACAUAACAUGUAUCUUUCCAUACAUAAUGAACUAUAGGUACCAGCCAAAAAAACAUAAUGAACUAUAGGUUGUCACAAGAACUCAUGCCAUCCCACAGCCUCCCUCAGACCCUGCCAACAUUGCUGCAGCUGCACUCACAAGCGUUACCGUAGAUGAUCAUUUGCAUGAUUUCACGCAAAACAAAAUAAGAUCUACAAAUGAAUAGAAGCUACACAUACCUUGGUAUGCACACACAUUGCAAGCCAUACUAAGCUGAUAAGUGUUAAUAACUUGUACAACAUAUACAACACUUAAGACAAGUAAAAGCAAUUUGAUUAUUCAUGGUCUAUCAAAGCAAGCUACAUAACUACUCUAAUCUAUCUUAACAGGUCACACAUGAUGACAAUCUUUUUUGUGUGCAAGUCAAGCUUAUCUAGUUUACACGUAACAACUUGUAGAACAUUACAAAAUUGAUGUUUGUUAAUAACUUGAACACUACAACACUUGGCAUGUAAAAGGAAUUUGAUGAGUCAUGACCUACUAAAGCAAGUUACAUUACUAGUGUCAUCUAUCUUAACAAGCCACACAAGAUUACGACCUAAUUUCUGUGCAAGCAAUGCUUAUCUAGUUUACACGUAACAACUUGCAUAACAUUACAAAUUUAGUUUCAGAAAAUUAGGCAAUCUAGAUUUGUGUUUGCGCUGUAAAGUGAAUAAGAUGAGUCAUGUGUGUUAUCACAUCUUUUUGGUCGUGAAAUGAUAGUGCCACCAAACACAACAUACCAAAUUAUGAUUUCGGGAAGCAUCGAAGCACUUUCCAGACAAGUGCCAAUUGUGAAAAAGAUCAUGUCAUGGCAGCUAUAAAUAGGCCUGUAGCAUGAUGAUCAUCCUUCCUCAUCCAUCAUCUCAUAAGUAGAGCGCAUCAUUUAAGCCAAGCAAGCGGGGGUCAAUAAAAAUCCACCAUGAAGACCUUUCUCAUCCUAGCCCUCCUUGCUAUCGUGGCGACCACCGCCACAAGUGCAGUUAGAGUUCCAGUGCCACAAUUGCAGCCGCAAAAUCCAUCUCAACAACAACCACAAGAGCAAGUUCCAUUGAUGCAACAACAACAACAAUUUCCAGGGCAGCAAGAACAAUUUCCACCACAACAGCCAUAUCCGCAUCAGCAACCAUUUCCAUCACAACAACCAUAUCCGCAGCCGCAACCAUUUCCGCCACAACUACCAUAUCCGCAGACGCAACCAUUUCCACCACAACAACCAUAUCCACAACCGCAACCACAGUAUCCGCAACCACAACAACCAAUUUCGCAGCAACAAGCACAACAACAACAACAACAACAACAAAUCCUUCAACAAAUUCUGCAACAACAACUGAUUCCAUGCAGGGAUGUUGUCUUGCAACAACACAACAUAGCGCAUGCAAGCUCACAAGUAUUGCAACAAAGUAGUUACCAACAGUUGCAACAAUUAUGUUGUCAGCAACUGUUUCAGAUCCCCGAGCAGUCGCGGUGCCAAGCCAUCCACAAUGUCGUUCAUGCUAUUAUUCUGCAUCAUCAUCAACAACAACAACAACAACCGUCGAGCCAGGUCUCCUACCAGCAGCCUCAGGAACAAUAUCCAUCAGGCCAGGGCUCCUUCCAGUCAUCUCAGCAAAACCCACAGGCCCAGGGCUCUGUCCAGCCUCAACAACUGCCCCAGUUCCAGGAAAUAAGGAACUUAGCGCUGCAGACGCUGCCAGCAAUGUGCAAUGUCUACAUCCCUCCAUAUUGCUCGACCACCAUUGCGCCAUUUGGCAUCUUCGGUACUAACUGAGAAGAGAAGAACUCUAGUACUAGAUAUAUGAAACACCGUUUUCUUAAUCGACAGUUUGAUCGUUGUAGCGGUGAAAAAAUAAAGUGUCAUGCACUAUCAUGUAAGAACCCGAACUAUACUAGUUCAAACUUGGGAAUAAAAGACAUACACAUGUCUUGUCUGCAUAUGAUUAUUUGUUUGAGUUCCAUUCAUGUGCCCGUUCAGAAGUUCACCCCUAAUUAAAUAUAUUAUGCAUUAACUAGAUAUUUAUGUGGCAUUAAUCUAAAGAUAACAAAAUAGGUUUGAAACUUGAAUUACAUUGAAGUAUUUUCUUGGGCUUUCAAAUUGAGUAUUAUUAAAGUAGUAAGGACUAUCCACAUCCUUGGCUUGCCCUUGAUCGAUUAUUUACAGAGAAGCAUUCAAUUCAUCAAUCAAUUACAUUGAUUUUUGUGGCUGGUACUUCUCCGCAUCAUGAGUAUAUUCCUUGCGGCUACUCCAAAUCGACCACAUAACCGAAGCAUUAAUAACGCCCUU